rnacentral:lncRNA from 1 species
CGCAAAGUAAGGUUAAUCUGAUGCCAAGCAGCUACUGUGUCUUGUCAGCUCACACUUGACAGCAUUUUCUUGGAAACAGUUGGUGAGAUCCUUAUCCAAUUUUGCUAUUUUAGAAGAUCCAUAAUCGUGAUACUCGGAGAAGCACGGGCGAUGUGGAUUGCAUUUGCAAAUCUAAUUGUGAAUUUGGUGUGUUAGAUAUGGAUUACACUUUCAGAAUUUGGUGUGAAUUUGGGUUAAUAUACUCGGACACAUUCUGCUUUGUAUUUUAUAAUUUCAACUGCUUGUUUUGUCAAACGAAUGUGGCCCAUGGGUUAGAAAGCUAUACGAAGAACUGGAUUUUGUAGUUGGAGCCAGAAAAGGUGAAGGUACUAAUCGUAUGCGUAUCCCGGAAAAAUAGCACAGGUUGUGGCUUGGAUACAUCUAUAACUACUGCUGUUUCACAAUAUGCAUUCGGUCUAGUAUCUAAGAAGCACAAAAAGUCGAGUAAAUGUUUAUAUAAUUGGACCGUUCUGGUUCUUAUACUAGAUAUACUUAGUCAUGUUGAGGUCUUCUUUUAUUGCAAAUAAAACACAAGCGUGCAAACGAUUUUGCUGUCUACUCUAACCACUCAAAGAAAUGGCAACAUUAAUGAGAUACCCUAGCUACCUAGAGUUAAUUUGAGCCCUAUUAGUAGCAGGGGGUACAAUAAUCAUCUCCUCUAACUACCGAAGUUGUCACUUGGUUAAUGUGCACAAUUUGAUAAAAUCAUAUAAGUUAUCACUCUAAUAUUAAGAUGGCUAGGUAUGCAAAAGGGACAAACAUUGAGAAAUGGUGAAAGUAGCAUGUUUGUCUGGCUGGUACGCUUUUGUAGGUUAAUUCUUAUAGUGGUUGUUUGAUUCAUUUGCUAUGGUUUUGGCACCCCAUGAUUUUUAACUCUAGACCUCUCCUAUGAUAGAUUCAUUUCUUACUCAACCUUUUCAACUACAAGGAAAAUAAGCUUUUGCAACCGUGCAUAUCACAACACAAGAAUAGUGGCAAAUGAUAGUAGGCAAUAUUUUCAAGUCUCGCAAUACUUAUUUUUCAGUUUUCGUUGCAGGAGAUGACCAUGUAUUGCAAUAGAAGAAUAUGCCAAUUUAUUCAAUGGAGCAUGCCCUAUAGAUAGCCAGAUGGUUAGCCCGGCACUAGCCUGAUUUGGCUCGGCUCGAUAGGCCCGGCACUAUUAGGUCCGAUGGUUUUUUCAUGCUGGGCUGAACUGGCACUGCGUGCCGAACUGCUGGCCCAGGCUCAGCACGAUGGCCUUUUUAUCGUGCCAGGCCGCGCUCCCACGGCGGCCCCCGGUGGUGGCAAGCGCGCCUCCAGGCCGCGCCCCCGCGGCUCCUGGUCGUGCCCCUCGCAGGAGCGGCGGCCAGAGUGCCUGGGCGCGAUGAUCGGCCACUAGCUCGACUACCAGCAAGGGAGGGAGGGGCGGCGACGGAGGCGUGAGGGGAGAGAGGGGCGGCCGUGGAGGCGUCAUGGGAAGGAGGGGCAGCGGUGGAGGCGUCACGGGAGAGAGGGAGGAAGGGGCAGAGGCUACGGGAUAUUAAGGAGGGGAGGAGGGUAAAGAGUUAGGGUUUUUCCGUAUAUAUAUGGACUUGUGGGUUGCUACUAGGCCGUUGGACCGCAUCGGGCCAGCCCAAAAAUCAUGCUGGGCUCGAGCUGGCCCAACAUGCCGGGGAGGCGGCCCAAGCACGGCACGGCGCAUCGUGCUGAGCCGGCCCAAGCAUUAUCCACUGUGGGCUAGGCUGGGCUUUUUCAGGCCAUGCUGCGGGCCGCCCAGCGGACCUGACCCAUUUGGCCAUCUAUAGCAUACCCGCAUAGUACUUGUCGCGGUGUGCCAGAUAUGUUUUUAUAAUCGAACAUAAAGUAAUCCAAUAGAUCUUUGGGCUUCAAUCAAGAGGAACUGAGAUUUUACAAAUAAAAAACAGGGCUUGGGAUUAAAUUGCUGCCAUUUUAUAUGUACCAUAUAUCACAAAAUUUUAAAGUGGGGAUUUAAAUAAAUUUAUACGAAUCAUCGUGACAUCAGUCAGAGGAGCACGCACGCGUGCGUAGAAUUUUAUAUAUCACAUAUUUGAUAUGCUCUCUCUUGCUUGGCUGGUCCAAGUCUAACAAAACCUGGUCCAGCAGACCCGAAGAAUCUUAUGAACCCUCGAUCUUUUGUUGACGGCAUUUGGAUUGUCAACAAUUAUUAGAGAUGAGAAUUAAUUUAAACUAGCUCUUGUUGCCAGGCCUGUGAAGCCAUAGACUCUUUAAGCUAGUCAAACACUCUUUGUAUUAAUAAAUGCCAAAUUGACGAAAAUGACAUGGGAUUAUCUUAAAAUAUAGUCAAUUUGUUUGUAAAAGGGAGACAGAGAAAUACUACCCCAUUCGUUUAUAUAUGACGCCAGCUUAAGCUGAUCACGUCGUAUAUAAAUGAACGGAGGGAGUAGCUUCAUACCGCACGACUCAAUACAAUCUUACUAUUUUUAUCAAGCAAAAAAAGUUCCCCAAGGAAUAAUCGAAACUUUGUCAGUAGUGGAUGAUGGUAAUUCUACAUCUAGAUACGUGAUAGUGACGUCUACCGUCUACGUAAAUAUAUAUAACAACUAAGCUCACGUGCGUAUGAUUUAGCACGAGGGUGAGAGAAAUGCAACCUUGAAAUAUAGAACCAGGCGAAUGCAAGAAGUCGAAGCAAAGACAGUGGCGCAUUCGAAGCUGCAGGUCUGGCGUCGUCGAUUUUGACGUGCACCAUACACUAGCGACUAAGUACCGAUUAGUUUUUAGCUCAAAAUUAGGGGUCUCCGGAAAUCUUUUAGUACCGGGUCGUAACACCAUAUGGUACUAAAAGUGACCAUUUAGUACUGGAUGGUGUUAUAACCCGGUACUAAUAGGUCUAUAACUUUUUAGUACCGGGACAUAACACCACCCGGUACUAAGGGUCACUUUUAAUAUCGAGUGGUGUUACGACUGGUAGUUAAGGUCUUUCUACGGGUUGCUUCAAAAGGCUUUCCCCAACUGGUACUAAAGGGUAUAUAUGAUCCGGUACUAAAAGAUCAUUUUUAGUACCGAUAUAGCAAUACCGGUUACUGAACCGGUACUAAAGUGGAAUUAGGAUCCGGUACUGAAGGCGAAGACGUAUGAUACGUGACUAUGUAUCUUACGUAUAAGAAGUUUGCCUUAUUGCCAAGGAAAUAGCUUUAUAUAUACUCGCGCACGCUGCCGUGAGAGGGAUCGAUCGGUCGUGACGGAGUUGUGGAACCCGGAAACCAGGUAGCAGACGAGUCGCAUGCACGGUGUGGGCCGGCUUAGCUUGGCAGACACGCAUGCAUGCGUUCUGGCUGGUGAACGCCAGACGCGUAUAGUACGGGUGCAGCUGGAAAACUGAUAAGCAUGCCAAGGCGAAGCUACCGGGGCUCCUGCAUGGAAGUUACGCACAUUCAGGCUAUUCAGCACAUGAGAGAAAGGAUUAGUUAAGGGUGCCUCGUGUUGUGUUGGGUGACUACCUCUGGCUUGCUUGCAAAGGUAUCGUAGUAUGCACACGUACUGCAAAAUUAUAUGCAUUUAUGCUACUAUAUAUACUGAAUUGCAGUUAGGUGUACAUAUGCUACUCAUUCCGUUUCAAAUUGUAGGUCGUUCUAACUAGAUACAUAUUUUUUACUAUUUAUACACCUAAAUAUAGAUUAUGAAUAAAUAGUAAAAUUUAUAUAUCUAGAAAAGCUAAAAAUACUAAUCAUGAUCGGAAGUAACGACGGAUGUUCCUGUGCUUACAUUAUCGAAACCGAAUAGGGCCGACUCUCGAUGCUACUAUGCUCUGAUACUAGUACGAGAGAAAUAAAAAAUUAUGUGCAGCUCCACACAGCAAAUCAACUAUAUGUAGCAGCAACUUGCCAAGGAGUAGUGGAGUAUCAAAUCAAUCAGAGGAGAGACGUGUUGCGGCAAAAACAAGAUAUUCAAAACCUUGGAGUAAGCAGGCGUUGAAUCGAAGGUAGAACGGUGGACGAAGAAGCAGCAGCAGCCGGCCGCUUUCAUUUUCGCAAGUGGCACGUACGACAGUUCUACCGUGCACACAACAGUAGCGGCUGCAGCAUAUAUACAUGCACUCAUCAUGUAUACAUGUUCAGCAAUUCGUCUUCAGCUUCGUUUCAAAAAUUCGUCUUCAGCUAAUUUAAAGACCGGCUGGUGCGUGAGCGAGAUAUCGCCAUCCGAUCGACAGCAACCCCUCAGCGCUGCUUGCACACGCACAUUUCUUUCGAUUCGGGGACAGAUUUUAUCCAAGUCGUUUGAUACAUUCAAUUCAAACCCUAGCUCUAGCUUUGACGUGAAUUCAAGGGCAGGGGCAGGAAAUAAAAAGGACAGCCUCGUCCUGGGCUCCUGCAGGCAUUCAGAGCACAUAGACAAUGCAAAUAAACAAGCUAAGCCCUGGGCCAGGCUAACUAAACCCCUCCUGACCCUCUCUCCUGUCUUGAGAGCCGGGGCAUGAAAGGAGUAGUGCCAGUGAAGGAAAGCUACUUGCUUGGCCAUCGGAGGCCCGGCAAUUCCCUCGGGAUCAAUUUACUAACGGUUAACCAUAUGGAAUUAACCGAAAUGCCCGGCCUAUAUUCUAUUGCGAUCCACAUGCGUGCGUGCGUGCAAUGGAGCAUAUAUGUAUAGUCCGCACGCACACAUAUUCCUUGUUCCUCUGAAUCUCUGAUGUCUUCUCUACUCAAUUCGGGCCGACCCAGGAGCAACCCGGAGUUGUUUAAUUGCAAAACUGGCUGGGGAUUAGCGAGGAGAACUAGCUAGCUAGGGACGACGAGACGAGCUGAGACUGAGAGAGAGAGAGAGAGAGCAGUUUGUUGCUUGACGCUGUUGCCGCUGUCCCCCUCCCGUCCCCGCCGGCCCGCCCCUGCUGCACAUGAUCCCAUCCACGAUCAUGCCGUGCGCCCAAAGCAUGCGUCCCCCCGUCUACUUGCUCUUGCGCUACGCGGCUCGAUCGUCCGAAUAUUCGCUGACAGGUGGGGUCCGCACGCGCAGCAUGUCUGGUUUGGCACGUGCACCGGAUAGAUAGACUUCCAUCCCAAAUUAUUAUUACAGACAUACUAUAUAUCUAUAUGCGUAUCAAAAGUUAUGUAUCUAGAGAGGCAAAACGAAUAUAAUUUGGGAUGGAGGGAGUCCAUUCCAAAUAUGUAGGUCGUUUUGACUUUUCUAGGUUCGUAUAGAUAUUAUUAUGCAUCUAGAUAUACAUAAAAAAGUAUACAAAGAUGCAUAAUAAUAUCUAUGAAUGUAAAAAAGCUAAAACAAUAUACAAUUUGGAACGGAGAAAGUACUCCCUCAGUUCCAAAUUAUAGGUCGUUUUGGCUUUUUUCUAGAUACAUAGAUACUAUUAUACAUCUAGACAUAGGGUAUAUCUAAGUGCAUAACAAAGUCUAUGAAUCUAAUAAAAUUAAAACGACCUAUAAUUUAGGACGAAGGGAAUAGCAAAUAGUGUCGUACGUCUAAGACGGUUUUGAAACUCCGUUGGGGGUCCAAAGAUGCACGGCCCCUUGGAAAAUAAAAUGCAUGCAUGCCCCGCGACGCUUUCUUGCCGUUGUUGUGUGAAGUUAACCAACUCGGCCAUGUGCUGAAACCACUUGGAAGAGAUAGGGUUGUUCCUUUGAAGACUGCCGUCCUGCCUUCACGUGAGGAUAUAAAUGUAUAGAGCCCAAAACCAGCUGUCACUCCACGAAUUAUCAUGAACUUGGUGCAUGGAACUGCAGAGCUAUCCUUUCAUCAUGAAACCAAUUUGCGUAUAAAGCAUUAUUUCUUUCUUUUUUCUCAGAAACACGACAAGAUGAUUGCCGCGUUAUAUUAUUAUAAUAUAGAAAUAAAGCAAAGAGCAAACAAGAUAAACCAAAAGAGAAACGAUCGACGACCGGGAAGAUGUGGAGAGGUCUAGAGAACAUAACACCAACAUGAAGGAAGGAAAAAGGCCACUAGCAGUACGAUAUCCACCAGAGGAAAAGAAGACCGGGCUCUCCGUAGCGCAAUGAAAAAACGGAGCCAAGGCGAAAAUACAACAGCAUAUGUAAACCGUGUCUCGACCGGCGAUCAAACAAAAUGAGCCUCAGUGUUAAUUCUUUUUCUUAGGAUCCGAAUAGAGAACUAUAAGGCCAAAAAAUGCCAGAUAAAAUCGUGACUUUUUCUGAUUUAAACGGAAUCGGCUCGAAUUCGAGAGUCACUCUUCCUCACCCCUACUACAAUCAGAUUUGCUUUGUAACGUUUAGGUAAGCAACUUGGUACCCUGGUCGACUGACCAGGAGGCACAUAUUCUCGCCUCUCUUUUUCUACCGUGUUCUCCUUUUCCUUUCAGUCACCAAAGAAACAGCCAAGCAGCUAAGCAUCAACGAGAGCCGACAUGAUCUCAGAGAAAAAGAAAAGAGGACUCUAUGGUAAAAGGCCCAACACGCCCUCACACGCUACUGCAAGCACAAGCUGAGCCCAGAUAAACAGGACGCAUGUGAGGGCCCGCAUGGACGUCCCCCAUACAUGUCAUGGCCCACACCAGCUGGACGACAGGAGCCCGCCGAGAGCAAAGGCAAAUUCCAAGUUUGCAGUCUACGAAAGAUUCAGACCACACGCAUCUGCCGAGCUGGUUCAGAUAAACUCAAUCCAAAGUUUACAACAGCAACAAGACGAGACUGAUCGAGUUGCUUUCGACGACAUGCAUGGAACAAGGAACUCCGUACCUAACACCAACUGCGAGUCCGUUGGCAAUUGCAUUGUGCAUGGCCUGAUCUUCAUCUCAUCACUGCUCAUCCAAGGACUAGCUAGCAACAGAUGAUGAUGAACCUAGCACACGCAAAGGUAAAACCUGAUGUCAAGCAGCUAUGAGCUAUUGCAUGCGUACUACUCUCCUGUCACCUCGCACUUGACAGCGUCUUCUUCUUCGUCCUCUCUUUUCUUGGCAACAGUUGGUGAGAUACUUAUCCAUAUUUUUUUUUGCCAAUAUUAGCAUCAGAAGCUCCGAUCCCUAAUCGCGAUACUCGGAUAAGCUCGGCCGAUGUGGAUUGCAUUUGCAGAUAUCAUUACGGGAGUUUGGUGUGUGGUAGAUGGACUGCACUAGCUGGCGAUAUCAUGCUUGCGUUGGCGUUGCCUUAAUCCGCGGCUUGAUUGGGCGCACAACACUUUGGCUCGUAUUUUAGAGUAUCAAAAGCUUGUUUUUGUCAAGCUAAUGUGGCCCAUGGCUUGGAAAAGUUGUACGCGGAUUCGGGGUUAGUUGGAGCCUUGCAGGAACAAAAGGGGCCAACCGAUCAAUCAUGUAUGCAUCUGGAUCCAUCUUCUUGCAUCGUAUCAGCAAAAGCUUGACGACGCGCGUCGAAUUGAAAGGGUCAUCUGUUGCAGCAAAAGUAGUAAUUAGAAGAAAAAAAAGAAGAAGGAUAGGGUUAAGUGAAGUGGUCAUCAAAGGAGCUAUCUAUUAGCUAAUGGCCUAGAUUGUUGUAUUAGAAAAUGGUGAUGUGGAAGUGCACAUCAUUUUCUUUCACACCUUGGUUAUCAUGGAUCCAAGAUUUGAGAUGGUGGCGCGCCAAAAAUAUCUGCCGCGUCCUGUGGGAGCUACCGCGGCGGGUUAAUUUAUAUUUUUGGCUGCGGAAGUUGUUUAUGUAGUGUCAAAUUAAAAUUCUGAACAUGGCGAAUUCUAAUGUGGAAUAUUAAAAGAUGGACCUCAAUAAACUCAGUUAAUUUUUGAAUGUUAAACCUUUUAUAUUACUGACUACUGCUGCUGUAAAUUUCAAAUAAAUUCAGGACAACUCUUUAAUUGCCACGGCCCACGUGCACCACUUUGUUAUACUUUUUGCACCAUUAGUGUACGAAAACUACUUAAAUUGCUAGGAGAACUUGUUUUUGAGAUGUUUCUGGUGUUAUCCCUCGGCAAAAAAUGUGAGAGUCAGCGCGAGUUAAACUCGCUAACACACUAAGAACAUGGAAUAAGAUAAACACAUAAAUACAGCUUAUAAACAUAUAAUAACCUAAGAUAAAUCCUUCACAAAAGCCCCACCCCAACCUCAAAUCUAGACGAAACUUGAAAGCGUUUUGGACUACUAAUUGUGUUGUCUGCCACUAAAAGGAAGCAACUAACACCAAUCAGUUAAGAACAAGGUUGUGUGUGGUUCUAAGGUUAUUGGAAAAGAAAAAGUCACAUGGGCUGAGAGACUGUUCUGAAUGGACAGGCGGCCUAUGUAGUUUUGUGGACUGCAGCUUUUAUUAAUGGGCUGAUAGCCUAAAGGAUGUGAUUUAGCGGGCCUAAUGUGUGGAACUAGAAAUAGAUCUGGCCUGCAAAAUUAUCAGCCCACUCAUUUAGGACUAAUCCGAGACCCAAUCCAUUAUCGACAGACGAGACAGCCCAGCUCGAUCCGAACACAACCGCCUCUCUCAUCAGUAUCAAGCCGUAUAAUCUCUCGGUAUCAAACUCGCCUGCCGGAUCCCCUGAAAACCCCCAAAUUCUUCUUCGAUUUUUUCCCCCAAACGAGAGUCAAGUCGAGACGCCUCUCUCCCCUCCGCAGCCGCAGCCAUGGCGUCCGCCGAAACCCUAGCCCGCUCCCCCUCGCGCGAGCCCUCCUCCGACCCUCCCCGCGCCGCGUCGUCGGAGCCCCCGCGCGACCCGUCCUCCGAGCCCCACGGCAACGGCGAUGGCUCCGGCGCGGGCGCCGGGGACUCCUCCUCCCGCCGCCGCCGCCGCAGCCGCUGGGAGCAGUCCAGCGACGACCCCGCCGCCAACAACUCCGGCGGCGAGGGCGGGGCCGGGGGGCGGAAGCGCAAGACGCGCUGGGCCGAGGAGGAGCCGCGCCCGGCCAUCGCGCUCCCGGACUUCAUGAAGGACUUCGCCGCCGAGAUGGACCCCGAGGUGCACGCCCUCAACGCGCGCCUCCUCGAGAUCUCGCGCCUGCUGCAGUCGGGCCUCCCGCUCGACGACCGCCCGGAGGGCGCGCGCUCGCCGUCUCCCGAGCCCGUCUACGACAACCUCGGCAUCCGCAUCAACACCCGCGAGUACCGCGCCCGGGAGCGCCUCAACCGCGAGAGGCAGGAGAUCAUCUCCCAGCUUAUCCGCCGCAACCCCGCCUUCAAGCCCCCCUCCGACUACCGCCCGCCCAAGCUUCAGAAGAAGCUCUACAUCCCCAUGAAGGAGUACCCAGGGUACAAUUUCAUCGGGCUUAUCAUCGGCCCGCGCGGCAACACGCAGAAGCGGAUGGAGAAGGAGACCGGUGCCAAGAUUGUCAUCAGGGGGAAGGGGAGCGUCAAGGAAGGGAAGCUGUUGCAGAAGAGGGAUCUCAAGCCGGAUCCCAGCGAGAAUGAGGACCUCCAUGUGCUUGUUGAGGCAGAGACUCAGGAGGCACUGGAUGCGGCUGCUGGGAUGGUGGAGAAGCUGCUAACCCCGGUGGAUGAGGUGCUGAACGAGCACAAGAGGCAGCAGCUUCGGGAGCUUGCCGCGCUCAAUGGGACAAUUAGGGAUGAUGAGUUCUGUAGGACAUGUGGGGAGCCUGGUCACCGGCAGUAUGCUUGCCCCAAUAAGAUGAACACGUUUAAGAGUGAUGUGCAGUGCAAGAUUUGUGGUGAUGGUGGGCACCCGACAAUUGAUUGUCCGGUCAAGGGCACGUCUGGGAAGAAGAUGGAUGAUGAAUACCAGAACUUCCUGGCUGAGCUUGGUGGUGGGAGUGCACCUGAGUCCAUGACAAAAUCUGGUGGUCCCAUGUUGGCUCUUACAGGAAGCGGUGGCAGUGGUGGCGCUUCUGCUGGUAGUGGGAGUAACCCGCCUUGGUCUGCUGGUGGUGGUGCGGCUGCCAUUGGGGCCAAUGGUAUCAAGAAAGACUACGACGAGACAAAUCUGUAUAUUGGUUACUUGCCACCUACAAUGGAUGAUGCAGGAUUGAUCAGUCUGUUUUCACAAUUUGGGGAUAUUGUCAUGGCUAAGGUGAUCAAGGAUCGAAACACUGGGCAUAGCAAAGGAUAUGGAUUUGUGAAGUAUUCAGAUGUCUCACAGGCUAAUGCAGCGAUUGCUGCAAUGAAUGGUCACCAUUUUGAAGGCAGAGUUAUUGCCGUUAGAGUUGCCGGCAAGCCUCCACAGCCGGCACCUGCAGUGUCAGCACCACCGUCAUAUCCUCCUACAGAUCCUGCUUCUGGUGGCUAUUCUUCCCAAUCCUACAUGGGGGCACCACCUCCUCCUCCACCAGGGAGUUACACUCCAGUUCCAUGGGGGCACCCACCACCAUAUGCUUCGUAUCCUCCGCCGCCACCAGGCUCUAGCGUCUACAAUCCGGCACCCCCUGCACCAGGUCAGACGGCCCCACCUCCAUAUGGUGUGCAGUAUCCUCCUCCACCACCAUCCCCAGCAGCUCCGAUCCCUCCACCAGGCACUGCUGCAUCAAGUGAUGGAGCUCAGAAUUAUCCCCCUGGUGUAACACCACCGAGUUCUGGUGCACCCACUCACCCUGCCCCAGCUCCAGUAUAUGCAUCCUCCGGCGCACCAAAUGCACCACCAAUGUACCCUCCACCACCUUAUAGUUACUCCACAUACUAUCCUACAUAUCAGCCACCGCCUCCUCCGCCACCAGCUAGUGUCGAUCCCUCUCAGAGUAUUGCAACGGCACCUUGGGCCACCCACAAUGCAGUGCCACCACCGCCACCACCUUUGUCCUCCACCACCGACCAGCCAGCUUCCUAUGGUGCUGAUGCGGAGUAUGAUAAGUUUAUGUCAGAAAUGAAGUGAUAUGAGCCAAGCUUGGGUGAUUCUUCCAACAAAGGGCAAAAGGUAACUUAACAUGACCUUCUUCUAUUAGUUGCACAAGUUAUUUCAAGUUGUUCAUUAUCCAAUGUUUGGUUCGAAUGUGCUUGCACUGCAAAAAUUCCUGGAGUCACUACAUGGUGUGAACUAAUUAAGCACCGUGAAGUCAUGCAAUAUUUCUACUUGUUUAGUAAGGAUAUUUUUUAAGAUGUAGGUUAACCAUAUUGCCCUGAUGUUAGAAUGUGGCUAGCACUAACAUGCUCACUAGGAUGGUAAGGAAGUUGGUAAAACUCUUUGCAAGGCAAUAUUGAGUUUUGAUAAGAUAUGAUAUUCUCAGAUUCUUUUUUCAAUCGAGAAAGGAAUUCCACCUGGAUAUUUUUUGUAGGAUAUGAUACAAUGCACUUUCUUAUGCACUUCAGUAUAUAAUAAAGAAUUUCUCAAUAGAUUAUAUGCUUGCUUUAUGCUUUUCCCCUCUGUUUCCAUGUGCAGUGGUUUACUAACUAGACCUCACCUUUUCUAUGUUGUCUCAACUUUUUUGACAGGCUUGAUCUUUCUUGGAGCUUAUACCAACCUGAUUUAUUUCUUGUUGGAAGUUUGGGACUCACAUCUUAACCUUGCUGUGUGCUGUUGUGACCUUUGCAGAGGUUGCAUGCUUAAGAAAGCAUGAAGCAUUACUGGCUCAGCAGGCAUCGGAAUAUUUGCUAUCUCCUUCUGGAACUGUUUUAAGGAACCUUUUACUAAUGCUUUUGUUAUGAUAUUUAUUGUCAUUAUUUGAGAUUAUCAUGUGAUGUCACUUAAAGCUCCAUUGUUCUGUGACCCUUAUAAGUGUUAUUCUCACUUUAUUGUUCACAUGUUCUUCCCCUUGAUUUGGUAAGUGCUAGCAGUCCUCAUCAUCAGAAGCAGAAAGAUUGCUGCCCCUUGCUGGUUGGUAUGACUUUGAAAUGCAUGUUUGGCAUCUGAUGAAUAUGUCAAGCUUCCUAUCUUACGUUUUUGGCUAAGUUGUUUGGCAGUUUUCGACUUUUUGUGACAGAUUGGCACAGGCAGUCAGAGUUUAUAGCGCUUGAUGAAUCUCAGGUAUAAUGGAGAUGUUGUGAAUUGUUCUGUGGAACCUAACGCUUUAAAUUUGGUUUCUCCUUUACAUUUCCUACUGACACACAGUAACGAGUUUCUCACUGUUGGUAGUUGAUGUGUGCAUUAGGCAUCAUACCAUGCUGGAAAUCUACGGCGCAGAACUUACAGAUAUAUAUUUUAUAUUGCUAAUAUUCUUAACAUUGUUGGAAUUUUUGUUUGCGGUUCAAGUAGGACAUGCCGGCAUGCAGGAUGUAGUCUGGAGUCUAUGCUCAAGAUGCAUGCUUCAAAAUGAUAUCCAUGGGCUCAUGUGAAGGUUUGGAAGGUAGUUAGCAUAGAUUAGGUUUUUCUAGAUGUAUUGGAAGGAAAGUAGGACAUUAUCAUAUCCUUGUCCCAGUGAAAGGAUGCAAUAGUCAGUCGUCACAACCAGCAUUAGCUACCUUUAUAUCAUGUUGCUGUUACACCAUCUACCUGGCAUUGCCUCCAUAGUUUUGUAGGUGUGUUAUCUGCUCUAUUUCCUGUCUUUAAAGUCUUCUUUUCCAUUGUGCUGUAGAUGGAAAGAUGUAAGGAUUAGUGGUUCCAGUUUUUUUUUCUUUGUUACCUUUCUCCUUUGCUUUGUCCUUUUAAGGUGAGCCAAUCUAAUUUUAGAUGGUGGUUUUACUGCGAGUAGUGUAUUUACUUUUUGGUGAUGGAUGUUUCUUCAAGAUUGUGAUGUCAGCUGGGACAGAACCUCAUAGUUGUUGCUCCAAUGGUAUUCUUAUAGAUAUUGCCUGCACAUGCAGUUUGAUGUGAUCUUGAAUCUGACAUUAUCCACCUCAAUUUGCACUACAACUUUCAUAUAGGCUUUCAUCUGUUGUUCGCUUAGAUUGGACUAAUAGUUCAUAUUGGGAUUCUUUUGAACAAGUAUCAGUCUGUAGCUGUUAACUUCUAGUUAACUCGAAAUAAUAUGGAAUAAUUGAUAUCUUGUGGCGUCUGAUUUCUUUGUUUAACAAUGUGUGUCCCACUAUUUUCAGAAUGGGACAGGUAGCUUAGUAGUAAGAAGGAAUCGAUCUAGCCAUCUAGGUGUGCUAUGUGGUCUUUUUUUUUCUUGGUGCGUGAUACGUGGUGCUUUGUAACUGUAGAGAACCAUUGUAGAUUGUUUUGAGUUUUGACGCAUUGUUUAGUUUCAUGAUGUUGGUAUGUAUAUGAUGCUAAUGAUCUUUCAGGCUUGACACAGAGAUUGAUUUGUGUAUUUUACUUGGCAUUGAUUGAUUUAUCCAUCUGUAUUGCUAGCCAAGAUUUCAGGCAUGACUGUCAAUCUGCCAUACUGAAAGACGUCCACUCUGAUGUCUUGUGCAUGUCCGUUUGACUUGGUGGUAUUCAUAUAUUAGUGUUAUUUGUUUGUUUACUUUAUCAGUGUUCUUUUGUUUGGUUUGAUUUGCGACUGGGUAUAGCAUUAGUGUGCCAUUUAUUUAGCAGGGCUGUCUGGAGUUGAUGUUUGCUGUGUGGCUAUUGUUUGCUUGUAGAAAUCUGUAUUAUUUCGUAUGAUUAUUUUAUUUUAUUGAAUACCGUGCAAGUUGGUUGUAUUUGUGUGAAUGUGUGAAGAAAUAAUUUAGUUCAUACCAGUGGGCGUUAAUAUUAGUUGAAAAAGCAUAUGCUGAAUGAGUCAUGUGUGGGACAAUGUCUCCGAUACCUAUGAGGUCAAGCAUUUUCGGCAACCUUCCUCUUGAUUUCACCUGAACAUGCCAAGGUAUAGUGAAGUGGAUAUGGGUGCUGCUGCUUUUGACACUGCACUAAUGGAACUGUGUAAAUCCACUGGGCAAUGGAGUGUAUACAGUACAUACAUUAUUUGAAGGUUGCGUUGCUGCCUCUUAGUGAUGCCUUGCGUCUAAUUGUGUCUUUCAAAGACAUCUGUUGAUCUUCCAGUAUACUGAUUGCUCCAUCAGUCCAGAUCCCCAUCCUUCUCUAAACUUCUUUUGCAAAAGGGCUGAGGGCAAAUUUGUACUGCCGUUUUGGGUUCUUGGUCACAUAAGGGGCAAGCACUGCCAGUUUUUCAGAGAUUCUCAACUGUCACUGUUAGAUUUUUCAGAAUAAAAUGGAACAAUUGAAGUCUUGUGGUCUCCGAUUUCUUUCUUUAACAAUGUGUGUCCCACUAUUUUCAGAAUUGGAAAGAUAGCGUAGCAGUAAGAAGGAAUCAAUCUAGCCAUUUAGGUGUGCUAUGUGGUCUUUUUCUUCUUGGUGUUUUAUAUGUGAUGCUUUGUAACUGUAGAGAACCAUGGUAGAUUAUUUUGAUGCACGUGCAUUGUUGUGUUUCGCGACUUUGCUAUGUAUAUGAUGCUAAUGAAUUUCAGGCUUGACGCAGAUUGAUUUUAGUGUAUUUUACUUGGCGUUGAUUUAUUCAUCCAUCUGUGCUAGCCAGGAUUUCAGGCAUGACUGCCAUUCUGCCAUGCUGAAAGAUGCCACUCUUAUGUGGCAGAUGAGAUGUCUUAUGCAUGUCUGUUUGAUUUGGUGGCAUCCAUGUUUUAGUGCCUAUUUUUUUAUUUAGUUUAGCAGUGUUCUUUUGUUUGGUUUAGUUUGCAACUGGGUAUAGCAUUAGUGUGCGAUUAAUUUAGCAGGGCUUGUCUGGAGUUGAUGCUUGCUGUGUGAUUAUCGUUUUGCUUGUUGAAAUCUGUAUUAUUUUGUAUGCAUAUUUUAUUUUAUUGAUUCCAUGUUGUGUGUUAUUUGUAUUGAUAAAUUGUAAUCUGUUAAUGACGAAAGGCAAAAGUACGGAAAAGUUUGUGUUUGGGAUGUGUUUGGUUUAGUCGCUUAGGCUAUCUGUGUGAAUGAUAUGUACUGUGCAAGACUGCAAGUUGGUUGUAUUUGUGUGGACUUGGGUGAAAAAGGAUAUGAGGAAUGAGUCAUGACUGGGAAAAUGUCUGAUACCUAAGGUUCAGCAUUUUCCGCGUCCGUCCUCUUGAUAACGACCUGGGUUCAACAUGCCAUUGCAUACCUGGGCUCAACAUUCCAUUGUAUAGUCAAGUGGAUGUGGGAACUGUGUAAGUCCAUGGGGCCAUGGAGUUUUUACGUGUCCUGUUACCUUCGAUUUACACAGGAAUAUCAAUUAGACAAAGGCAUCACUAAAGCGACGUCUUGCGUCUAAUUGUCUUUCAAAGACAUCAAUUGAUCUUCCAGUAUGCUGAUUGCAAAAUGACAGUGAGGGCAAAUUUGUUGUGUUCUUUUGCAGUAGGACAGGUGGGGCAAAUUUAUGCUGCCGUUUUGGGUUGGUGGUCACAGAAGGGGCAAGUUCUGGAAUACACUGCCAAUAAAUCAGAGUUUCUCCACUCUCACUGUUAGAUUAUUUUUGCUGUACUACUGAAGUAACCAAAGAUCGAACGAGUCCCCAUUCCCAUGGCUUGCCAGCGGAUCAACUGUGCCUUGGAGGUUGGAACUGUAAACAGAUUCCGUCGUAUGUGCUCAUCUCUUGUCCAGCACUAAACAAUUUCAUCCGCUCAGCCCACCAACGGUACUACAGUGCGUUCCGCACUACAUCAUCAAGCUGAACGAAUUGGACCUUUCCAUCCUCCACGGGCCUCUGUUCCAAUUGUGAUUCUUUUCUGGUCUCCAUUGAGGUAGGAGCUGGAGGCACUCUACGGGGUCGAAAUCGCAACUCCUGCGAAAUCGCAUUCUCUACCCCACUCCACCGCAAGAUCCUUCUAGAAAAAAUCUUCCAGAAAAAUCUGGUAAGACCGAAAGCGUCUCCGUUUCCAUUAUCGAUGCUUCUAGAAAGGUCACUAGCCAAGAACGAGCACUCCUUUUUUUGCUAAAAGAAAAGGCCACCAAAGAUCGAACGAGUCCCCAUUCCCAUGGCGGAAGAGAAAAAGUCUUGACGCAUGAUCUGUAACCGGCCUGACUGCCAGUGGCAGUCCAUUUCAUCCUCCUUUCCUUCCGAUACGUUGCCUGCUGGUCCAGCUUCCCCCACAUUGGACUACCUGCUCCCUCGGGUGCUCUCGUAGUCUUCUUCCUCGGGUGUUCUUUCGCUAACGGAGAAAAACGAUGCAACCGUAGCGAGAGGGUGACGGUCUGCAUCUGAGCCCUUGUGACGGAGACCAGCCCAACACGCCCCGGUUCCCUCUUGACCGUGUCACGUCAGUCGAUUCGCCCAAAGCUUUGACUGGCAAAAUACUACUGGCGUUCACACAACGAUUCUUUGCUCCAGUGUACGCGCGCGCACACAGGCUUGUGCUACUAUUUUGGUUUGGUGAUACAAAGCACGUGAAAGGUAGCGUCCAGGGUAUGUUUGUACAAAUAAACAGAGAUAAAGUGGGGACACGGUCCAUGGAAAUGCAAGGGAAAUCGAGCCAAAGUCCUUGUAUGUGAGUUGAUAAAAAACAAUUUAGUGGUUUCAAUAAAGUGAUUUAAAUAUCUCGAUUAGCACAACUCGUGUGGCAAUUUCCUAAGCUAAAUCAGAUGUACGUUUAAAAUUAAAUGGUUCAAAUAUCUAUUUUUAUUCUAAUUUUUAAAUAAAAUGGAUUCAUUUUCUCGGUCCAUAAGAAAAAAAAUGUAUACCUGAUGCCAACAAGAGGUCAAAGCAGAAAGGAUUUGAGCUUCGAACACAAUCUCAUAUGACCCCAACUACACCUCAAAAAAACUUUGAGCUAUGUCAACAGCAAGAGCGAAGGUAUAUAAUAUAAAUUUCCUGUCUCUGUGUGUGUGCGGGGGUGGGAGGGAGGGGGGGUGUUUGCAGGUGCACCACAAAUUCAGUGAUUAGGAUAGAAUUUCACUAUAUAUGCACCCUCCACAGCUAGGGUUCUGGGAUUCGAAAUAUGAAACAUAUUAGGUACCACCGAAAUGGGUGAAUUCGGACCAAGGUUUGGUUGUUGGUUGUUCAACUGGUCGACAAAUUCAUUUUAAAUAAAAAUUUACUAUAAUUUGAUGGAAAUUUAGGUAUUAAGCACUUCUAAAGAAGAUGGUGGGGAGAACUACGAAGGUAUGGUGAGGAGUUCAAGAGGAAGAAAGUGAAAGCAUGAUGUUUCUACGUUCAUUAGCUGUUACAAAGUGAGAAAGGCACAAGGAAGAUGUAUAAUUAAGAUUUGUUCACAUCUUUAUAGCUACGCUACGGAGUAUGUGGACUUGUAUGGAUCUUAACAAUGGUAGAAAAAUUCAAUUUCGGCUGAGUUUUUUUUGGACCCAUCCAGUUUUGUUUCGAUACUCACUGAAAUUUUUCCCAAAAUGGACCGAAUCCUAGAACCUUGGCUAUGUCAUUGUCUAAUUUGUUCUAGCUUCGUCAUUGCCUAGUGACCGGAUAAUGUUAAUGCUAGAGUUUUCAAUAUCAAUGAUAUCAUAGAGUUGAGGAAUCAGUGGCGGAGCUAGGAUCAAUGUUUAAGGUUGGGGGUGGGGGGGGGGGGGGGGUUGGGGGGGGGGGUUGCAAUAACGCGUACACAUAUGCUAUAGCAAUUAGUUACUAAUUGAAAAAUUGCAAAUCAUAUGAACUGCAACGACAUAGGCCAAGAUGCUUGAGGUCAGUUAUUUGCGUUUGUUCCUCCCCAAUUGUCAAUUUGACCAACGCCAAUGUGUGUGCUACUUAUUCAAAUUUUAUUAGUUCUAUGUGCCAUAUUUCAUGUUUGCAUUGAAAAAUACUCCCUCCGUAUACAAAUUUGAAGUCGUUCUGGGCGACACUUCAUCGAUGCGAAAGGAAGUCGUUCUGGCUUGAGGGCCGGUUUUUGACGCGUUUGCCCCUGGCGACGCUUUGUUCUGCGCGUCCGCUGGUUCUCCGUUCGAUGCCUAGCACGCUCACCGCCCGCUUCAUUAAUAGUCCAGCCCAUGCAAUUUUUCCACAGACCCAUGCAAAAUCGUGUUAAAGUAAAAAAAACGCCGGCCAAGGGAGUCAAAUCCUGCCCGCAAGUCUCAAGUCCCACCCACCUGACCAGUCCAGCUACGAAUCGUUCUCAUCUAGGAGUCACCCACAGACGUAUUUAAUAAGGGCAAACAUGGGAAAAUACCACUUAAUUAAUGACUCCUUGGUAAGCACAAUCAUGUCCUAAACAACUUUUAUUUCCUAUAUGGAGGGAGUAUGAUGACAUCAAGUUUAGCUGCGUCAAAUUUGCAUCCAUCUGAUCGAACACGACCUGCCCUUUGCACAAAAAUCCAUUCACCUAGAACUCUUUCAUACUACCUUGUCAGUUUGGCGCUAGCAAAAUCAAACUACACAAGAACAUGAUGCACAAAAAUAUCAUGCGGUCAAUCGAUUAGCCUUCAAUUGCUCGUGACAUCCAUGCGGGAAGGGGAGACCAUGACCCACGUCGGCAAGCAGUAGCUCCGCCAGUGUGAGGAAUAAUAAGCUGGAGAGGGGGAAGGAGGAGGGAGGGAGCAUGUUAGGAAAGUGGAUUUAUCAAGGACAAAUCCUAAAAUCCGAACUUAAGUUAGGAAAGCUUCCCGUCGGCAUGUUUCACACAAUUCGCAAACUGAGACUGUAGGUAAAACCCAAACAAAAAGGUUUUGACUAGACUUUCUGAAAUGUCACGUUUUCUAAGCGACACCUCCUGAAUCCCUGCCCCUCUGGCUCGCCUACGGUAGACGGUAAUUAAAGAACACGACCCAAGUGAAACAAUCCUGCGGCAUGCACGACUCGGCCGCUACGACGUCGGCUGCCAUGCUUGACAUGGCAGCGGUCGGUCGCCGCCGCCACCACCACCACCUGGCUGCCAUGCUUGAUAUGGCUGCCGGACACGGCGGCUAGCCGGCCACCACGCCUGAGCCUGACCGGUUUAUCCCGACAGCGAACUGCCAGCGGUGGUGGAGAGCUCAAACAAGUGGAAGCCGCACGCGCGUGCCCAAAUAUAUCCCCAACGCUUUCGGCCGACGACCUGCUUCCGGGGGAAUGGAUCGAGCCCAUGCGAUCCGCCGGCUGCCAGCGUACCCCCGGCUGGCCGCCGGCGGCGAGAGGCAAAGCGCCGGGCACGCUCGCGACUAGCUGCUGGCACCCCAAGCCAACAGAAUCCAUCGUGACGGGGAUCAGAGCAGCACAAAAAACACCCGGUCAACAAAAACUAAACUAUACGAUAUAUAAAUCUGUAAUCUAAUCACCCAGUGGAUCCGAAUUUCUUAUCUGACCGAUGACUGCCGGAGAAAGCGCAGAAGGGUUCCAAGUUCCAACUUCCACGCCAGAGCCAGCAGGUGUGUCCGGAUCGUUGAACUUACAACGGGUGAGCACGUGCAGCCGUGCUAGCUCACUCAGGCCUGGUUUGGUUCCAUUUGCUUAUUUUUAAGCAAGUGUCACAUCAAUGUUUAGAUACUAAUUAGGAGUAUUAAACGUAGACUAUUUACAAAAUCCAUUACAUAAGUGGAGGCUAAACGGCGAGACGAAUCUAUUAAGCCUAAUUAGUCCAUGAUUUGACAAUGUGUUGCUACAGUAAACAUUUGCUAAUGAUGGAUUAAUUAGGCUUAAUAGGUUCGUCUCGCUGUUUAGCCUCCACUUAUGUAUUGGGUUUUGUAAAUAGCCUACGUUUAAUACUCCUAAUUAGUAUCUAAACAUUGAUGUGACACUUGCUUAAAAAUAAGCAAACAAACCAAACGCCCCCUCACUCACUCCGACGGGCUGACCGGUCCACCGCACUCAAGGCCUCCACCGCACCAUGUGAUGUGAGGUAACUAACCUCAGUUACCUCCGAACUUUAACCUCGUGCAUAAUUUGUCACCGUCAUCGUGUGGCAUGUUCCCUUCAGCUUAUAAGCCGGCUGAAAAGCUGAAAUGGCUGAUUCUCUGUGAGAGGAAAUACUGUUUGGUGGCUGAUAAACCAGCUGAAUAAGUUGAAGCGAACAGACCGGUGGUUGCAGCAGGUCGACCCUGCUUGCUUGUGUGGGGGAAAACAAUCACGCCACAAAAUCUGUUCUGUCAAGUUGGGCUUAAUAUUAAACAAUCACCUUAUUAUUUUAAUCUUGUACUGCCACGCUAAGAAGGUUCGUCGGGAGGACUAGAAAUCAAAGACUCGGCAGCGUUGGUCGUCGGGAUACAAUAUUAUAAUUUCAUUUUGCAUGGCCCCGCCACAGAAAUCAUGCAGCAGCUUGCCACAUUGCUUCCUGCGCAAAAACUGAAGAAGGCCCGGCAAUUCCUUUUCUUUUUCUCCAACAUUCAUGUCGCUCUCGUUCUUCAGUCGUCCAAGUAUGCGCACCCAUCACGCUGCUCGUGGAAAAAUAAUAACACCCAUCAAUUCGAUAUAACAAGGCUAUAGUGAUGGAGAAAGAUGAUGAUACGAUUGCUCGCUUAAAAAUACAGAAAUGCGUGAUCUUGCACAAAAUUCUCAACCAGCACGUGGUUCCAUGCGCUGUGCUACUUGUACGGAAAUGGUAACUUCACACAAAUUGCUCCCAGCGACUUGUUCGCCCGGCGUAAUGGGCAGGGAAAGCCGGUGAGAUGAGCUCGGCCGGGUGGGUCCACCGCCACCACACCAGCAAGCAGGGGAGGGGUGGGCGAUCACGGAUCAUGGCGGGCAACUGGGAAAGCGACAACGCCGACACUGACCUCACCCACUGGGCCACUAGCUCAUUUAAUCCCUGCCUGCUAAUCACUCCCUCCUCGCUAAUCGCCAAAACCCACCCACCCGCCCGCGACCGCCAGCGGCCUCCGCCUUGACGUUGACGAGUCGUCGGCCGGCUGGCCGGCCAUCCCGGACUGAGCCCCUCGCGCGCUAUAAAACCAGCUCACCUGCUCGCCCCCGGCUGACCACCUCCACCGCAGCAUCUCACCAGAGGCCGGAGCUAGCACGAGAGCUGAAGAGCCAGGCGGCCAGGCCGAAGCCAAGAACAAGAAGGGCGCGCGCGCUCGAUUCCCUUCUCUCUUCCUCGAUCCCCCGAUCCCGAGCGGGAGCUCCGAGCAGCGACGGCGGCGGAGAUGGUGGCGGCGAUCGCGGUGGCCUCGGCGGGCCUGGGGAUGCUGGCGGGCGUCGCCAUGGCCAACAAGUCGUCCGAGGGCGGAGCCGCGCAGUGGAGGCCCGGGCCGCCGCCGGCCGCGCUGCGGUGGGGCGGAGGCGCGCCGCGCUGCGAGGCGUGCGGCGGGUCGGGCAAGGAGGAGUGCCGCCUGUGCGCGCGCUGGUCCGACGCCGGGGCAAGGGGCAGCCGCCGGUCCGGCUGCGGGGCGUGCGCCGGCACGCGGCGGACGCCGUGCCGGAGCUGCGGCGGGUCAGGGACCGGCCGGCGCGCGCCCGUGCGCGUCGCAACCUCAGGGCGCGCGGCCCCGACCGCCUGGUCCGCCAGAUGAGACGACGAGACGAGCCGGCCUGAGCCGAUCCGUCGCGGCGGCGCCUCUUCGCCUCUCCUCGACCCGGCUGCCGGAUCAUGGAUGAAGGCUCUGUCCUCUGUCUCUGUGCGGCAACCUGCCGGAACGGACAGAGGAGCCGCGGCGUCGAGUUGUUUCUUCCUCUUUUGUUUCCUGGCUGGAGAAAGAUUAGAGAGAAUUUUUGUAACAAAAGAUAGUAUAUACACUAGAUUAGCGACUUGAUCAAUAUAUCUUGGCAUAGCAAGGUUGAUUCCAAACAGCUCGUCUCUCAGCUGAUCUCCAAUUCGCUCGCUUCCUUGCUUGUUCAUGUCAAGAUUUAACCUCUGCCUUCUCUCUCUCUCCCCCCCUCUCAAAAAAUAAAAAUAAAAAUUAACCUCUGCCUGCCAAGAUCUUUUCUGGCGAGGAUCGAUGUCCAGAUUUCCAUGUUCUCUAUGCCUACGCGUGAAGGAACUAACAUAAGCGCCACAGCCUCAGACUCUCUCCCUCCCCAACAUAUCGCUAACCAUGAUGAUCAAAUUUCCGCAGCGACCAGCGGCGAAUUCGUUUGAUAGAUGACAGCACAUCCAGUCCAGCUUCCAAAUCAAUUCCGUGGUCUCGCAGCAAUGAAAGAUUGGUUUGAUGAACUGCCGAUGCUGCAGUGGUAAGCGAGCAGAGCACCAAACCAAAUUGAUCCAUGGAGUGCAGAGAGGGGGACAGUGAGCUAAGCUAGGUGUGUGCGUCUGAACGCGAAGAUCAAAAUGGGAACCCGUUCACAUUCGUGCGCUCAAUUCCACUAGCUAGCGACAUGAUGAGAAUCUUACCUUCCACAUCGCCCUAGAAAGGUGAUGUUACUGCAAUUCCUAUAUAUAAAAAGAAGAGAAUUCAACAAGCUCCUCGACCGGAGAUUCAUAUUUUAUCAGUCCCACCACAGACCUGAACAAAAGCACGACAUGAUCCAAUCUACCAGCUUCUCUCCGGCGACCUCCACUGAAUCUCAUCAUCAUGCACCUUGGAUAGGAUUGUCCUAGCCAUGGCUUGAGUUCUUCUUCUUCAACACCUCAAGGCCUCGAGUUCACAGGUUCAUUCGGGACCGUAGAAUCACGGGCACGGCAGAAACCGCCACCGGCAUCGACAGCGCAUUCCUUCAGCCACUGCGCCCCUGAAACCGACCCGCACCCACAUGGAGCUCACCAUGCUCGGCUGUCCAGGGUCCAGGGUGCGGUGCUCCAUCACGCAAUUGCUCUCGGCCUCCGAAUCCAGACAGCUCCCGGGCGACGGAAAGAGCGGUAACCCGCUUGCUCGAUCUGGAAUUUGCGCGUGCCGCAUGGAAUGUGUAUGCGUUCGGUUAGGGCCGGUUGCCACUUGGCGUCGACGCGAAAACAAGCUUGGACCUUGCAUCGAUAUGGCUCGCUUGACGUUCCCUGGGUUCGUUUGAUGACACCAAGAGGGGGACGAUCCAGCCAUCCAGGAUGGUCGUGUUUGCUUUGGUUCGGCAGAGGUACUGAAAAACUUCCAUUUUUGUCUUCUUGUUUAUUGCCGCCAUCAUUGAUUCGGGCAAAGAUUGUCCCUAAUUUUGGGUUGCUUGUCUUAUCUCUUCUCAGUUCUUACUUUGAAGAACUAGCAUGGUAGCAUGUGUGGCUCUGUGCUAUUACACAUGUGUGGCUCUGUGCUAUUACACGUCUAGUUUUGAGAAUGGUUUGCAUUCUUUAUGCAACUCUAAUGACUAAAUCUAAGAAUAGUACUGACUGUCGGUUGCCAAACUCUUUUCAUACACUCUAGAUAAACUUUAUUUUGAGCAUAUAUAUCUAAGAUAGGAAUGUUUAGGUUAUUUAUCUUGAGCACACUCCAUCUUAGGCACAUGAUAACUUCACUGUCGUUCUCUGCGACAGAGGAAACAGAAAAGAUAUUUUUUUCUCGAACACGCAGGAGAGCUGCGUAUCUUUAUAUUAUUAAGAGAGAAUAAAAAGCCUAAUUACAGAAACACCAUCUCAGCUUGGACCAUAAUGAGAGGUGUGAGGUCUCAACUUACAAAGAAACUUACGGCUUAAGCAAGAAAAAGGACCUGACCCGGGCUACCUAAGCCACACUCUAGACCAGCAGCCUCCCUAGGUCCAGGGCAUUUAGCCCCUUGGCCCCAGCGAGCUGCCACAGUUGGAUUCAUCCUUGAAACAGAAACCAAAAGAAUUUGGUGGGCUACCAGAAACAGAAAAGAUUAUUACCCAAAAAAAUUGGUGGGCCAAUUGCGAGCCAUUCUUUGGAGACAAUAUAAUAGAACCCGGAAGAAGCCUGGCAAUUUCCUCGGCUAGCUCAGUUCCACUAGUGGAAGAGGAAUCUUACCUUCCACUACAUUCUAAAAGGUGAUUCAGAUAAUGAUCCAGAAAGCUGAUAGUACAAUUAUGUGGAUGGAAAAUUUAAAAAGGGAUCCCCACUGGUUCAUAUUUUGGUCCCCAAGCAUGCAUGGAUCCACAUAAGAAGAUACCUGUAUACUUUCUCUGCUGGUCUCCAGUUUUCACCACUAUCACUACUAAACCCUCCACCUGCCGUUCCAAUCCGUCGAUUCCCCUGUGAUCUUUGAUGCAGUGGCUUGGAUGCUAGGAUGAAGUUCCAUGGAAUCAAUCGUCUUUCAGUUCACAAGACCGGGAUCAUGAAAGAUAGCACCUUGUUCGGUUGCCCAAGGGCAGUGCUCCUUGACGCAAUUUGCCUUCCUUCAAAAUUUCAAUCGAACAGCUCCCUGCACUGCCGCCCCAUGUCCAUGUAUGCCCUGGAAGGCGAUGGAAAGGAAGCCUACUUGCUCUUUUCAUUGCGCGUGUUGUUCAUAUCCGUGCGCGCAUUCAGUUUUCAUUCGGUUGGGCUCGAUUGCGACCAAGAAAGUACUCUUCAACUUUUAUUUUUCCAUUAGACAUAUCAACACAUCGAACCAACAAACUUAUCUGGUGACUCACAUCUGGGGUGCAGUCAAGGAUAACCGAAAAAUAUUUGGCAUCUUUAACAAUCUUAAGCCAUAAGUGAAACCAACUUAUUCUGAAUUUUAUGACUAAGAUAAUGAUACUGAAGCUCUUUGUUUUGAAUACGUCUAAGGUGGUCUUGCGUCACCAAGUCAAAUUCUGCGAUCAUGUCACAACAAGCUAAGAAAUUACCAUUAAGGUUAUUGUAAAGUUGCUCACUAGAUCCUCGAAAAGCUAAGUUGCGUUUACCAAGAAAUUUCACAAUGGCCACUAUUCGUAAUAGAACUUGUCUUAGGCGUUCUUUCUCCUUUGCAAUUUGUUGUUGUAACUCCUUGUCGAUCGUUUCUCGUUUUCUUAGUAUUGCACUCAGUUCAUUCCAAGAGUUCAUGUUGGUAAUAUGAUCAACAUUAACUUCAUGCUCUUGCAGUUGUUAGAACCGAAAAGCUUACAGCAAAAGCAAAAAACUUUAUCAACAUGUUUUGAAUAGACUAACCAUUUCCUGUCACGUACUUCUCCAUUGCUCAUUUUUCUAGAGUAAUGAGUGUGAGAAAAAUGUCUUGAGUUGGCAUCCAAAGGAAAUAUAAUAUUUUCUUCUCUUAUAGAGGCCCCUUCUCUACUAAUAUGUCCUUUGCUUUAUUAUCAAGAUUGUCCCAAUUGACUGGAUCAUGCAUAUCUGAAGUAAAAACUGGUUCUUCAUCACUAGCAAAGUGCUCAUGAUCACUCACAUUGUUAUCAUCCGUGUUGAUGCCAACAUUAUCUUCUGGAAUAGUAUUAGUUUGUUCCUCCACAACAACUAUCACCAACUCGUCUGGGUUUCUUGAAGCUGUUGUACUACUCUAAAAAAAUCUAUAAUUGGAUCCUCUUUGUGAUUCUAUCAACUCAUCUACAUGUUUCUUCCUUUUCUUUUAAUCACUGCCUGAUGCAUGCUUCCUAGAUGACAUGAGGGCACUGGAAUUUUUAACAAGACAAUUAGUAACUUACAAAUGUACUAACAUAUUGGAUCGACUUAAUCAAAUUAUUAGUAAAUUAUAUAAGUUACAGACUUACAGUAUAGAUGAAUUUUGAACUUCGAAUAUCAAUGGAGAAUUGGAGGGGGCAAGUUUGUUACCUAUUUUACUUCUGGCUGUGGCUCGGUGGCUGCCUGUGGCAUUUGUCAGCGUUGGAACUCGGACGGUCGCCGGCGUCGAACGAUCGGAGCCUCGGAGGCGAGUUCCUCUUGGCGGCAUGCGAACAGGCGGACUGGUGGAGGGCGCAUGAUCGAUCCGUUCUCUCGUGGAUUACUGGAUUUAGCUGCUGGUGGCCUGCUGCAGUGCUGCUUGUGCUCCAGCCUCAGGCUAUGGGCCUAGCCCAACUGCUGAACUAAACGUCUAAAUGUCUAAACCACGUAAUCAGCAGCCAUGUAUACGUAUACCUAUACUACAUGUAUACAUGGGAUGGCCCCCCUCCGUUUUUGGGCUCAGGGCAGCUGCACUGCUCGACCCCCUCCCCCGCCCCGGCCGGGCCUGGGUGGAAGCAAGCUUCCCAUGUUUAGCAGGAAGUUACGGGUUGUUUUGUCAUCUAGAGAUGUUAAUUCUCUCCUCACGUUUUCCUAUUUCAGGGUGUGUACCCAAUAAACGUUUGCUAGUUAGCUCAUUCACUAUCGAACAUUUGCCACUAUUUUUACACUAAGGGCCUAGCUCGAAUUUCAUUACUCAGAGCAACGAAAUUACGUAGUUCAGGUUCAGGUUUCACACCAACAGUAGACUACUACACAUUACCCAAAAAGAGGACUCCAACUGAGCAGCACAAAGGACCUUCUAGCUGAAGCGCACACACACGGAGACUUAGAGUUUAAGAAGUAGACAUCCAUUAAGGCUAUUAGACUGGACACAACUUUCGUUCGCCAUCUUCAUCAACUUGACCGGCUUGCAGACAGCCUCUACCCCCAAGCAGCCUGGACCCUCAUUGUAGCAACACUAUCCCUGUUUCCUCCGUUGCACCUUUAUGAGGGUGGAAGUGCAGUGCCGCCUCCUUCAUCGUUUCUGCUCCAGCUUCCAGGUUCAUCUUGUCAUCCUGCUUCUGGAGACUUGCCCAGUAUGUUAUGAAGGAAGAUGCUAAGCAAUUAAUCUCAGUAGGAGAUUUAAUUUGUUUCUUGUCAAAACAGACUAAAUUUCUCAAUUUCCAUAUUGCCCAGCAAAACAGCUGACAAGACAACCAUAUGUACACUUUUGAUUUGAGGCAAAUAUCUCAUGCUCCAUUCCCAAAACUAUACAAAGUUGCUUGGCCUACAGGGAGCACCAAUAACCAUGGCCAUCAGGCUCCAAACAUACCUUGCUAAGGAAAACCAAAAAAGAUAUGUUCUACAGAUUCAUCCAUACUACAGAAACAAUAUCUCUUGUCUCCCUGCCAGUUACGUUUUAGCAAAUUAUCUUUGGUUAAAAUGGCAUUUUGGUGAACUAACCACAUGAAGAUUUUUAUUUUCAAAGCGAUUUUUACUUUCCAAAUCUUUUUUGUUAGGAAUCUCAAUAUCAUCACUGCAUAAGUGAUCAUACAUGGACUUAACUGAGAAGGUUCUGUUCUUUUCCCAACUACAUUGGGGUUUAUCUCUAUCAGUAGACAACGCACAAGUAGAUAGUAUAUCUCUCAUCUGUCUUAAUUGGGUUUGAGCUCUCUCGUCCAGCCACCUUCUAAAUGUUAAUCGCCACCCUCUUGCAACCAUAGCUGCUACACAUUCUGUUUGUUCAUUAGAAAUGUCAAAUAGGUCUUGAAAUUUAUCUCUUAGCGAGACUGGGCCACACCAGGGAUCUCUCCAGAAGUCUGCCCAUUGCCAAAUUUGAUAAUUCUACCUUUUAUGUAGAUAUCUUUAACUUUUAAUAGAUCAUUCCACAUAGGGAAAUUAGUUGGUUUGCUUUUUAAAUGUGAUAUUUCUCCAACAAUCUUAUAUUGCGGCUUCGUUUCGCACACGCAAAACAAAAGGAUUGUCAUAAAAUUGUUUCAGAAAGGUUCAGAACAUACAAAUUGCUUGCGUAGGUGCACCUCCUUUUGAUGAAACCACGAUGACUACAGGACACCAUAUAGUUUCCCUGACAGCGACCGGUGGCUUGUUGGCAAUCGAAGGUCUUUAGCAACAGCAUGUCGCUCCGCCCGAAUACAUGUUUCUCAGCAACAGAACGAGUGUUACUUAAGCCUUAAGGUGUGUUCUCUUGUUGUGUACUACUUCCAUACCAAAUUACUAUUUGUUUUACCUUUUUUCUAGAUACAUCACUUCUGCUAUAUAUCUAGACAUAAGUAUAUAUCUAGAUGCAUAUCAAAAUGUGUGUAUGUAGAAAAGCUAAAAUGAAUAAUAAUUUUGAAAGGAGGGAGUAUAUGGUCUGAAAAUAUGGCACAAUUCAGUUAGCCAAGAUCUCUGAAUAUACUUUGUCGUCGCUGCUCGGCUGCUCCUUGUUCGGUAGAAGGACAAUAUAUUUGCGGAGUUGAGGAGAUUGAAGUUGCUUACUUACAUUUCUUGUACGUAGUUGCUUGAUAGCUUGCACUACGUCACGUUUUAUUGGCUCCCAGCAAUGAGAAAAUGGGAGAUAAGUUGACAAGUCCAGCGUACGCAUCCGGUCCCUGAGCUUUGUCUCCUAGCAUGCGUGGACGCGGCUUGAGUUGGAAAUAAUGCUCUUCCUGUAUGGGCUCAUCCAAGGGCUGUAUUGAGCCAGUUGAAGCACGCAUCCCGACUUUAGGUCCAAUGAUAUUCGCGCUUGUGCCGAGCUAGCUGCUGCUCAGAAGAAUGCUUAAAGUCUUCUUAGAUAAUACUCAGUGGAUGGUUUAUCGUAGUGCUAAGAAUCACUAAAGAGAAGAGAAAUGCUAAAAGAACUGUGCGCAGUACUUCUUUCAUUCUCGGAAAGUUAACCUAUUUUUCUGAUCACUAGACUAUGGCUCCGUUUGGAUCCCAUCGAAUUUGAGAAUCCAGCGCUGGGUGGGAUCAAAGACACUGUAAGACAAUAGUUUAGCCUAAGCCUGCUACUGAGGAGGGUAUGGACAAAUCUACUCUUGUUCAUAUCCAAAUUAAAAAAAAUAUUAUUCACUUCUUAUCCUCCCCAAUCCCGGUCAUAUCCAAUAGAUAAUUAACUUUGUACUGUAUAUAUACACAUUUUCAAUUGAAUAAUUUUACCCUCUAGUAGGUACAUAAUUUUUUACCCAUACCCUUUCCAUUUGAAAUGGGUAUGGAGAAUGGAUACACAUUGGCAGGCCUAAUGUAGCCCUUGAUAUCCUGGUGAAGCCGUGAAGGUGAACUAGCGACAGCCCGCCAAACAAGGACUAACCAUGUGGCACAACUUGCUUGCCGGCACGUCCCUCUGCUGCGAAAGAUCAGGGGUGCUGCGCCGUGAAGGUGAACUAGCAGAAGACGACGACAGCCCGCCAAACAAGGACUAACCGUGUGCGAAAUAUCAGGGGUGCUGCGCGCCAAAAUCUUGCCUUGUUUGCACAGCGAAACGGCUCAACUGCACAGACGCUCGUGCCAAACCUCCCCUUCCGCAACGACGCCUUGUUUGCCUGUCGUGGUAUGCGACCCUUGAAGCACUUCUAUAUUAGACGCAUCAUCGUAGUAGGAAGAACAGAACAAGAAGCCGUCGACAAAGAAGAAAUUCGAGCUCCAACGACGACACUGUUUCAGUUAGCCUUAUCCCAAGGCCUUCUCUUCAGCUCUUUUUUGAGUCCACCUGGUAUAAUCCUUGCAAGAUGGUCGGACCGAUCGUGCUCGCGGCGUCCGCCGGCCUCGGCAUGCUCGCCGGCCUCGCGACGGCGGACAGGUGCUCCUCCUCCUCCGGCGGCGCGCGGGGGCUGAGCUGCGUGGCGUGCGGCGGCACGGGGAAGGUGGCCUGCCUCUGCGCCCGGUGGUCGGACGGCGACGACGUCGGGUGCCGGCCGUGCGCAGGGACCGGACGCACGCCGUGCCGGAGCUGCCGCGGCUCCGGCCGCACCGGGCGGCGGCACGAGCCCGUGCGGGUGGUCGUGCGCGCGCAGAGGCCCCUGGAGGCUGUUACAAAAGCCAGGAAAUGACGAGUUCCUCGCGCUAAAAUCGUAGCGAUGUUGUAGCAACUAGGCUACUAGCUUAGCAAGCUUCCUGCUUCAGCAUCCCAUCAGCGUCGUUUCGUUGUACAUUAUGUGUUGCAGGGCUAGUUCUCUCGGAACAUACGAGGAUCUUGAGAUUGCACUUAUUCUUUUGAUAUAUCUUAUUAAUCUAUUACAUCAUUUAGAAUUUGCUUUCCAUUUUGUUGUUAAAUUUUUCAUUCAGUCACAUAUUGUCAUCUCAGCCAAUUUUUGGACUGGUUUUCAGUCUGCCCCUCUCUUUGGGAUUCUUUUCACUACUGGAAAACUCAGCAUUUGUCUCGAGGCUAAGUACCGGUUGGUUUUUGACCCGGUACUAAUGCUAAUGGCUAGUUCCCCACGAGCCCCCGUGACCCCUUUACUACCGGUUGGGGGCUCCACCUGCUACUAAAUGUCCUUAGACACAUUAGUACCGGGUGGAGGCUCCACCCGAUACUAAUGUGCCUGAGGGCUCCAAGCGGUACUAAAGGUGGCUCCACCCGGUACUAAAGGGUAACCUUUAGUACCUACCCUUUAGUACCGGUUGGACCCCCCGAGCGGCACGAACUUCCCUCCUAUAAAUCAGGUGUCUUCUUCCACCUGCCCGAGUCAUGUCCUCCAGCUCGGGCUUCAUCCAUUCAUGGCGAAAUAGGGGAGAUGCUGUCGGAUUUUUGACCAUUUCGUGGGGAUUUCACUCAUUUAAGUGUUCUAAAGGUUAGAAACUUCAUCCUCCCUUGAUACAUGGUUAGUAUACUAAGUUUUAUGCUUUAGAGCUAGAGUAAUUUGAAAUUUUUAGAAUAAGGUAUAAUGGAGAAAAAUUUUAUUUAUAUGCAUGUGUUAUUUAGAGCUCAUAUUUGUGAUUUUUAGAAUAAGCUACAAUUUUUUAGAUGCUAUGUUUCACAUUAGUCAAAGAAAUUGGUAUAAGGUUAGAGUAAUAAUUUCAUAGUUUAGACCUUUACAAGCAUGACCUAAAUAAAUUAUGGGGAAAAAUAUAAUUUCUUUAUAUUUUAGUCAUUUGGAAAUAUGAACGAGAUAAAUUGUGGUAUAUAGAGAUAAUAAGAUGAAAUAGAGGUAUGUAAUUAGUCACUUUUAGAAUAAGCUACAAUGGAGAAAAUUUUCAUUUAUAUGUUAUAUUUGAGCUAAAUAAAUUAUGGUACAUAGAGAUGGCUACUGCUGCUAGAGGUAGUGGCAAUGGUGGGGGCGAUCGUCGUUCCUCUCGCGGCAAGGGGAAAACCAUAAUUGGCCCUUAAGUUGAAGAAAAUGAGCAUGUGGCAGAGAACAAUGCUUCGUUAUUUGGAAAGAUGUCAUGAAGAUGCUAUUCCGGCGGGUCAGGAACCUCAUUUUGGUGGUCGUUAUGCUCCACCGCCAGUCCCGGGGGUUUUAGAUCCACUAAGUACUACUGUCAUGGGAAGCACAAAUAAACCACAGGAUGAGGCUGGGUCAGCGAAACCUUCGUCUUCGCCGCCUAAGGAUGCUUAAAGUCUUCUUAGAUAGUACUCAGUGGAUGGUUUGUCGUAGUGCUAAGAAUCACUAAAGAGAAGAGAAAUGCUAAAAGAACUGUGCGCAAUACUUCUUUCAUUCUCGGAAAGUUAACCUAUUUUUCUGGUCACUAGACUAUGGCUCUGUUUGGAUCCCAUCGAAUUUGAGAAUCCAGCGCUGGGUGGGAUCAAAGACACUAUAAGACAAUAGUUUAGCCUAAGCUUGCUACUGAGGAGGGUAUGGACAAAUCUACUCUUGUUCAUACCCAAAUUCAAAUAAUUAUUAUUCACUUCUUAUCCUCCCCAAUCCCACCCAUAUCCAAUGGAUAAUUAACUUUGUACUGUAUAUAUACAUAUUUUCAAUUGAAUAAUUUUACCCUCUAGUAGGUACAUAAUUUUUUAUCCAUACCCUUUCCAUUUGAAAUGGGUAUGAAGAAUGGAUACACAUUGGCAGGCCUAAUGUAGCCCUUGAUAUCCUGGUGAAGCCGUGAAGGUGAACUAGCAGAAGACGACGACAGCCCGCCAAACAAGGACUAACCAUGUGGCACAACUUGCUUGCCGGCACGUCCCUCUGCUGCGAAAGAUCAGGGGGGCUGCGCCGUGAAGGUGAACUAGCAGAAGACGACGACAGCCCGCCAAACAAGCACUAACCGUGUGGCCCAACUUGCUUGCUGGCACGUCCCUCUGCUGCGAAAUAUCAGGGGUGCUGCGCCGUGAAGGUGAACUAGCAGAAGACGACGACAGCCCGCCAAACAAGGACUAACCGUGUGCGAAAUACCAGGGGUGCUGCGCGCCAAAAUCUUGCCUUGUUUGCACAGCGAAACGGCUCAACUGCACAGACGCUCGUGCCAAACCUCCCCUUCCGCAACGACGCCUUGUUUGCCUGUCGUGGUAUGCGACCCUUGAAGCACUUCUAUAUUAGACGCAUCAUCGUAGUAGGAAGAACAGAACAAGAAGCCGUCGACAAAGAAGAAAUUCGAGCUCCAACGACGACACUGUUUCAGUUAGCCUUAGCCCAAGGCCUUCUCUUCAGCUCUUUUUUGAGUCCACCUGGUAUAAUCCUUGCAAGAUGGUCGGACCGAUCGUGCUCGCGGCGUCCGCCGGCCUCGGCAUGCUCGCCGGCCUCGCGACGGCGGACAGGUGCUCCUCCUCCUCCGGCGGCGCGCGGGGGCCGAGCUGCGUGGCGUGCGGCGGCACGGGGAAGGUGGCCUGCCUCUGUGCCCGGUGGUCGGACGGCGACGACGUCGGGUGCCGGCCGUGCGCAGGGACCGGACGCACGCCGUGCCGGAGGUGCCGCGGCCCCGGCCGCACCGGGCGGCGGCACGAGCCCGUGCGGGUGGUCGUGCGCGCGCAGAGGCCCCUGGAGGCUGUUACAAAAGCCAGGAAAUGACGAGUUCCUCGCGCUAAAAUCGUAGCGAUGUUGUAGCAACUAGGCUACUAGCUUAGCAAGCUUCCAUAUGCUUCAGCAUCCCAUCAGCGUCGUUUCGUUGUACAUUAUGUGUUGCAGGGCUAGUUCUCUCGGAACAUACGAGGAUCUUGAGGUUGCACUUAUUCUUCUGAUAUAUCUUAUUAAUCUAUUACAUCAUUUAGAAUUUGCUUUCCAUUUUGUUGUUAAAUUUUUCAUUCAGUCAAAUAUUGUCAUCUCAGCCAAUUUUCGGCUGGUUUUCAGUCUGCCCCUCUCUUCGGGAUUCUUUUCACUACUGGAAAACUCAGCAUUUGUCUCGAGGCUCAGUACCGGUUGGUUUUGACCCGGUACUAAUGCUAAUGGCUAGUUCCCCAUAAGCCCCCCGUGACCCCUUUAGUACCGGUUGGGGGCUCCACCUGCUACUAAAUAUCCUUAGGCACAUUAGUACCGGGUGGAGGCAGACACAUUAGUACCGGGUGGAGGCUCCACCCGAUACUAAUGUGCCUGAGGGCUCCAAGCGGUACUAAAGGUGGCUCCACCCGGUACUAAGGGUAACCUUCAGUACUGGUUGGAGCCCCCAAGCGGUACGAACUUCCCACCUAUAAAUCAGGCGUCUUCUUCCUCCUGCCCGAGUCAUGUCCUCCGGUUUGGGCUUCAUCCAUUCAUGGCGAAAUAGGGGAGGUGCUAUCGGAUUUUUGACCAUUUCGUGGGGAUUUCACUCAUUUAAGUGUUAUAAAGGUUAGAAACUUCAUCCUCCCUUGAUACAUGGUUAGUAUACUAAGUUUUAUGCUUUAGAGCUAGAGUAAUUUGUAAUUUUUAGAAUAAGGUAUAAUGGAGAAAAAAAUUAUUUAUAUGUAUGUGUUAUUUAGAGCUCAUAUUUGUGAUUUUUAGAAUAAGCUACAAUUUUUUGGAUGCUAUGUUUCACAUUAGUCAAAGAAAUUGGUAUAAGGUUAGAGUAAUAAUUUCAUAGUUUAGACCUUUACAAGCAUGACCUAAAUAAAUUAUGGGGAAAAAUAUAAUUUCUUUAUAUUUUAGUCAUUUGGAAAUAUGAACGAGAUAAAUUGUGGUACAUAGAGAUAAUAAGAUGAAAUAGAGGUAUGUAAUUAGUCACUUUUAGAGUUAGCUACAAUGGAGAAAAUUUUCAUUUAUAUGUUAUAUUUGAGCUAAAUAAAUUAUGGUACAUAGAGAUGGCUACUGCUGCUGGAGGUAGUGGCAAUGGUGGGGGCGAUCGUCGUUCCUCUCGCGGCAAGGGGAAAACCAUAAUUGGCCCUUAAGUUGAAGAAAAUGAGCAUGUGGCAGAGAAUAAUGCUUCGUUAUUUGGAAAGAUGUCAUGAAGAUGCUGUUCCGGCGGGUCAGGAACCUCCUUUUGGUUGUCGUUAUGCUCCACCGCCAGUCCCGGGGGUUUCAGAUCCACUAAGUACUACCGUCGCGGGAAGCACAAAUGAACCACAGGAUGAGGCUGGGUCAGCGAAACCUUCGUCUUCACCGCCUAAGGAUGCUUAAAGUCUUCUUAGGUAGUACUCAGUGGAUGGUUUGUCGUAGUGUAUCAUGUUGUUUGGGUCUGAAAUUUAAAUUUGUGUAUUUCUAUCUAAACUUUCAACAACAUUUGAGUUUAAUGAAAUUUGUAUCAUGUUUAUUAUGUUUCAUGUAUGAUUCUAUGGACGAUCAGAAUAUCUUUGGUUCGAUAACACUUUGUAGAUGGAUCGGCAAUGGAUGUACAGCGCAGAUAAAUGCUCCAUGGAGUACAUUAAUGGCUUGUAUGGUUUUCUCGAGCUGGCAGAGUCCAACAAGCCGCCGUCUGGUUUCAUUUGUUGUCCGUGCCAAAUUUGCAAAAAUGAGAAGGAUUACUCAUUCAGAAAGACUAUUCACACCCACUUAUACAGUUCGGGAUUCAUGCCUAACUAUUUCGUUUGGACCAACCACGAGGAAAGAGGAGUUGUGAUGAAAGAUGAUGAUGAUGAUGAAGAAGAUGAUAACUACAUUCCUAACUGGGCUCAAGGAGGUGCCUUUACAGAAGUUGCAAUUGGUUAGGCUGAAGAAGAGAUGGUUGUAGAAGAAGGUCCUACCGAUGAUCUAGAUCAGGUGUUGCGAGAUGCAAAGAAGACUACAAGAAUGUGAAGGAGUCAAUAAAAUUCGAGCGUAUGUUAGAUGAUCAUAAGAAAUUGUUGUACCCAAAUUUCAAACAUGGGCAAAAAAGUUAGAUACCACACUGGAAAUGCUGUAAUGGAAGGUAAAAAAUGGAGCUUCUAAUAAGGGUUUUGAUGAGUUAAUGAAACUCAUAAAGAAUAUGCUUUCUGAGGUGAACAAAUUGCUGUCCACAAUGUACGAAGUGGAAAAGGUUGUUUACCCUCAGGGUUUGGAGGUACAAAAGAUACAUGCAUGUCCUAAUGAUUGUAUCCUUUAUCGUGGUGAGAAAUACGAGAAAUUGAAGGCUUGUCUUGUGUGUGAAGCGCUAUGCUAGAAGAUCAGGCGAGAUGACCUCGGUGAUGUUGAGGGGCAGGCCAGCAAGAAGAAAGUUACUACGAAGGUAAUGUGGUAUUUCCCUGUAGUACCACGCUUGAAGUGUUUGUUCAGAAACAAGGCACAUGCAAAGUUGAUGCGUUGGCACAAAAAAGAAUGUAAGUAAGAUGAAAUGAUCAGACACCCCACUGAUAGGUCCCAGUGGAGAAAAUUUGACAGAGAAUUUUCCAAGUUUGAAAAGGAUGCAAUGAACAUACAGUUUGAUUUAAGUACAACAAUAGUGGUCAUGGCACUUGGCCUGUGACCUUAUGUAUGUUCAACCUUCCGCCCUGGAUGUGUAUAAAGCGGAAAUUCAUUAUGAUGCUGGUAAUUAUCCAAGACCCAAAACAACAUGGCAACGAUAUUGAUGUUUACCUAAGACUGUUGGUUGAUGAACUUUUACUAUUAUAGAAGGAAGGUGUACGUGUGUGGGAUGAGGAUAAUAAGGAGGCUUUUAAUCUACGGGCAUUGUUAUUCAUAACCAUCAAUGAUUGGCUGGCACUUGGUAAUCUGUCCAGACAGACAAAUAAUGGAUAUCAAGCCUGCACCCACUAUUUAGAUGAUACAUGCAGCAUGUAUUUGAAACACUGUAGGAAUGUCGUGUAUACGGGCCAUCAUCGAUUUCUUUCUGCUAAGCACCCGUUAUGAAAGAAAUGGAAACAUUUUGAAGGGAAGGAAGAAAAAUAUACUAAGCCCGUUCACCGUAAUGGUAAAUUGUAUUAUCUAUGAUAAAGGAUGUGAGGGUAGUCUUUGGCAAGGUCUCUAGUAGCCAACCUAUUCCGAAUGAUGAGGAUAGACAUGCACCCAUGUGGAAGAAGUCUAUAUUUUGAGAGCUACCUUAUUGAGAAGUCCUUGAGGUCCGAAUACAAUCGAUGUGAUGCACCUGAUGAAAUUUUUUUGCAUGAACAUGCUUGGCUUCCUAGGUACAUAUAGAAAGGCAAAGGAUACAAUUGAAGCACGUCGGGACAUGAAACGUAUGAAACAAUGAGAUGGCCUACAUCCGGAAAAGAAAGGUGAUGGACAUUAAUUGCAUCCUGCAAGUUACACUCUCACACUCUCAGCAAGGAAGAGAAAGAAACAUGUUUGAGUGCUUGAAUAGUAUCAAGGUCCCAUCAGGCUACACCUCGAAUAUAUAGGGAAUAAUAAAUAUUAAAGAGAAGAAAUUCAUAAAUCUAAAGACCCAUGAUUGCCAUGUCCUGAUGACACAAUUGCUGCCUGUUGCACUGAAGGGUAUUCUACCAAGGAAUGUGAGAUGGAAAUCGUGAAGCUAUGUGCAUUCCUCAACAUGAUUUCUCAUAAGGCAAUCCAUUCAAAUAAUCUACUAAAGCUGCAGAAUUUUGAGAUGGUCUUUUACCUUCCUUCUUUAAUAUCAUGACUCACCUUCUAAUCCACCUUGUUGAAGAAAUUUUUGUUCUUGGUCCUGUAUUUCUACACAAUAUGUUUCGUUUUAAGAGGUUUAUGGUAGUUCUGAAGAAGUAUGUUCGUAAUCGUGCCCGUCCUAAGGAGGUCAUUGAUUUUGUGUUGACUUUAUUGACGAUCUGAGUUCUAUUGGAGUCCCUGUAUCACGCCAUGAGGGGAGGCUCAAGGGAAAGGGAACAAGGAAAGCUCGGAUGGACAUCGAUGAGAGUACAUUUCGUAAAGCACACUUCACAGUCCUGCAACAAUCAUUCAUAGUGGCUCCAUAAUUGGAGAAGCACAAGACCAUUGUACGGUCCUCAAACCAGGGGAAUACUGAGGCCUGGAUUACACGUCAUCUCAUUGGCACUUUCGUCUCUUGGUUGCAGCGACGAAUGAUGGGUGAUGACACGAUUGAAGAGCAACUAGCAUGGUUAGCUAGGGGUCCAUCUAUCUCAGUAUCGACAUUCCAAGGAUAUGAGAUAAAUGGGUACACAUUUUACACGACAGCCCAAGACCAAAAGAGUACAAACCAAAAUAGUGGUGUCCGUAUAGAUGCAAUAUACAACAAUGGAAAAAAAGAUAGAUACUAUAGUGUCAUUGAGGAGAUAUGGAAACUUGACUAUGGACCUAUUAAAAUCCCUCUGUUUUAGUACCAAUAUGGGUGAAAUUUACUCGAGGAGGCAUAACGACAAACAAUUAUGGGAUGACAAUAGUGGACUUCAACAAGAUUGGAUAUAGAGACGAACCAUUCGUCCUAGCCAAAGAUGUGACUCACGUUUUCUAUGUGAAGAACGUAUCAAGUAAACCAAAAUAGAAGGGUGCUAAUAAGUCAGAUGACUAGCCAAAGCGCUACAUAGUUCUUCCAGGGAAAAGACAAAUCAUUGGAGUUGAGGAUAAAACUGACAUUUCAGAAGAUUAUGAUCAGUUCAGUGAUCUUCCUCCAUUUUCAGUCGAGAUUGACCCAAGCAUCCUGUUAGCCAAAGAGGAUGCUCCAUACUUACGCUGUGAUCAUAAUCAAGGGACGUUCGUCAAGAGAAAGGUUAUUAACGUUCCAUUAGAUGAUGAUGUGUAAUGUAUUAGAACCAUUAUGCAAUGUUUUGUAGUCAAGUGAUAAAUUAAUGUAAUAAUAUAUUGUAAUGAUAUGUAAUGUAUUGUGAUCAAGUGACAAACUAAUGUAAUAACGUUCUUUGGAGUUAUUAAACAAGAACUAAUUUUUGCAUGGUUAAAAUAUUAAUUAUUUUAAUUUUUUUAGCAUCAUUAAAUAUUAAACAAUAAAUUUGGAUACAAUUAAAUAAGCAUAUGACUAAGUCAUGGUAAACAUGUUAAUAACACUAUAGGCACUAUUUUUCUAGAUUUUUGCAUACUCAAAAUAUUUAUUUUUUCUAAUUUUUAAGUUAACAUAAGUAUUAUGACCAUUUAUAACCUAUUACUAACUUAAUAUUACUAAUUUUACUAUAUUUGAUAUUUAACUGCAGAUACUAUUUUUAUUGUGUAGAUCUAAUCAACAUCAAGAUAACGAACCUUUUUUCAAUUUUAUGAAUACGCAAUAAAUAAAUAUAAUAUCAAUUUAAAAAAAGGAAAUAAAACAUUUGUCUUAGUGUUUACAAUGCCUUUGGUGCCGGGUGGUAGCUACACCCGGUGUAAAUGGGUUUUCGUUUCGCGCGCGGCACACCCCCUUUAGUAUCAGGUGUAGCUACCACCUAGUAUUGAAGGGGUGGUCUUUAGUACCACUGGUAACCACCACCUAGUACUAAAGGGUAUUAGUACCGUGUGGAGGUGAGGCCCGGUACUAGGGGCGAUAAAAAUCCCAUCCCCUUCCUCCCCAACACUUAGCCGCGAUUGUCAUCCCCUUCCUCAUCGGAUCCUCCACCGCCGCACCUCUGCCACUCCGCGAGCCGCCGUCAUGUCGUGCCCCCGGCGCCUUCUUCGACGCUGCGCGCCCCCCGUUGCCCUCGUCGUCACCGUCACCCCCGUCGCACGCGCGCCUCUGAUGCCCCCUAUUGCCGGCGCCCAACCUUCACGAUUGCGCUGCCCAUCUUUCACGCCGGUGCCGCUACCCCAGCCUCCUCCAUCAUACCGGCACCGCCUCCACUUCGCCGCUGCUGGCCUCCUGCCCAACACCGGCGCUGCCCCCGACUCGGCCGCCAGUGCCUCCCCCACUCCGCCACCCCUCCUCCACUGCGCCGCCUCCUCCACUGCACGCCAACCUCCUCCCUGUCAACGUGCUGCCAGCCGGCCUCCCAGCACCGGCGCUGCCCCCGAUCCGGCCACCAGUGCCUUCCCCACUCUGCCACCUGACACCGCAGGCGCCGCCCCCGACCCGUCCUCCAUGAAGCGCAACUGGUCGGCCGCGGGCUUCAUCUUCUUCGCUGACAUAAGCCCGUGGCCGGCAGAUGUCAUUAUUUUUUCUUUUUUCUUUUUUAUUUCUAGAAAUGUUGAAUUAGCUAGAAAAAUGUAGAAAAACGUUGAAUUAGUUGGAAAAUAUGGAAAAGUUCUUGAAUUAGCUAGAAAUUCUAUUAAUUAUAAAUUGUACAACAUGCCAUGUUAGAAAAUUUUGUUAAUUGUUAGAGAUGUCUAGAAAUACUAGACAAUUACUUUGAUACUUUUAGAAAUAACCAAAUUAUUGUAGCAAUUAUGUUAAUUUUUGUAGUCAAUUGUUGUUACAAAAUGUAUAAAUAUUACUCAUGCAUUCCGUAGUCAAUUAUUGUUACAAAAUGUAUAUAGUCAUUCUUUUUUCAUUUACUAGCAAUUCACAGUAAACAAUAAUUUUGUAGUAAUUUGUUGUAACAAAUUCUAUAACUGCUCAAUCUAGAUGGCUGAAAAAUGAAAGAACUAUUAAUUCCUAAUAAUCUUGAUAAGUAGAGAAUUCAAAUCAUGUUUAGGUAUAAUAAUUGCUAUACCUCCCCUUGUUGCCCAUCAUUGCCUCCCUUAGCAAUUGGUUGCUCCUCAUUGCCAUCACCAGAUAUAUUGAGGUAGAUGUCAGUCUAGCUGUGAUCGACCUCUUUGUUUGGCGGAUCAUUCGUGCGAUCUUGAACAAUCAAGUCCAUUAGGUAUUCCUCGUCCAAUUGGGCAUUCUCGUUCUCUGAUCGUGCCAUUGUAACGAAUAUAAUAUAAAAAGAAUUAUUCGAAGAAUGAUUAUAACUUAUACAAUUUUCAAACAAUAAAUGACUUUAAAAAUAAUGAAAUACUUAUACAAUUUUUUAUAAUAAAUUACUACAACAAUAUUUACUGUGAAUUGCUAUUAAAUAACAAUAAAAAAAGAAUUAAACACUUAUACAAUUCGUUAAUAAAUGACUACAACAAUAUUUACUGUGAAUUGCUAGAAAAUGACAACAAGAAAAGAGUUAAACAGUUAUAGAAUUUGUUACAACAAAUUACUACAAAAUUAUUGUUUAGUGUGAAUUGCUAGUAAAUGAAAAAAAGAAUGACUAUACAUUUUGUAACAAUAAUUGACUACGGAAUGCAUGACUAAUAUUUAUACAUUUUGUAACAACAAUUGACUACAAAAAUUAACAUGAUUUCUACAAUAAUUUGGUUAUUUCUAAAAGUAUCAAAGUAAUUUUCUAGUAUUUCUAGACAUCUCUAACAAUUAACACAAUUUUCUAACAUGGCAUGUUGUACAAUUUAUAAUUUAUAGAAUUUCUAGCUAAUUCAAGAACUUUUCCAUAUUUGCCAGCUAAUUCAACAUUUUUCUACAUUUUUUUAGCUAAUUCAACAUUUCUAGAAAUAAAAAAGAAAAAAGAAAAAAUAAUGACAUCUGCCGGCCACGGGCUUAUGUCAGCGGAGAAGAUGAAGCCCGCGGCCGACCACAAGGCCUGAAACAAGAAGUUAGAGGGCCGUAUCAUCAUCAUGGAACUUAAUGAAGAGGGUGAACCAACUGCUCCAGACAAUGCUAAGACCAAAACGGUGAAUCAAAUUAGGUUUCUUGUUAGGGAUAACAUCCCAAUAAGCUUUCAAAAUUGGAAAAGCCCUAAAAUCAAUGAGAACGUGGUCCCCACAAGCACGGUCCCCAUAAGUAUGAUCCCCGAGCAAGAGAAGGAAAUGAUAUGGGAGUAGAUAAAAGAAAACUUCAUGUUCAAAGGUGUAGAUGAAGAAAAAGUGAAAGCUUGGGGCUUUCGGAAAGGUGCAAUUGCUUUUCACACGUACAACAAGAACCUAAACAAAGACUACCUAAAGAAGGGCCUUAGACUAGAUUUCACGAGGCAACAAAAGUUAAGAUAUCACUAUGAUUCAUUUGUGCAGUUCAAGCAGUCGCAAAAGAGCGCUAAAUCAACUAAAACCAACAUUGACAAUGCUCGUCAGAAGAAAUACUUUCAUCGUCUUGGGCUAGGAGGUUACAAGAAGGGGAUCAUCAAAUGGUAGAGGAUGGAAGAUGACAUAAUUACUAAGGGAAUAGUAGCAGCGACUCUCGAAUGGUCAGAGCGAGCAAAGCAUUGGUAUUAUGCUCAUGGCGGCAAGCUCAAUCCCGAAGAUGGAUCAUUUGUGUUCGGCCAAGAAUUAAGAGAAGUGGCUAUGAGGCUUGUUGAGUUAAUGAAGGCUACGACCAAAGGAUCUUCCGUGUCUAAUCGAGAGAAGGACGAGCUGACUAUGGCACUAGGUAAUCCAGAACACCCUGGACGUUGCUAAGGCAAAGGAGUAAUUCCAUGGAUGUUUGCCUUUCGUGAGAACAUUAAUUGCUACAGAAGUCGCCAAAGAAGUAAGGCUGAACACGCACGACAGCUGCGAGAGUUGCAAGAACACGUAGCUUUGACAGAGGUAAGAAUGGAGGAAGCAAUCGAUUGGCGUGUGGCUCUAGCUCUUAGCAAACAAGCUAGUGAACAAGCAGUUGCAUCAUCUGGGGCUAAUGUCGAUGUAAGCCCCUCUCAGCAUCGAAGAGUGUUGCUUCCACGGAAGCCCCAACUGUAGGAUCUUCUGACAUGGUUGAGGACAACCAACACCACCCUGUGGACGACAUCACUGGGAGGCCCCCUUGUGAGCUUGUUACUCCUGUGAAAAACAAGCUCAUCGGGGUGGCAUAUGGUGUAGCUGAACAACCGACACAAGGCCAAACAAUUCAUGGCAUGGAGAUUCCAGCUCGUGGUUACAUCAAAGUUGGGGUGGACCGAGUGGUCGACGGUUGGGAUGACCUCGAAUUGGAGGUACUUGGAGGUGACGGGGAAAAGAAUCUAAGAGAAGCCAUCCACUGUUGGAUUCUGUGGCCCAAGCGCUUACAUAAGGAUUCCGCAACUGAAUCCCCUAACCUUGGGAUCAUCUCCUCAGGGCUCAAGGCUAAAAUCACCUACACCAUCUGCCAGGGCAGCCUCUCCACUAGCUGACAGGGAUCCUAGCAUGAGUCCACUAGCUGACAAGGAUCCUAGCAUGAGUCCAUGCUCUCCACCAGCUGACAGGGAUCCUAGAACGAGUGCACCUCCCCUGUUAUGAGCAAGGCUACACGGUGAAAGAUGCCCUCAGUUCCGCCUACAAAGAAGAAGUAGAAGAAGCCAAAGGAGAAGCAACCAGGGCCCAAGAAAGCUUAUGAGAAGAUUGAUGCGGAAAUCGAUGAAGUAGUGGAUACUUAGGUUAAAGCUCACUUCACGCUAAAGCCUCCCAUGAAGAAAGAUCCACCAUUUGAUAAGGUUAAAUUUUGAGCUUUCAUUAGAGGCAUGGAGUUGGAGAAAAAGAAAAAGCUAGAGAAACUAGCGCUAUCUAACUACGACCGCACAAUAACUAAGACUUUUUAGAAGAACAAGAAGAAAAGUGGGUCAUGUAUUCCACAGCUCGGAACGCAAUCCAACCAAUCGAUUGCCCCGCUCCAGGUGCUUUCAAAGUUUAAUAAGAACCUGCUUCUAUUCGCCAAAGAUACAAAUCUCACCGCAGCUCAACUUUGAGGGGAGGAUCACAUCCCAAAGCACACUGGGGCUAGUAAAUGGAAAUUUGAGUUAGGGAAAUAGCUUGUGUGGCUGCAGUUGGUGGACCAUCUUCCAACGAAGAUGUACAAAUUGCACCAAUGAUACAUGGAGGCUUCAGCCACCAGUUUACUCAUGCUAGAAGUUCAGAUUGGGGAUCAACAUUAUUUCCGUGGUGAGGAACUUUAUUUCCUUUAUAAUCAAGAUGCACUUGACAAAUCACUCUUCAGUUCCUGGGUUCUGUAAGUGUUUAAUUUGCUCUAACUUCAAAAUCCCCGCUCUAGUCAUUGUACGAUGUCUUAUCUCCUAUUCUAUUUUGUAUCAUGGGGGAUGGAGAUUCAAGCUUGUCGGAGGAUAGGAUUGUAUGACGUCGGCUUCAUGGACCCGGAUGUUAUAAACGAGGAAAAUGUAAGAGAAAAACCAAAUUAGACCUUAAAGAAUAUAUAUAAUUUCUUGGACAAGUAACAUUAUAAGAAGUACAUACUUUUGUCGUACACCUUCAAGUGAGUGUGUUUCCCAUCUCUUUUAUUUUUUGAAUUAGCAGUUAAAAGUAAGACUUAAUAGCUUUUCACUAUGCAUAUAUGUACAGUUCCCAUUGGAUACUCCUUAUUUUGUGGUCGAUCGAAGCAUGAUCUAUAUCCUGGACUCUCUAAGGAGACCAAGAAAUCAAUACACCGAUAUAAUAGACAUGCUUAAUAGAACAUGGGCUCGAUUUCGUCAACAUCACUCAGGUGAAUUAAAGGAGCAACUUCAUAUCCACUCUGAAUUCCCGAUAUGUAUUGAAUUUCCACAACUCAUGUCACUUCCUUAAACACAAUAAAUCUAUUGCCUGUAUAAAUCCGUGUCUUGUUUCCUUGCUUUUACCUUCGAGUUUCAAGUCCGACGAUCCCCCACCAACCAAUCUACUACCUCAAGAUACCCCUCGGUAGGUUGUCGGGUAUAAAACACCAACAUCUGGUGCGCCAGGUAGGGGUGAUCGUCAAAGUCAUCGGGCGAGCUUGAAGGACCUCAUCAUCAAGAUCAAUGUACUCGACAAGAAGCAAGUCACCGAGUUGGAGUUUUGAGUAGACAAAUCUACGCCGAGACUCAUCAAGAUCAAUGUACUCGACAAGAAGCAAGUCACCGAGUUGGAGUUUUGAGUAGACAAAUCUACGCCGAGACAAAAUCGAUGCACUCCGCGUUCCAGUCAAAAACCAAGUUGUUUUCCACCGCAGGCUGCUGCAUGCGGCUCGUCGAUCAAGGCAGAGGCAAAUCCGAUUCGAGUUGGGAGAUCAGGCAGACCAAGGGACCCACGCCAUAAUUCCCAAGAUGACAAAGAUCUGUUACAGUCAUGCGCGGCCUGAGGCAAAUAAUCAGCUCCGAUUACUUUUCAUGAAAAGCAAUUUUGAGGGAUUUGUAAUUCACCCACAUGGAAGGCUACCACAAGACCUCAAAAUCAUAACCUAACGUACAUAGAAGAUGUACACGAGCACUGCUACCCCGACAUCCAGCCGCAUCAAGUCGCCGAUGACUACUUCAAGUACUCAUCUUGACUAGAAAACUAGUCGAGGACGGUCUACUUCAACUACUCGUCUCAACUAGAAAACUAGUCGAGUGCGGGUUCCACGUGAUGAACAACUAGUCAGAAUCGACUCCGACUAGUUGGCUUCAUCAAUAAUCGACACGGCUUAGUCGACAAUCAUCCACGAAUCAAGCUAAGUCACUUUUUUAAUUAUUUCAUAUAACUUUUCCAGCUUGUUUUCCGCAUGCAGGGCAACGUGCCGAGUACUUUUUUGUGUACACCUCUCGACGGAAAUUACCCUCCAGGGCUACACUUUGCCAAUUAUUCCUGGAGCAUGUUGACCGACAGCCAUAGGCUUGGUACACAGAAUUACGAAGGCUAUCGCCACGGGUUUGGUGCACUGAGUUCCGGAAGCUCCACCAUAGGCUUGGUACAUCGAAUUAGGAGGCUCUGCCACGAAGUUUGGCGCACUGAGUGCUGGAGGCUCACAGCGGCUACACGCUAGUGACGCACAAAUCCUAUGCGUGGAAAACAUGCGCUCUCCUCACCAAAAAGGCUAAAAGUCUCAAUGACUACUUUACGCGCAAUCGCGCAGUUUUUUAUCACAAUGCCAACUACUUAUUUUAAAUAUCUUCUCUUACGGUUGUUAAUCUCCUUGAGCAGAACAUGUCUUGAUUCGUGAAAGCCUCAAAUCUUCUAUCAUGCCUAAACUCUAGGACGUGUACACGAGACAAAGAUCUCACACGCAGUGGCAGUGGCUAAACAGGGACUAAGACCCUAAACUUAAUAGGCUAACUACUUGGGAAAAAUAUGGUCGAAACAAGAGCAUGAUGCACAGCAUUUACAUUGCAUUCAUCACUGAAUAAAUUUUAGUAGUUCCAAAUUCUACAAUAUGCUACAUAAUGUAUGCAUCUCUUUUCGCAGGUCAAAGGUCAAGCUUCAGCGAUGACUCUCUAGGACGCUCAUUGUACCUCCAAUGGCUCCCAAGCUCAGGGGCUAAGCACCAAUUACUACUCGGAAUAUCUCCAAUGGCUCAGCUAACUUCAAAGCUCGGGGGGUAAGUGUCAAAUAACUACUCGACGUGGCUCCUACGACUCAUCUGGCGCAUAAGCUUGGGAGCUGGACACCAAAUGACUACUUGAAAGAUGACUUGCAUGAAGAGUAAAGGCCCUUGAAUUGAUUGUUUAAUCAUUCCAAGGCUCAAGGGCUGAUAAGCUAUACCCAAUAGUUGAUUUUUUUUCAAGAUGAAAGAAGAAGAUUCAAGAUUUUAUUGACCCUCAGCCUGAUUCUUCGAUUCAACCUAAGGCUCAAGGGCUACUCCAUAUGGAGUGUGACUUUCACUGCCCUCCAUAUCACAAUGAAGAUUACAAAAUCAAGACGAUUAAGGGCUUGAGCACACGAAAGCCUCAUGGAAGCUUUGAGGACCUUUGAAGAUUAAGCCAAACAAAGUACUCGAGGAGCACUAAAACUACUCGGCGGGGAUCUGAAAAGUACUCAAAGACUGCUACAUUCGACUAUGAAGCGCUCAAGGGCUUGUCGGGGAUAGAUCCCUAGUACCCGCUGUGGCGGAACCGCUCAAAUUAACUUAGCUAAAGCACAAUUAAGUCGCCUAACACGCGAUCAUGUACUUUAAUCAAGUUAACUCGGCAGUCCGUCGGAUUUCAUCCGAUAAACCACUUCACAGGACCAGAAAAGCAUAGCUCACACGAAGGUGAGUGGUUCCAGAGAUUACAAUAGAUCAUCCAAAUUAAACAAGUGCAGCAAGAUUAUUACAACAGUGAGUUUGAAAUUCAAACAUAGUUGCAGAGUUUAAACAACAGAAAUAAACAAACGGAAGCUAACAUCAUUGCUGGACAUCAUGACGAAGCCGAUCAUGACAUUAGUGAUCCCGGUCCUCGCCGUCCGAGGAGGGCUCCCACUCGACCGUCCACCCAGGAGUAAGCUGGGGAGGCAAAGUGCCACUUGCAGCAAGCUCAGAAGCGUCAACAUCACCUAAAAGGGAUAUGCCACAACAAGGCUGAGCAACUACGCUCAACAAGACUUAACCGACCGGUGGCACUAAUCCACCAACACCUAGACAUGCAAGCUUUUUGGCUCUGGGGUUUGCUUUUGCCAAAAGCGACUAGUGUAGGUUCUUACUUUCAACAUUUUAGCCACAAGUUCUAUUGUAGUUUACCAUUCUAAGUUAGCAACUAUACUAAACCAAGCAUAGUUUCCAAGCAAUUAAUACAGGUAACAAAAUUAGAUCAUCAUCAUCUUUCAUUCUUACUCAGUGUAGCAUAGCGAUCAAGCAGUCCCAAACUGUGAGAGGCAGACGAAUCGAUUCGAAUUUCUUAACCAUGCAUGGCGAACCUAAUCCCACGACAUCCGCGCAUCGCGAAUGGUCGCUUCAUUUGUCAGUCAACCCCAUCAAUUCCCAGACCCGUGUCGGGCCCACUUCCCUUGGUAAAAGGCUCCAUAGACCCAGCCUCUGCCGUUCUAUGACCGCACUUGUCACCACAUGAUGCACCAGGGGAAAACUCAGUUUCCAGAGAUAGUGGAACGAUCCGCUCAUGUCUAUGACCGCACUUGUCACCACAUGAUGCACCAGGGGAAAACUCAGUUUCCAGAGACAGUGGAACGAUCCGCUCACGUUCUAGUUCAAUCAGGUACUAGGCUUCCCCAUCCCAUACUAGGUAUGACAUUAGUACUUUCAACACUUGAUCACGAACACUAUCACAUCUCGACCUUACUCCAAUUUUUCAUGCAGACAGACAGGGCAAUCCACCGACCACCAAAAUAGUUCACAGAGCCCUACCCCGUCCAUCGUCUUUAUAGUUGUAACAAAAGGAGAGCAAACAACUCCUAUAACUUGCGAGUGACAAGCAAUCACUCGACUUUUACUGAGUCCUAUUAAGAAUUGCAACUACUCGACUGCAAUUACUAGUGUUCAUAUAAAAAGGGAUGCCUAUCUCAUGCAUCUAUCGUUUCAAACAAUUCCUGCAACGUAAAUGCACAAACAAGGCAAGCAAUUGUAUUACAAGUAAUUAAAAUAUAGGAAUUUAUGCUCCGGGGCUUGCCUUCAAACUCGGGGUUAGAGAAUUGGUCUUCGGCUUGCUCGGGCACGGGCUCGACUCCAGCUUGGUGUUGAUCUGCUACGUCUUCUUCUUCGGGCGCCGAGUGCAGCUCGUACAUGCCGUCAGUGACUAGUGACGUUCAACUCUACAUGAGGUGCAAUGCAAUGAGAUGAUAACUUUGAUUUGAUGAUCAGAAUGGCAUUUCACAUUUUAUUACAAACCCUCCUCUAACAUAUGUAAAAAAAUUAGUGGCAUACAAGCCACAAAAAAUAAUUGUAGAAUUCUAGAAACCCCGUGAGAAAUGGAAACAUGAUAUUCUCAACAUCUCUACAAUAAAUUAUACAAUUAUAGGAAUGCCUGCUUCUCAACUCGAUGAUUCAUGAUACCAGAACUGCAGGUAAAUCGGGAGCAUCUAAAUAUAGAUAUUUGAACCACUCUAUUUUAAAUAUUCAAAUUACAGCUCCAACAUGGAUCUUGAAGUUAGAGCUGUGCCAACCAGGACAUUAACAAAAGUUCCAUUUACUGCUCCCUUUUCUGUACAAUACAAAUGGCGCUAAGAGCUAACAUGCCUUUUCUUCUUGUUACCAUUGUUUGCUAAUCGAGUGCUUCGCCAUGCAGGCGAAUGCAUUAGCAGAAGGCGACAACACAACAUACGUAGAGGCCACGUGUUCCCAACCGAGUCUUACAGAGGUCAGUACUCAACCGCGUCGACAUGCGUCCAUCGUCACGUCUCUCCGCUGUGAUAUAUAUAUGCUCACGUGCUACCUGAUACUAUAUUGCCCUGUGUGCCCCCGUUCAGAUCCUCGUGCAACUGCCGAUCUCGCGUACGACAAAUUAAGAACUGGCUGGAUCCCCCUAAUGGAUAAAGAGCACAGAAGUUCUCCGGAUGGCACAGUCGCAACCUCACCCAAGCAAGAUGGGCCUGCCUCACCAAAGCGGUGCUUUCCGCGCAGCCAUUAUACCUGCUAACCAUCAUAAAAGCACCAACCGAAGUAUUAGACGAACUAGACAAAAUAAGGAAACGAUUCCUCUGGGCCGGAGACAAAACGCUUACAGGCGGCAAAUGCAAGGUUAAUUGGAUCAAAUCCUGCUUACCAAAAGAAAAUGGCAGGUUAGGAGUGCUAAACCUCCACAAAUUCGCUAGAGCGUUGAGACUGCGAUGGAUUUGGCACGAGUGGGAGUCACCGCAAAAAACAUGGAUUGGAACGGGGACACCAUGUGACGACUCCGAUCAUCGCCUGUUCGCGGCUUGCACAACGAUCACAGUGGGUAAUGGACGCAAAACAAGCUUCUGGCAUUCAGCCUGGGGGCAAGGAGCUAGGCCAAAGGACAUUGCGCCCAACAUAUAUGUGCUAUCCAGGGGAAAGAAUAGAAAACUAGAAGAAGCCUUAUAUGACAAUACCUGGGUGUCGGACAUAAACAUUCACGAAGGACUGACAACGCGGCACCUCCAAGAAUUUGUAACACUUUGGCGUCUAGCAACAAUGGUGCAGCUGCAACCACAACAGGAAGACACAAUUCGAUGGAAAUUCACGUCCAACGGAAAAUAUUCAGCGGCAUCGGCAUACAAGGCGCAGUUCCUGGGAUCCACUUAUGCACCACACUACAAAACAAUAUGGUACUGCUGGGCACCCCCAAAGUGCAAGUUCUUCGCAUGGCUGAUCCUCCAAAACCGCGUAUGGACCGCCGAUCAACUUGCGCAAAGAGGAUGGCCUCACUCCCCUGCAUGCCCCUUAUGCCGUAUACAACAGGAGACGGCCCACCACUUAGUGGCUGAGUGCAGAUACACUAAGCGAAUAUGGAGCCUAGUGACCACUUGGACGUCGCAACCAAACCUACAACCCUCGGAAUGGCCCCCAACCGACAAUGCCAUGGAAUGGUGGAUGAACAUGACUACAAGGACCGAAGCCCCUCGUAAAGGAACAUGCUCUAUGGCGCUGUUGAUUAUAUGGGAAAUCUGGAAGGAGCGGAAUAGGCGAAUUUUCAACCAUCAAGAGAUGGCAGCACCCUCACUGCUGACCAAAAUCAAGGAGGAAGCAGGUACAUGGAUUUUAGCAGGGGCAAAAGCUUUAGCGAGUUUUUCAUCUAGAGAGUAAUCGCGUAGGAGUGACAUCUUUGAAACACUUAUGUAAUAACCUACUCUAUCAAUGAAAUAGGCACUGUCUCAUGCCCAUUCGUUCAAAAAAAAGAACUGGCUGGAUCGGACGGACCUCCCACCGUCAGAUCGUGACAACCUCCGCCUGAACCUCCUGGUAGCCUGGUACCUUCAGUUUCUGCCGAUCGUGCUCGCGGCGGCCCUGCGGGUGAGGAGGGGCAGGCGACCGGCGGGGCUGUGGAGCUUGAGAAGAGGAGUCAAGGAAAAAAAAGUACCUAGCAUGUGGGUUCAGUGUCACGUGUCAUCUACGUUAGCAAAAUCAUUCCUCAAAAUAGCUAGAUGGUCAACUAAUUAUGAAUGAUUUUGAUAGGUAGGUGGUCCAAAAUUUCUAGUUUUGAAAUUGAAUGGCCAAACUCAAACGAAGACAAUAGUUGGAUAGUCAAAAAUAGAUUUUUUUUUCAUGUGUUUGACCUUCUAUAACAUUACGGUGAGAUGCUAAUACUCCCAUCAUUGCCAAAUAAAGAUCCAACAGCUCAUGCGUGCGUGUCUUCAACCUCCGGCCAUCUUUUCUCUUCCCAGUGACUGUGAGGCAGCCAUUGCUUUUCAUUCCUCUGCUCCUAUAUGUUGCUCUCUACCCUUGGCCCUGCUGCCAGUCUCUUCCCUGUCUCUAGCACCUAUGUCUUGCCAUCGCCACUGCGAUAGUCUAGUUAUAUUCAUGGGAUUGUCAAUUACACGUCCGUGCCUUAGAUCCCAUCCAUGGCUGCUCCCCCGCCAAUGAUGCCUGGCACGGAUUCUCUGACAUGAUGAAGUAGUGACUUCCCCCCUCCUGAAGGCCGUCCGAUCCAUUUCCAUCCAACGGCUGCCCAAUUGGCCCAAUUGUAAUUAUUAGUCCAAAUAAGACCUAAUUCGGAAGUGAGACAAGAAACAAUAUCUAACCGAGACAUUUCACUUAAUAAUUUUUUUGAAGCGAACAUUUCACUUAAUACUUGAAGAAUUACCUGCCAAAAAAUUAAUUGAAGAAUUAAACAAGCAUUUUACUUAAGUAUUUUGAACAGUUCUCUCAUCCAAAUAACCAAAGUAAUUUCCACCAAAAGCCACUACAACAUAAGAUGAAAUUGUACAGUUAGCAAUAGAGUUUUUAUGCCUAUAGACUCUCCACAAAUAGGACCCAAGUUUGAGAUUUUCACACCAAUAGAAUCUCCAUUAAAAACCAACAAUUAGCCGUGAAAAGCCAUAAACCCAUCUGAAGGUAGUAGUGUCCAUGGUUACGAUUAUUUUGGUUAUUUGGGUCAUGGAAGUGUGCAAAAUACUUAGUAAAAUGCUUGUUUACACUUGCAAUACUAAAGUAAAAUGUCUUUAUUAAAUACCGUUUCCUAUCUCACUCCCGAAUUGGGCCUUGUUUGGGCUGAUAAGCUGGACUGAAUGAUUGUACUUAAAAAGGAUGAUGGCUUCGGCAGCUGUUGGAUGGGCAAUGGAUAGCAUCCAAGAGGGGAAAGUCAUCCGUGACUUUCCUGUUCACGUUAGAGAUCAAUCCGUGCCGGUAACUCUAAUGAUUCCGGUGACUUUCAUUUGAAUAGGUGUGAACAAAACUAGGAUAAUGGGCGCGCUUUGCCGCGCCUACAGUUGGGGAAUGUGCCAUUACAGUGGGAAGCAAGGGUCUGUUCGGCUGAACUUAUAAGCCGGCUGAAAAGCUGAAACGGCUGAUUUGUUGUGAGAGAAAAACACUGUUCUGUGACUGAUAAGCUGGCUGAUAAGCUCAAGCGAACAGAGCUCAAGUGUGUUUAACGUCGGCAGGCAGCGGAGCAAAUCGGCAAUGGCAUAGUGAAAAUCGCAGUAAGUGGCGGAAGCACUGGCCCACCGCUACGCACGCACGUCAGGAGAGUUUGAUUUUUCGGACGGAUAACACCUUUGAUUGGGCGUCUGUUUCCAGGAAAAAAAUAAAAAAAGGAUAAAUCCCCGGCAAUUCUGAUUUGACAGCGCGUGGAGAGAAUGCAACAUCUCACCAGCGGCGUGUGACAGGUGCUCGACCUUCAUUCCUGAACAUUAGGCAGAGGCUCCCGUUGGCCUUCAAUACUUUGAGCGAUAUGACUCUAACUACGACGGCAACUAGGUUUAAUUUGGGGUUGCAUAGUUAUCAUGUUUUUAGAUUUUAGAGUAAAGAUGUUAAGGAAAUAUAUUGGUGUUGUCUAAUAGACGAUCUCGUACAUUGACACGUAAUCUUGAGAUAACUUAACAAAUAAACUAUACAAUGGAUUGUCUGUUUAAGUUGUCUCGUAGCAAUUCUAUUUCCGUAAUUUGUGCAUAUAAAAAAAAGAAAUAUUGUGAGUUGUAUGGCAACCACAACUCGUACAAUGGUGUGGUAGUCGUCUCAUAGUUCUAAAAUUUAGCUUAUAGGCAGUUAUUUUGUGAAACAACGACCUCUUUAUCUCUCCUUACCCUCUCUCCUCCACAUCAGCAAAAAUCCUACGUGUCACUGCAUGAGACAACCUAUGAGACCACUGAGGUGUAGCAAUGUACUUGCUCUAAGGAUGCGCUGUCUGAUAGGCAGUCUCAUGUAUUGACACGUAAUCUUGAGACGACUCAAUAGACAACCCGUACAAUGGGUUGUCUUAUAAGUUGUCUGGUAGAGUUAUAUAAUUCUUUAAUUUGUGCAUGUGAAAAAGGAAAUAUUAUGAGUUGCAUGGCAAUAAUAACUCGUACAAUGGUUGUUGAGUUGUCUUGUAGUCCUAAAAUUUAGUUCAUGAGAUGGUUGUUUCGCGAAACAACAACCUCUUUCUCUCUCCUCGCUCUCUCUCCUCCACAUCAUCAAAAAUCCUACGUGGCACUGCAUGAGACGUCAUAUGAGACCGCUUACGUGUUAGCAAUGUACUUGCUCUAAUGGAGGUGGUGGGACGCCAUCAUUUCCAUUCACACCUAUUCAGAAAAAGCCGUUUGAAUCUUUAGAGUUAUAGGCAUUGCAAAAGAUGCCAUAGUAAAACUAAAAAAGUAAAAAAAAAUGGUGAAAAUAAAGACACCACACAAGAAAAUGGAGUUAUGCUAUGUAUCAAGUGCUCAUUUUUUUACCUUUUAGGGCAUGUAAUAUGUGAUGUUUGAUUGAAACUGUGCGGUUGCCUCUCUUUCUUCUUCCUUUAUUUCAGCUUUUCAAUCCCCGUCAUUCUUCUACGCAAGUGCCUCUUCUCGCUUCCCAACUAUGCCUGGCUACUCCAUCUCUGGUGGCAAAAAGCCACUGGAUGCACUCCCAAAAGCCCUUAUCUGCUGCUAAUCUCUCAAUCUGAAGCUCCUCCACUCCUGACACAAGCGAUCCAAUGCCUCCAUCUCUCCCGCUACCACCACCGACACAACUUGUUUAAUUUCUUAUUGUCUUUCUUUUGGAUCAACCCAAAGCAAAACAUCGUCUCUGUUCUUUUUUUAUAAACAUCAACAUCAUCUCUUUUUCUCUUCCACGCUGCCGGUAACGGGCCAAAUUAAACUAUAGCAGCCCUAGCCAGUAGGAGACAACCAAGCAAUGCACCAUAGUUGCGCGUGUUAGAUUAGUUCAGAUUCUCUUGGUAGUUGUAUCCUGGUUUGGUUAUAGAUAUACUUAGAGAUAGAGUUAGAUUCUUUCUUCUCUCAAGCUUGUAAUCUCAUGCAACCAAACCAGGGCCAACAACCUCGUCAUGUAAUCUCUCAGGGUCGGUUCAUAGCCCUCUAUAAACACGCAACCCGUGAUGUGCUGAGUUAAGCAAUCAUGGUUCCAACUACUUUACAUGGUAAUCGGAGCCACUUCUUCCAAAUACAUCUACUAUCCUCCUCAUGGCAUCAUCCUCCUUGCCAGUGGCUCAGCUCGGACCGCCGGUCGUCGAGAAGCUCGCUGGGGAUAACUUCCUUCUCUAGAAGGCAUGGUUCCUUCCCGCCAUACGUGCAGCUCAUGGGGUACCUUGAAGGGACUAUCCCGGAGCCGGCCAAAACCCUAGAGGUUGAGAAGGCCGACAAGAAGGAGGUCGUGCCCAAUCCUGGGUGCGACGUAUGGGUGACCAAAGAUGAGCAAGUUCUCAGCUACUUGUUGAACUUGCUCACCAAGGAUAUGCUAGCGCAUGUUACCGAUGCCACUACAGCAGCAGAAGCCUGGGAGGUGCUCUAGACAAGAUUUGCAACACACUCCAGGGCGCGGGUAGCUAACCUGUGCAUGCAACUCACUAACACCAAGAAGGGAAGCAUGACCUCCAUGGCCUACUUCAACAAGAUGAUGGUGAUCAGAGAUGAACUCGUCGCGGUUGGUAAGAAAAUUGAAGAUGAUGAGAUGAUUAUAAAUAUCAUGAAUGGCCUUGAUUUUGAGUACAAUCCUCUUGAAUCGUCAAUUCUUGGGCACGCUGAUUGUGUUCGCUGAGCGAUCUGUACUCUCAACUAAUUGCCUAUGCCCUGCGGCUUGAGAUGUAUCAAGAGGAUGGACAAUACAAGUCUUCAGCUAACAUUGCAGGUUGUGGACGUGGUCGCGGUCGUGGCAACAAGGAUAGCCAAGGUCGUGGCAACAGUGGAAGAGGAGGUCAAUGUUAGGCCCGUGGCCAUCAAGGUGGUCAUCAAGGGGCAAAUGCUCCAAGGCAAGAUAGACAUUGUUCCAAACCUGUUUGUCAGAUCUCCAAGAAGGUGGGACAUAAAGCCAACAGAUGUUGGUACCACUAUGAUGAUGAUGAACAACAACAGCACACCAAGGUGGCAAAGGCGACAUCAGCAAGAUAUGGCUAUGACUCCAAGUGGUAUGCAGAUAGCGGCGCCACAGAUCAUGUCACUAGCGAGUUGGGGAAGCUAAUCAUCCGUGACAAGUACACAGGAUGGGAUCAAGUCCACACUGCCAGCGGAUUAGGUAUGAAAAUUAGUAACAUUGGGCAUACAAUUUUACAUACCCUAUCAAGAGAUCUCCAUCUAAACAAUAUUCUUCAUGUUCCUAGUGCUAGUAAAAAUCUCAUUUCUGUCCACAAACUAGCUCUAAACAAUAAUGCAUUUCUUGAAUGUCAUCCAAACUCUUUUUUUUAUCAAGGACCAGGAAACGAAGAGAAUACUCCAUCAAGGUAGAUACAAAGGUGGCCUCUAUCCCCUAGGGUCGCCAUCAGCAAGAGGAGGUCCAAGUAGACAAGUUCAUGUCGCCAAUAAGCCAUCCACAUCUAGGUGGCAUAGUAGAUUAGGUCAUCCAGCUUUUCCUAUUGUUUGAGAAGGUCCUUAGAUUGAAUAAUUUGCCUUGUGAUAGUGAUACAAGUUUAGAGUCGGUUUGUGACUCUUGCCAAUUGGCUAAAAGUUAUCAACUUCCUUAUUCUGUAUCAAAUAAAAUUUCGAGUGCUCCUCUUGAUUUGGUUUACUUUGAUGUUUGGGGACUUGCUCCUCCUUCGGUUGGCUGGCACACAUAUUAUGUGAGCUUUAUCAAUGACUUUAACAAAUAUACUUAGAUCUAUCUCUUGAGAAAAAAAUCAAAUGUGUUUCAAGUCUUUAAAGACUUUCAAAAUCUAGUAGAAAGAAAAAUUUGAUAGGAAAAUUGUUUCCAUGCAAAGUGAUUGGAGAGGUGAAUAUGAAAAAUUAAACUCUUCUAGUGCAUAGGCAUCACGCAUAGAGUUCCUACCCCCAUGCUCAUCAACAAAAUGGCACAGCCGAGAGAAAGCAUAGACAUAUUGUUGAAGUUGGUCUAGCUCUCCUUGCCAAUGCAAGUAUGCCAUUAAAAUUUUGGGAUCAAGCUUUCCUUACUACCACAUAUCUCAUUAACCUUCUUCCUAGCAAGGUGAUCAAUUUUGUACUCCAGUGGUAUGGCUGCUCAAGGAACAGCCAGACUGUAGCUCCUUGCGCAUCUUUGGAUGUGCCUGUUGGCUAAAUUUAAGACCUUACAACAAUCGCAAAUUAUCUUUUCGAUCUAUCCACUGUGCUUUUCUUGGCAAUAGCUCUCAACACAAAGGCUUCAAGUGCCUUGUUAUUUCCACUUGUCGCAUCUAUAUGUGACGACUGAUCCCAAAUCUUCCGAGUUAAUCUUAAUUCGAGCCCCUGAUCACCUGUCUUAGUUUUCCAAGCCUAAGUGUUCAACCUCCCAACCGGUCCUGACCCCUGAGACCCGACCCCUCUCUGCUGGCCUCCAGUUCCGACCCCGCCGACCCCAACUCACCCGCCGGAUCUUUCUGAGUCAUCCCCCAACACCUCCCUUCAAUCUGACCGGUGGACCCACGAGAUCUUUUCCCCAGAUCCCCCGCGACAGGUGCACUCGAGUUGCAUGCUCGCUUCAGAGUUCCCCCACCGCGUGGCUCAACUCCUCCGACGUCCGCCGCUCCGCCUCGUCUUCAGCCCACGACCAAAUGGAUUCUCGCGCCCUCCUCCCCAAUCGCAGCGGAAGCCCCUCUGCAACCUUUCUGCAGCACCUCGCCGCCCGCGCCCAUCAUCACAUCGCCAGAUCCCGGCCGCAGAGCCUGAUGUCGCCCGUCUUUUCCGUCACCUCGCCACAGUCGCGUCGUCCGGUCUUCGCUACACGACGAUUCCUCCUCCGCCAACCCCGACCACGGCAGCGACAGCUCCUUUUCCCGCCCUGUCAGAAGCCGCCCGACAAUCUGUUGCUCCGCGCUCGCUCGCGCGCCCGCAGCCGCCUGUCUUCUCACCUGUGCGCCCUCGAUCCUAGCGUCGUUUUCCCGGUCACUUCCAUCAGCUCCACCGCACGACGACGCCUGCCUCAGCCAAAUCUCAACCACCGGCAAACCCGCGCCUGCGCCGCCCUGACGCCAAAGCCCAAUGACCGCCGGCGUCAUCCCCGAAGUCUUGCUCCACCGCCCUCGUCGCUCAAUCGCCGCCUGGGCAAAGCACUCCAUUGCUUCUUCCCCGGCCUUCGCGCCGCUCCCCUUCUCACUCCCGCGCCGCUAUAAAAGGGAAUGCGCGAGCCCCGCCGGAGUCCCCUUCGCCAUCGCUACCCUCCCGCCAUUUCUCUUGCUCCCUGUUCGAGCUCCCAGCGCCACCACACUAAGUCCCUGAGGAACUCUCCUCUCCGCUCCACACUGUUUCCCCCAAUCCACCCAGCCGCUUGCUCCUUCGUGCUGCGUACGAGCUUACUUGUGAUCCACAAGAAGCACCACCGCCGCCGGAGCACCGCCGGACAUCUCUGCCGCAAGCCUUAGUAUUCCAGUUCCUCCGCCCGAACCUGCUCUUCCCGACCCCAAGCUUUCCUUGUAAGACGAAGGUAAGCUGCUGACCCCUUGUCCGCCUCGUCCGACCCUUCUGUUCGUCCGACCCCUUGUCCGCCUCGUCCGACCCUUCUGUUCGUCCGACCCCUUGUCCGCCUCGUCCGACCCUUCUGUUCGUCCGACCCCUUGUCCGCCUCGUCCGACCCUUCUGUUCGUCCGACCCCUUGUCCGCCUCGUCCGACCCUUCUAUUCGUCCGACCCCUUUUUCCGCCUCGUCCGACCCCUCUUAUUCGCCGACCCUUUCUCCGCCUCGCCCGAGGGCUCGGCUGCAUCUUUUUCUUUGAACCGAGGGCGUAUGUGUAAAACUUGGGGACCUUUCAGUGUUGAGUCUGAGGACCCCUAGUACAUCAAACCCUCUAGAUUAAGGGUCAGAUCAUAAGUUCCUUCCCUCCGACCCUUACCUCUUGAUCUCCAUCAACUCCUUUGAACCUCCCCACCCUCUUGUAACUUGUUGCAAGUUUCUGGGCUCAAGCUUGCAAGUGUUGCUGUUGAAUUAGCCGUCUAAAUGCUAACUCUUGCAUUGCAUUCGUGUAGAGCUGCGUCUCGCCGACGGCUACUACGAGCUGCACCCGGCGCCAGAAGACGACGGUGUAGCCGAGCUCCUACCCCCAGAAGCCGAAGCCGCCCAAGCAGAAGAGCAGCUUCCUCCUUUCUCGCUUGAAGGCAAGCCCCGGAUGCAUGAAACCCCUUUGUUUUUCAAACUUGUGCAUGCCUUCUGCAUCUGGUUUGUGCAUUUACGUAUAGGAGUUGUUUGCAACCCUAGAUAUAUAUAACUUAGAUCCCUUGAUCUGAACACUAGCUGUUGGACCGAGUAGCUGCUUUGCUUAAAUAGGAAGCGGUAAAAGUCGAGUGAUUUCCUGUCACUCGCGAGUUGUAGGAGUUGGUUGUUUUCCUCCUGUCACAACUGUAAGGACGAUGGACGGGGCAGGGUUUUGGGUAAUUCUUUGGUGGUCGGUUGAUCGCCCCGUCUGUCUAUGAAACUUGCUAAGGCCCGACAGUGGUAGUGUUCGUGAUCAAGUGUUUGAAAGUACUAACCUCAUACUUAGUAUGGGAUGAGGAAGCCUAGUACCGGAUUGAACCUAGACGUGAGCGGUCGCCCCAUUGUUCUUGGAACGGAGUUUCCCCUGCUAGUUGUCGCACGUGGUGGCAAGCGUGGUCACAGAACAGCAGAGGCCGGGUCUGUGGAACCUUGCACCAAAGGAAAUGGGCCCGACACGGGUUAGGGGAUUGAUGGGGAAGGCCGACACAGGAAGCGACCUCCGUGGUGCGCGGAUGUCGUGAGGUUAGGUUCACCAUGCAUGGUUAAAGAACUCGAAUCGAUUCGUCUGCCUCUCACAGUUUGAGACUGCUUGAUCGCUAUGCUACCCUGAGUAAGAAAGAAAUAUAAUGAUGACAUGGUCUUGAUGAUGUGAUAUAUAUACCUUUGGUUGGUUCUAUGAUUGCUUAGAAUAGGUUGCAAAACUUAGACCGGAUAAUGAACUUAGAACUGGAGCUAAAACUUGAAAAUAAGUUUUUACUUAGUGCUUCUUGGCAAACAAACCCCCCCUCAGCCAAAGAGCCUUGCAUGUCUAGAAGUGGUGGAGUAGUUACUCCCUGUCGGUUAAGUCUUGUUGAGCUUAGUAGCUCAGCCUUGUUGUGGCUCCUAUUUUUCAGGUGAAGUUGCUGCUCCCGAGCCUUCUUCCGCUGGCACUUGGCCGCCCCAGCUCCCUCUGGGUUGGACGGUCGAGUGGGAUCCCUCCUCGGACGGCGAGGAGAGGGAUCACUGACGUCUUGGCUGGCCUCACCAAGGACGUCCGACCCCUGCGUUUAGCUUCCGCUUGCUAUUUUACCUUCGGUGGUUUUCUUUUGAAACCUUGUAAAACUCUGAUGAUUUGUUUUUCUGGCCAAACUAAAUGGUUAAGUUGUUUAACUCGGUGGACUUGUUGUAUUCUCUGGAACCACUCACCUUCGUGUGAGUUUGCUAACUCGAUCCUGUUCACGUGGUUAAUCGGAUGAAAUCCGACAGCACUUCGUGUUAACUUGGCUUAGGCAUGGGUAUCGCAUGUUAGGCGGCUUAACCCUAUUUAAUCAGGUUAAUCCGAAGUGGAUCCGCCACAGCUGGUACCAGAGCUGGUUAGCAAUACAGAGAACACAACAAGCCCUAACACACUUCUUUUAAAAUAAAAGUUGCAAAGAAAAAUUUUGAAAAUCUCGUACGAUCAUUAAGAAUGACUUAGCACGAGAGGCCCUAGGGGAUUUUGGGGUUGUUUUUAGGUGGCUAAUACUUAUUGGUUAUCAUGCUAACUUCCAGCACUUCGCCACGUUUAUCAUACGUGUGCCGAGUUCCGCAUCACGAGUAUGCGAGGGUUGAUAGGGAGUUCUAUUCAAAGGACCCUAUCAUCGCGGUUGUUUCGCCCACGUCUAUUACACGUGCGCAGGUUCCGUAUGUAAUCCAUACGAAGGUUGGUACGGUUCGAUUCCAACGAGCCUAUCAGCAUGGUUGUUCGCCCACGUCUAUCAUACGUGCGCUGAUUCCGCAUCGCGAGUAUGCGAAGGGUUAUACGGUUCCAUUCAAAGGGAACCUAUUUCCACGGUUGAGUGCUGUCCAUGCAGCCUUAAACGCAUGGGUGCCGUUCCUAUAGUGAGCGGUAAUGUUUGGAAACGCUUUCGUGGGUGCUGGCAUGAAAGGUUCGUCUGGGUGUGUUUUCUGCAGGUACACUAACCGCGUUCGCUUAGGAGACGUUGCUAGAACCGACUAGCAAUUAUAGGGAGAGACGUACUUGUUGCCUUGCCACCGGCACUAACUGCGUAAGACCAAGUUUUGGCAGUUGUUUUGGUUGAGAACGAGGUAGGCCGUGCAUGCGACAUAAGCUGAAAUCUGUAAAGUCACCCUCCUCAAAAGCAACCUUGCUCGGAGAAACUCUUCUUCGGCUCUAAGGAUUUCUAGUUCUUCCAGUGUGUUUUCGGUUAAAAACCGAAUGCUUUCUUGGUCCGACCCCUGACCUUUGGAUUCCAUCUCAUGUGGUUUUGGUUUCUUGGUUCCAGAUGGCCGUCCCCGGACACAUUCUGUUUGGAGCGGAUGGCACCUUCCAUUCAACGUGUCUACACUUCGAGGGCUUCCCCGCAAUCUUGUGGGAUACCUUGAAAUGGUUCGGGUACCAGUCCCCACCGUUGUAUGCAGGACGACUGUACCUGGAGCAAGGUGUCCAGACGUGCAACGUAUAGGCGGUAGUACCUCCUCCUCCUGUGCGGCCCGACUGGCCCUCGUUCGGGAUAUCAGCAUACGGUCUUGCCCCAGAAGACACCUGGGAGUCCGCCGCUCUUCAGCUCCUUACUCGUUUCUGUCAGCUGCACCCACUGGAGGUCACCCUAGACCCCAUCGGCCUGUUCCCUGCCAGGAACCGGUUGGAUCCGGCGUGGCUCGACCGCGUCGGCAAUAUCGAGGUGCUGGCCACCACCUACUCUAUGGUCACCAUCUCCACCAACAUCCGGUGUAUGUCAGCCCUCUAUUGGAUGAUUGAGCUCCAAGGAAGAACCAUGACCAUUCUUGCUCGGACCGCCGUGGAUGCCCAAGGACACCUCCAGGCAGCCAGAAGAGACCUGGUAGGCCAAACCUAUCAGCUUAUCCAACGAGGCGUUCAGAUCCAUGACAUGCAAGACAGAAUCUCUGAGCUCGAAGGAGAAGUAUCCGACCUGGUGGACGGCAUGAUCGAGCUAUCAGAGGAGAAAAUGGAAGUGGAAAUGGAGCUGGCGGUUGCCAAUGCUCAUCUGGACGAGCAUCACGCCGAGCUCGAUGAUAUGCACGCCCUCCAUAUGCAACUAGAAGCUCAAGAGGACCCCGAGGAGGUUGAGGGAGCGUCUAGUAUGGACAUUGAAGAAGACGGCGCCCCUUCUCCUACUCAUAGCGUUCAUUUGUAGAUGAAGAGUUGCAAGGAACUCAUUCUUUUGUUGUACUCCUCGGCAGCCUAAAUUUUGGAAAGAUCUGUAAUAGGUUAGCCUUGAGUCGAGUACUCCCUGUGUUUGGAACACCUCUGUAAAAAGAUCCCAAUGAAAUCAAAUCCUGAGUCUGACCUUUAACUCUUUAACAAAGUGUUGGAAUGUUAGACUAAGUAAGUUGUGCAGUGACCACACACGCUGUUUUCUGUGGGUCUGUUCAAGUUUGGCCGACCCCGGUUCGCGAGAUCGGAUGCGCCCGACCCCUCGAGGCAGUUCUCCGCCUCGCCCGACCUUUCGAGGCAGUCUCCGCCUCGCCCGACCCCUUUUUGUGUGGAUCGCUUGCCGACCCUUUUCUCGGGAUGAUCGCCUAGCCCGACCCCUUGGCUUAAGUUCCGGAAUAAGAAAAUUCCAGGAGUCUGGCUAUGGAUCGCCCGAAGUUGAGUACAAGGCUAAGAUAGAUGCUAACUAACAUGGCAAUAAGAAGAAUGUAUCUCCCUUAUGAGGACGUGUGUUGCAUUAUCAGCAAGAGUUGCAUUGGAGAAUUUAAUUUAUGUGUUCCAUCUGUUGGAGUACUUCUAAGAUUAUGAAUUUAAUGGAACGUUAACUCUUGCAGAUGGCGCAUCGCACUAGAUCUGGUUCUGUGCCCGGCAGCAGUGAGCAAAGACAAGAUCUUCCCCCACCCCCGCCCUCGUCUCCACUAGAGGCCAUCUUAGCGGCUCAAACCGAGCUGCUGAGGCAUCUUGUACAAGGACAAUAGAAACAGCCCCAUGGGGGAAGGGCUCCGUAGCAGCCCCAUGUUGCUCGCUAUGAGGACUUCUUGGGGACACAACCCCCUUUGUUUCAGAAGACACAAGAACCGCUCGACGCCGAUGCCUGGGUUCGUACAAUUGAAUCCAAGUUCGAGCUCCUCACCGCCCCGUGCCCCGACCAUAACAAGGCCCAGUUUGCGGCUCAACAGCUGCGUGGUUCUGCCCGGCUCUGGUGGGACCACUACCAUGCUAUGUUGCCGGCUGGCCAUGUGGUCAGCUGGAACGAGUUCAAGACCGCGUUCAGAGCACAUCACAUCCUGGAAGGUCUCCUGGAGCGCAAGCUCAACGAGUUCCUGGCUCUUACCCAGGGAACCCAAGAUGUCCUGCACUACGCCCAAGCUUUCAAUGAUCUGUGCCGUUAUGCCGGCUAUCAUGCGGACAUAGACGAGAAGAAGCGGGACAGAUUCCGUUGAGGACUGAGUUUGGAGCUCAGAGAGAGGUUGAACCCCAUCAAGGUGGAUACCUACAACGAGUUGGUCAACCUGGUCAUAUCUCAAGAGGAUUGCAUGCAGGCUCUCAAAGCCGACCAGAAGAGGAAGGCCUCCGUGGCAUUUCCGAGCCAGCCAACUCGAAGGUUCAGGAUGGUUCCUCCACAAGCGCCCAGCCGACCCCAACAGUCGGGAAGGUGGAUUGCCCGACCCCCACCAGCAGCAGCGCCCCGUUUUCCCAGCUUCCAACCACAGGCGCCCCGGCCGACCCCACCACCACCACCACACCCUGCAACUAGUAGCCGCUGCUUCACCUGUGACAAUGAAGGGCAUUUUGCUAAGGACUGCCCCAGGAACAGAAAUUAGCAGCAUGGCCAAAACCCUAUGGCGAACAGAGGAAGAAGGCCCAAGGUGCAAGUUCGACAAGGACGGCUCAACUGCACCAGCUUGACCGAACUCCCCGAAGGUGCGCCAGUGAUGACGGGUACUUUCCUUGUCUUAAAUCAAGCUGUUGUUGUGUUGUUUGAUUCGGGAGCCUCUCAUAGCUUCAUCGGGAGUAAGACUAGAGAAAGAUGUGAGCUGGAUGUCGGUCACACUAAGGAAUCCUAUGUGAUCGCCACUCCGGGAGGAAAGAUAGCCUCGGAUCAGAUCGUUACUCUUGUACCUCUCCAGCUAGGCCAAACUCUUUUUAAGGAAAAUCUUAUCAUCCUUGACCUGGAAGGAAUAGAUAUCAUCCUCGGGAUGGAUUGGAUGACCAGACACCAAGUGGUUCUAGAUACAGCUGCCCGGACUCUCCACCUCAACUCGCCCUUUUAUGGCAGUUCUACCCUGUUCUUGAACCCUCCUAAAUCCGCACUUCCUUGUGCGUACCCUCUAUCGGAAGCCCGGCUAGAAAGCCUCCCUGUUGUCUGUGAAUACCCGGAUGUGUUCCCAGAGGACUUGCCCAGCAUGCCGCCCAAUAGAGAUGUGGAGUUUUCCAUAGAGUUGAUUCCCGGCACGGCUCCGAUAUCCAAGAGACCCUAUCGGAUGCCGCCUGCUGAGUUGGCCGAGUUGAAGACCCAGUUGCAUGAUCUGUUGGAAAGGGGCUUCAUCCAACCCAGCACAUCACCUUGGGGUUGCCCCGCCCUGUUUGUGAAGAAGAAGGAUGGGAGUCUCCGCAUGUGUGUGGACUACCGACCCCUCAAUGCGGUGACUGUCAAGAACAAGUACCCACUGCCACGCAUUGAUUCUGAAACUCCUUCGCUAUCGCCGGCUUCGCCACGACGUGCAAGAACCAAACUUCAAAGUGGGAUUGUGAAGCCCAAGAAUGUAUGAUGGCAUGAUAAAGUAUGGUUGUUUCACAUCAACUGGUGAACCAGAAUCAGUGCAAGAAGCAAUGGAUGAUCCAUGAUGGAAACAAGCUAUGCAAGAUGAGUAUAAUGCUUUACUUCGUAAUGGUACUUGGCACUUAGUUUCGGAAAAACAAGGCAUAAAUAUCAUUGAUAGUAAAUGGGUCUUUAAAAUUAAAAAGAAAAUUGAUGGAAGUAUAGAUAGAUACAAAGCUAGAUUGUUGGCAAAAAGUUUUAAGCAGCGCUAUGGUAUAGAUUAUGAAGAUACUUUCAGCCCUAUUGUUAAAAUUGCUACUAUCAGACUUGUGCUAUCUGUUGCAGUAUCCAGAGGAUGGUGCUUGAGGCAAUUAGAUGUACAAAAUGUGUUUCUUCAUGGUGUUUUGGAAGAAGAAGUGUACAUGAGACAGCCUCCAGGUUUUGAGGACUCAAGAAAGGCUGGUCUUAUGUGUAGAUUGGACAAAGCUAUAUUUGGGUUAAAGCAAGCUCCUAGAGCCUGGUAUUCCAGGUUAAGUGAGAACUUAAUUAAUCUUGGUUUCAAGGCCUCUAAAUCUGACACUUCUCUGUUUAUUUAUAGAAAAGGUCAAGUAACUAUAUUCAUACUCAUUUAUGUUGAUGACAUUAUAGUUACCAGCUCAGCUCCUAAGGCAGUCACUGCGAUAGCUAAAAGAUCUUAAGAAAGAAUUUGCCUUAAAGGAUCUUGGUGACUUGCAUUAUUUCCUUAGGAUAGAAGUAACAAAAGAAAAGGAUGGAAUCUUGCUCUCACAGGAGAAAUAUGCUUAAGAUGUUCUCAACCGAGUUGGUAUGCUAAAUUGUAAGAUGGUGUCGACACCUUUAUCAAUUACUAAAAAAUUGUCUAGUCAUAAAGGAGAAGUGUUGGGGCCGGCUAACAGCAGAAGUAUUGUUGGUGCUCUCCAGUAUUUAACUCUAACACAUCAUGAUCUAGCAUACUCAGUAAACAAGGUUUGCCAGUUUCUACACUCACCCACCGGUUUACAUUGGACAACAGUUAAAAGAAUUUUGAGAUAUAUAAAGUACUCUUUGCAUUUUGGGUUAAAAAUUCAGAAAUCCAAGUCCAUUUUAAUAAGUGCAUUAUCUGAUGUUGAUUGGGCUGGUAGUGUUGAUGAUAGACGGUCUACUGGUGGCUUUGCAAUUUUCUAUGGGUCUAAUCUUGUUUCUUGGAGUGCUAAGAAACAAGCAACAGUGGCAAUAUCAAGCAUAGAAGCUUAAUAUAAGUCAAUGGCAAAUGCAACGGCUGAGGUAAUUUGGUUGGAGUCCUUGUUGACUGAACUUGGAGUCGUUUCUGUUGACAUUCCCUAUCUAUGGUGUGAUAACUUGGGGGCAACAUAUUUGUUGGCUAAUCCGGUGUUUCAUACACGUGCCAAGCAUAUAGAAAUUGAUUUUCAUUUACAAGAAAGCAGCUUCAAGUUCGGCUCAUCUCAACUAAUGAUCAACUAGCAGAUGGAUUUACCAAGCCUUUGCCGGUGAGAAAGUUUGAAGAAUUUGUUGACAAUCUAAAUCUUUGACAGCAAGAAUGUUUAGAUUGAGGGAGGGUGUUAGAUUAGUUUGGAUUCUCCCUAUAUCUCAUGUAAUAUCUCUUGUAGUUGUAUCCUGGUUUGGUUGUAGAUAGACUUAGAGAUAGAGUUAGAUUCUUUCUUCUCUCAAGCUUGUAAUCUCACGCAACCAAACCAGGGCCAACAACCUCGUCAUGUAAUUUUCUCAGGGUGGGUUCAUGACCCUAUAUAAACACGCAAACCGUGAUGUGCUGAGUUAAGCAAUCACGGUUCCAACUAAUUUACAGCGCGCCGGGGGAGCAUGGUUUCACGUGGCCAAGCAAAGCCUUACUCAAAGCAUGCAUCUUUCUCAUUGCUAGAGGCUACCUGAUAAGGUACUAGCUAGGUCCGGGAAAGGGAAAACUAUGUCCAGGAGAGGAGCCCUUAAAAAAUCCUCGAGGAGCUGUACACAUAGGCAGUAAAGAGCGAUCAUUGGCAGCUAUACCGGCACAUAUUCUUAUAACCAGUCCGUAUGUCCUUGGUUCGUCCAAUGGACAAAACAAGGUAAAUAUAAAAUAUGCCUUGCCACUGAAUAUUGUUGUGUUAUCCACUUUUUAGCAUAUAGUUUAUACGAUUGCAAUAAUGUGGUGUUGAUGGCUGCGGUUUUUAAUUUUGGCUAAGUCUCUCGCUAGAAGUCGCCCUACCUAUAUUUUUUCCUGGCUCCACCACUGAAUACUGAUUGCAUUGAUUGUGGGAUGGCAGAUGCUCCUUAGAUCGAGCCAAGAACAACAUCCUGCACAGACAGGCAAAACCAGCCAUGGAAAGCGUCAAGCUCUCCAGCCUCCUGGGCGCCAGCUCGAGCACGAGGAACAAUAGUGACCCAUCAUCUGUCCGUCUCUGCUCUAGCGCCAUUCGGAGGAAAUAUUCGCCAUGGAGACUAAGGGGACGUGUGUGGAUGAGCCAUUUCGGGUCUCCAGCGAGAGCUACGGCCCAGCAGGCCCACCGGUCCUCGUCUCGCCCCGUCGCUGCACCGCCGUGAAUGUCGCCUCGUCGUCGGAGGCGCGACGUGAUCUAUAUAUCGCCGCCGUGUUGGAAGAACAGGGCCGAGUCGCUCUACGACAAGCCUCGAGAAGGACGGAGAUGAUCAAUGGACGGCCACCACGCAACACUAUCUCUACAGAGUAAUGGGGUAUUAUUGGAGGAUGAAUGUGAUGUUUUGCAGCACGGGGUUCUUCAUGAGAAGAUAACGCCCCCUACUACAUUCAAUACGAUGGACAGAUGUCUUCAUGGACAGGAUACAGCCUUGCUAAUAUGUAAUUGGAAAAAAAAAUCAUUUUACUAACUACGCUCAGCAAUUCAAUGCAACUUAUAUCCUGUUUUGAACUUGAUACACACAUCGUAGGGCUGUUUCCACGAGAAUAUGAAGUGACAUCUUUUUGUUAAUAGAGGCUCUGAAAUGGCAGAGUGCCCCCGAUAAACUUUGCCAUACAAGAAAUUUCGUUAUGAGGACAAAUGGUGUGGCAAAAUCUUGCAUAACUUGAAUAGCCAAACGAGCAAGUUUGUUUUAAUCCAAAUUAUCACUGCCAAACGAAAUUCUUCAAGCGAAGAGCCGAAGACGAUGAUGCCCGCUACUACUACACUCAAGACAAAGGGCGAGAGUAGGAAUGAUUCUCUUUUCGCCCUAGAAAAAGAACGUCCUUUUCUCGUCUUAUUCGGAUCAGAGAAAUGUUUCCGUUCUACUAUUCUGAUCACUGAUCAGGGGAACUUUUUGAGGGGCCCCUUCGCCAUUGUCGAACAGUGGUCGAAUACGCACGUUGUUUAAUUCCUUGUAUAAAAGGCCGCCAUGGAUCCAGGCGCACACCACAUCAGAGCAAGCCUGCAGCCAUGGGAAGCUUCAAGCUAUCCUUGCUCCGCAUUCUUCUUAUUCCCUUCCUCCUUGCUCCAAUCGUUGCCGAGGACCUGACGACAGCCGGCGACGGUGUGCUCCCAACGCUCAUCGAGCUACCAACCGGCGAUGAUGAGCUUCGAACGUUCAUCGUGCACGUGCAGCCGGCCGAGAACCGCGUGUUCGGCACCGCCGACGACCGGACGGCGUGGUACCAGUCGUUCCUCCCGGAGGACGGCCGGCUCCUCCACGCGUACCACCACGUUGCCAGCGGCUUCGCCGCCCGGCUGACCCGCCGGGAGCUCGACGCUAUGUCCGCCAUUCCGGGGUUCCUCUGGGCGCACCCGAGCGAGGUUUAUGAGCUGCUGACGACGUACACGCCCCGGUUCCUCGGCCUGGACACGCCACAGGGCGACGGCGGUGGAAACCAUAGCGCCUUGGGGUUCGGCGACGGCGUGAUCAUCGGCGUCCCCGACAGCGGUGUCUCCCCCGACCACCCGUCGUACAGCGGCGACGGCAUGCCGCCGCCGCCGGCAAGGUGGAAGGGGCGGUGCGACUUCGACGGCGCCGCGUGCAACAACAAGCUCAUCGGCGCGCGGUCCUUCGCGUUCGGCACGUCGCCGCUCGACGAGGCCGGGCACGGCACGCACACGUCGAGCACUGCCGCCGGGGCCCUCGUGCCGGAUGCCAACGUGCUCGGGCAGGGCCGCGGCACCGCCGCCGGGAUAGCACCCCGCGCCCACGUCGCCAUAUACAAGGUGUGCGGCCGCAGCUGCUCCGGCGACGAUAUCCUCGCCGGCAUCGACGCGGCCGUGGGCGACGGCGUCGACGUCCUCUCCAUAUCCAUUGCCGGCGGCGGGCCGGAGGUGCCGUACUACGAGAACCCCAUCGACAUCGGAACGUUCGGCGCCGUCGAGAAGGGCAUCCUCGUCAGCAUCGCAGCCGGCAACCACGGCCCCGGCGCCAGCACGCUGUACAACGACGCGCCGUGGAUGCUCUCCGUCGCGGCGAGCACCGUGGACCGCCUGAUCGGCGCCCAGGUGCGCCUCGGCAACGGCCUCUCCUUCGACGGCGAGUCCUUGUACCAGCCGGACAUCUCGCCGGACGUCUUCUACCCGCUGGUCAACGCCGGCGCCAGCUGGAAAUACAACGCUCAGUACUGCGGCGCGGGCUCGCUGGACGGCCUCGACGUCGAGGGCAAGAUCGUGCUCUGCUACCGCGGCGGCGGCACCGGUCGGGUUGCGAAAGGCGAAGUGGUGAAGCGAGCCGGAGGCGCCGGCAUGAUCCUGGCCAACGGGGCCUCCGAUGGCUACAGCACGUUCGCCGACGCGCACGCCCUCCCGGCCUCGCAUGUCAGCUACGCUGCCGGCGAGGCCAUCAAGGAGUACAUCAGCACCACGGCGAAGCCGGUGGCGAAGAUCGUCUUCCGGGGCACCGUCCUCGGCGCGAAGCCGGCACCGGCCAUGGCUUCCUUCUCGUCGCGCGGGCCCAGCCUGCGCGUCCCCGGCAUCCUCAAGCCCGACGUCACGGGGCCCGGCGUGAACAUACUGGCGGCGUGGCCGGUCCAGGUCGGCCCUUCGUCGGCGGCGGGCUCCGGGCCGGCCUUCAACUUCCAGUCCGGCACGUCCAUGGCGACGCCACACCUCAGCGGCGUCGCGGCGCUGGUCAAGAGCAAGCACCCGGACUGGUCGCCGGCGGCGAUCAGGUCCGCCAUCAUGACCACCGCCGACCCCAACGACCUCUCCGGGAACCCGAUCGUCGACGAGCACCACCAGCCGGCGAGCUUCUUCUUGACGGGCGCCGGCCACGUCGACCCGGACAAGGCCGUGGACCCCGGCCUGGUCUACGACAUCGCCACCGCCGACUACGUCGCCCACCUCUGCAGCGUCUACGCGAGCCGGUUUGUGUCCGUCAUCGCGCGGCGCAACGUCGACUGCUCGGCCGUCACUGUGAUCCCAGACAACGCGCUCAACUACCCGUCCAUCUCUGUCUCGUUCCCGCCGGCGUGGAAAUCCACUGCAGCCGUAGUGGAGGUGCGCCGGACGGCGAGGAACGUCGGGAAGGCGCCGGCGGUGUACUACCCCUACGUGGACCUGCCGUCGGGCGCAGCGGUGAGCGUCACCGUCACGCCGAGCUCGCUGCAGUUCACCAAGGUGAACCAGGAGAAGAGCUUCACGGUGUCCGUGUCCCGAGGUAAGAGUGGUAAGGGGGAUGUGGUGCAGGGCGCGCUCCGGUGGGUGUCCGACGAUCACACCGUCAGAAGCCCCAUCUCCAUCACAUUUGAAUGAUCCCAUCCCAUAGUCGAAGAAGAGUACGAUGAUGCUCUUGGUUGAUCCUUCCACCUAAUAACAAAUAAAAAUUUCGCAAAAAAGAACGUAAUAAAUAAAAAAAAGAGGGUGCUCCCUCUUCGUGCAAACUUGCUUUCAUUUCAUUUCACUUCAGUCACCAGUUUAUGAACGUAAAUGUUUCAGUCGCUGAACAAUGGCAAUAAAAAGGAGGGAUCUUUGAUAUUUGAAUUUCCCUAAACAUGGAUUUGUUCGAUUUUUGUGAUGAUGAUUAGUGAGAUCAGAACAUAUGGGCAGUAUCAUUUCUACUUGGUCAACCAAGAACCUACUCCCUCUAAUCCUAAAUGCAAAUCCAAUUAGAACGACAGCAUCACGGUCUCCAGUAUUCUAGUUUGAUUAAUAAUACCUAUAAAAUAUAUUACUACUUUUUUUAAAUAAAAGGAGUUACACAUUAUGAAGCAUGGCGUGAUCGGAUAUCACUACUUUUUUACAACUAAUUUGCAUGUAUGAGUUCAUAGAAAUCGUUGACAACUACUUAGCGCAUGAGGAGAACAUUUUCUCCAGAUUGCUAUAUGUCGCCUACGCAACUAGGAUAUCUGUCAUCGGAUUUUUUCUCGGUCGGUCCAUUGACGUUGCUUUGGAUCUGCCACAUAUAUUCGUGGUCAAGUUGUUAUGUUGAAGCAUCGUUUUCUUCAUUGCUUGCACAGGAGACGUUUUGUUCUCUUCUCAAAAAAGGAACCGUGGCUUUCAUGGUGUGAUUUUAUCCUCUUUUUGGCUGUUUCUUUUUCUUUUUUGCUUUUUCUUCGCUUCUUUCUUUAAUUUUUCUUUCUUUUUGUCUCCAAUCCACAAAAGAUAUUUUUUAGAUGUUUAUAAUUUACUUUUUUUUGCAAUUUGUAUCAUUUAUUGUUUCUUUCUUUAUUAUUGGAAAGUCUUGGCAACGUAUACUUGAUUGUUCUAUUAAUUAUGUUAUUUUAUUCUUACUUCCUAUAUUUAAAUUUAUCACUGAGUUUGUUCAUGUAUUUCAAUAUUUUUUCUAUAUCCAAUGUAUUUGUUCCUUAUAAUUAUUUGUUCUGCGAGCUUGUAUAAUUUGUUACAAAUACAUGUUCCCUGAGUUUGUAAAAUCUAUUCUAGAAGUACAUAUUUUUAUCCCAUGAGUUCAUAUAAUUAGUCCAAUUGUAUAGAUCUAUAUCAGUUCAUAUAAUUUUCUUUAGGUGCAUAAUUUUUUAUUCUUUGAGCUCAUAUAAUUUAUACAAUUGUAAAAUAUUUUUCUUCUAUGAGUUUAUAUGAUUUAAUUUCUUUGAGGUGUACAAUUAUUUUGUUCUUAAGUUCCUAUAGUUUUUCCAGAUGUACGAAUCCCAUAAAAAAAUUCCAGCUUGAUGAAAAAUAUAUUUUUAAAAAAUAUCAUAUAAACAUAGUUGUAUAUGAUUUUAUUUCAAAGAUCUUUUCUUAAUAAUUAUAAUGAUAUGAUCGAAAUUUAAUGUAGAUAGUUGGUGUAGGAUUUAUGGUUUUCUAGUUCUGAAAUCUUUGAGAAUCAGUUCGUUUGCUUUGAUGUACGGUGUGGUCCAUAUUGCAGCAGGAUUGAAGGAGUCGAUCCGAAAUGACCGAAUUUCGGUGAGGACCGAAAUGAAACUGAAUUAUUCAAAAAAAUUGACCGGAGUUGAAUUUUUCUACUAUUGUUAAGAUCUAUACCAGCCCACGUACUCCCUAGCUAUAAAGAUAUGAAUAAACCUUAAUUGUAUAACUCUUUGAAGUCUCUCGCUUUGUAACAGCUAACGAGCGCAGAAAUGACGUGAUUUUGCCGUAUUCCUCCUUAGCUCCUCACUAUAGUUCCCUAGUUCCCACCCACCAUCUUCACUAGGAGUGUUUAAUUCCUCUAUCACCAUCUAAUUUUGAACAAAUUUCAUAUAAAAAUGAAUUUAUUGACGGGUCAAAACAACCGCCCGAGUUUUCCAUAUUUCCCGAAAUUCACCCAUUUCGGUGGCAUUCCAAAUUUUUCGCAUUUCUAAUUCCAGUACACCGGGUUGCAUGAUUAUCUUCCCCCGCGUGUCCAACUGGAAUCAAAACAGUGGAACUUAUUGGGCCGGACCAGAAAAGCGUGGAAACAGCAGUUUUUGGGAGCAGCGCAACGGGCCUCCAACCGUGGCCCUGAUCUCUUUUUCUUCUCUCUCGUCUGCCCAUCCAGCAGCUGAGAUGUGUGCGCGUGGUGGGCCGAACCACCUAUUGUUUGUUGUUGUAGCGAUGGCGAGUUUGCAGCGGGGAGCCUUCGAGUCUGUUCGUGGAGGCGCCGGCGCCGGCGCCGGCCCUGGAACGCCGCACUCGGGCUCGGAGGUGGAAUCCGCGCCGAGUCGCCACCAUGUUCAAGCGGAAUGCAACCACUACCGAUCCGGCACCACCUCGCAGGAAAAUAUACUAACCGGUAUAAUUUCUUUGAAUUCUCGGCCACAAUUCGUCCAGGAAAAAUGAAAUUAUUUUCCUUGUCUACACACAUCUCACAGAUUGAUGAGAUGGAUGCUCUCAUUCCGUUCCCUUCUUUUUGAAAAAAAAGGGGCAAGAAUCACGAGUUCUAGAAUCCCGCCGCUAUAAACCUACGUAUGUUCUUGGUUCACUAUAUGUGCUGUUUGAUCCGGAUCUCGUCUAGCAUGGCUACGCUCUUGCACUUUUGAGUCUGCUAGAAAGCCUGCCAUCGGAUUCAGGGAGGUUGGAAUGUGGUAGUAUGUUCAAGUACAGGGCAUUGUCUUCGCAGUCCAUUUUUGAGGACCAGCACAGCUGUGCUUUCAUUCUUCAAGCCUCUGAGCUGUCGUCGAUCCUAAUCCCAUCAAUACUGAAACUACAAGUACCGGCGACAGACAGAAUAUGUGUUUGAUGUUUGAUCGUGCCAACAGCAUCUUUAUCUUGCCUACCCCAAUGAGUAGUCCUUAGUCUUUACAUACUCACUCCCUGUCGUCGUUUCGUUUUCCAUGACCGGUUUGGCCGAUGAGUUGUCGCUUUAGCGAAGACCACCCUGUGGAUUCCACCAUGUUGUGGUCUGCCGUUUGAUUGUUGUUACAGUUCUCCAUGGAUCCCUUGCUCCGCCUUUGCCACCGGUAGUAGGUGAUCAAUCACCUCAUCACCCAAGCUAGUAUCAACUCGUUUGAAGAUUCGCAGCCGAUUCGCGUCCGUUAAUUCCAUGGCAUGCUCCUUUCCCUUUCGUCGCUCUGCGAGUUAAGAUCCUGUUCCUAAAUAAUCUUGGUUAACAGCCGUUGAAGUAAGUAAUGUGAUUGGUUCAGCAUUCACAUCACCUUGGGGUUUUGGUUGGCUCCAUGUUGUUAGCCUUUCCGAGUUUAAACACCGCCCUGUGGCGGUGGUGGCCUGCAUUGCACAUGCAUGGAUGGCCACCCCCACCCUGCUGGCCGGCAUAUGGUUUGGUACAAAGCUCUCAUCGCACAUGCAGCACCUCACCUGUGGGUGGUCACUUGCUUUGGACCGGACCCUCCUCGGGUAGCUAUGUUCAUUGUCAUGCCAUUUCGCUCUCACCAGCAGCGUGUGCUGCAAUCCUUUCUUCUCUGUUUGUUGGUUUGGACAAGGCCGCGUGAUCUUAUCUCUCUUCCCCCAGACACUUUAGCACGCAACAAGGUAGCUUGAUUAUUCAUCGUCAUUAUAUUUCAUCAUGUGAAGUGUCUAUCUUGGAUUUUUUGUUGAGCAAUAUUACUGAAUCAGAUUAACCCUGUUCAUUUUGCACAUGCUCCAACAUUGUCUUUCUGAGAGACAUAUUUGGAUUCGGUGUUGAAUGAAGCACAAAUUCGUCUUCCUUAUAGUAGAGUAUUGUAAUUUUUACAGUUGAUGAGAAUGUUAGUUAGACAGGUGCUGCAGCUGUACUAUGGAACAUGACAUCUGUCCUAGUCAAUCUUACUUCAGGCUAUCAGCUUCUUGUUUGUUUGAUUCCUUUUGUCUGUUUGAGGAGAAAAGUACGUGUGCUAGUUAAUCACCUGUUAGUUCCUGUUCUAGAAAUUCCAGGUUUUGUAUCCUAGCUAGCUGUUGUCAUGUUUCCUUUGAUCUUUACCUUUCCUUUUUAUGGUAACUGAUUUUAGAUUUCCAUGCAUCAUGCAUGCACCCGAGUGGAGGACUAGAUGUAGCCUUUGAUCAUUUUGUUUUUCAGUUGCAUAAAUGCAGAAUAUCAUGAUUUAUGAGUUGAUGAUAGUAAUGGCCGAAAUGGUGGCAGGUUUCCCACUCCUAGCUAGCUACUUCGAUGGAAGGAUGGUGGUUAGGGCAAGGCGAUAUCUUUUAACUAUUCAUGUUUUCACUGCUUUUGCACAACCGGACAUGGAACAUGGGUGUCAGCAGCACAUACAUACAGUACAGCUAGUACAUAUGUGUAAUAGCUGCAGCUCCAUGUUUUUAUUUGCUAGUAGCUUGAACAGAUUAAGUUGUGAACUCUACAGCUUAUCAUCAUCUUAACUUUGCGCAGCCUUUCAGGAAUCUUCAUCAGCAUCCUAAAUAUAGUUACCUCUAAUUAACCUUUGGUGAGGAGAGGCAGCUUUGGCAUCAAUGAUAAGGUCAAUAAUGCUGAAAUGCUCCGGAGCAGUUAUGAUUCAUCCAAUCUUUGCAGGAAGAAAGAUGGGGAGUGGUUUCAAAAAGGAAAAAAAAGAGAGAGUGAAUGAAUGUGCAACACGGAUGUGAUCCUUGCAGUGGCAUCAUGAUGUCCUUCUUGACGUAGUGUGGUACCUUCUGAUGAAAGGCAAUUGACUUGCGUUCUUUGGGUUGGGGGGAGUCAGGCUUGUAGGGAACUAAGCGCAAUGAGAAGCGGGGGUAACUUUUGUCUGGAGCUCCUUUUUGUGGUAAUGCAUGCCUGUGCGGAGCACAUUGGCCCUGGUUGGUCCCGGGCGAUGACGCAACGGUGACGACCGGGCGAGUUGAGUUGAGACCAGUCAGACAGAUACCUAGUCGUCCCAUACAUGCCUCUCUAAUAUUUUCUUGUUUUCUUCUUCUUCGUUCUCAUCUGCAAGCCAAGAAAGAAAUGAAAGUUGAUGCUGGUGUGAUUGAGUGGCUGCAUCAUAGUCAUAGGCUCAAUAGGCUGCAAGAAGCCUGCAAGAGCUGACCUAGUGAGUGAGUGAGUGAGUGAGAAUACAGGAAGUGUGUACUGGGAAAGCACAUGGGUGCUUUGCUCUGUGCUUUUUCAGUCUUGAGCCCCUGAUAGCAGAUAGUACCAGCACUGUGCGUGAUUGUUCUUUUCCGCCCUGUUCGGUCCGUUGAUGAAAAGCCCGGCCGGCCGGCACAUGACCAAAGCCAGCCGGCAGGCGGCCGGCCGGGCCGGGCCGGGCAGCAACCACCUCUGUUCCUGACGAUCCCGCGCGCGUCCAUGAUUCGUCUUCGUCCGCCUCAAUCAUUUGCUACCGCCCCUGACGCCUGCACUGCAGGGAAUACGCAUCGAUAUCCAUGCCUGCAUGAACCUGUAUUCAUCAGAAGCCAUCGAUCAUGCACUCGGAUACGGUGACCUCAUCAUCGUCUCCAUCAGCGCCGUACGUGUCGCCGUAUCUCCCCACUGCAGUGUACAAAGUAUAGCAGUAGUGGUAGUGCCUGAAUGUCGGCUGGGAGAUGGAAACUGUUGAGCUACACAUUCAGCUCUGCGAAUCAUGGAAGGCAGGCACCUGUGGACACUGGACAGGACGCGACAUGUGUGGUGUUAUUACGACGACCGCAUAUAAACACCGUCUUUUAAGUCCAUGCACAGUUUUUGUUUACAGUGUCAGUGUACAGUUCAUGACCGCGCGAAUGAUAGCCGUGGAGCAUCAGGUCGUACUUCACGGUUGACUAGGAUUAGCAAUUUGAAAAAAAAAAGCAUAUGCGGUUUCGACAUGACUACUUUGCUGCUCACCACCCAAAACUCCACCAGAGCUUCAUGGGCCAAACAGUAAAAUUAGCUAGUUAGACUACACGCUUCAGCACGAGAGCCCCACACACUAUAGGUGUAUAGCAAUCAGAAAAUUAGAUCUUUAACAAAAAGACACCUUCUAUUCAUCAGGAACCUCCUGAAAUAGAAGAUGAUUUCAGGUGGCGGCAAAUGUGCAGUAAGGCAUCAAGCUCACUAUGGCUGACCCUAGAAGAAUCGUUAGGAGCUAGGCGGUAGGCCGAACCGGUGGCGGUGGUGGUAGGCGCACGGUGGAUAAGUCACCGACCACAAGAUGCGGAGGACUAACGGCUAGGAAGUACAUGGAUGAGGCGCAUAGCGGUGAUAGCAUUGACGAAGCUGGUUUAACAUGGCGGGGGAUGGGUAAGUAGUAAGGAAGCCGCUGGGGGACUGGUGAUGGAGGGCGGUCUCGGUAGCCAAAAAACCACCGGGGACCAUCCGAGUUCGUUGCAUAAUUAGUUGGAAUAAGAAAGAACGGGAACACUAUCUUGAGGAAAAAGAAGGAUCGUGGCUGAUAGACUAAAAAUUGCUCUAUUUUCAUACGCAUAUACACUAGCAAUACCCCUCAAAAAUAUAACUUUUUUUUUCAAAAAAAAACUCGAUAGCUUUGAAGGAAAAGUGAUAUUAUAAAAAAGAAGAAGAAUUAGACAUCCAAAUUUAAGUUAAAGAACUCGAAACCUAGAUGGUGUGUAACCCACACCUCCCACCAAGUAAUUUAAACUUAGUUCCUUAUAGAUUUUUCAGAUAUAAAUUUCUUUGUAAAUACUUUCUUAUAUAUAGCUCAUCCAUGUUUUUCUUUUUCUUUUGGAAAAGCCAUUGUAAACUAAGGAUGCAAUCUGAAAGCGUAGUACGUCGUACUAGUAGUAGCAGCUAUUAAAAAGAGAAGUAGUUCUCCUCGUUGCCGAGUCCAUGGAACAUGAACCAGACGACGAUCAUGGCAAGCUGAACAUAGCGGCAUGGCAUUAAUUCACAAGAGCUGAAAGCUAUGAAGAAAGAGAGUUACAGCAAUGGCGGCAUCCAUCGAUAUCGCCAUCCGGGGCUGCUCACCACAUACUACAGCGAUCGCCUUCCUGCGGCGGCUCACGCAGUUACACGGCGUCCUAGGACUACUAGGGGUGGAAGCGCUGCAUGCAGGCGUGGCAGGUGAUCUCGAGCGCCGCCGCGGACGACGCCGAGCCGACGAGCCGCCUCGCCGCGAUCUGCUUCAUGCGCUCCACCCGCUCCACCUCCUCGCGGGCGCGCUCCCAAAUCGCCCGGGCGCGCGCGAACUCCCGCUCCGCGAGCUCCAGCUCCCGCCGCGCCAGCUCCCGGACGCGCUCCGCGUAGGCGCGCUCCGCGCACGCCAUCCGGGCCUGCUCCGCCGCCUGCUGCUUCACCGCGCGCGCGUCCGCCGCUGCCAAAGCGUGCUGCUGCUGGUGCUUCUGCUGCGGCCUCGCGCCGGCCGCCGCCGCCGGCGUUCUCCUGUUCUCGUUCGCCAGUGAUGACGACCGCGGCGGCGGUGGCGGCGUUCGCGCCGCCGCUGGGUGCCUCGGCCCGAUGCUCAUGGACAGGUUGAGGUCCAGCUGCGGGUUGUCGGCGGCGGUGGCCGGCGCCGUUGGCACGUCGCGGAGGGCUCCUCGGCCUGCCGGCGCGGGGAGCAGCAUCAGCUGGAGCUGGAUCUCCCUCUGGCCUUGCUCCUCCAUGAAAGAAACCAAGAAGGGAGAUGGUAGGUGCUGUAUGUGGUGUUUGUUUGUAACAUUGCUGUGUGUAUCACGGUGUGUUUAUAUGUAUCCUCUGAGAGAGCUAGUGAGCAGAUCAGAUGUGGUUUUACCGGAAUGCCCUUGUGACUACCUGAAAGACGCUGCAGCUAGUUUAGUUAGGGGCAUCCAUGGUUUAGGUUCUUUGAGUGUGUAGUUGCCAAAAAGAUCUGGGAGUUUGUUAACGCUUUCACUAAUAUCUUGAUUAAAACUUACUCAGACAUGGCUAGCAAAUGGUUAUGUGGCAAAAAAUAUGAUAUAAUCAACAGCAUCUCUGCGGGAGUUUGCUGGGGUCUUUGGCUAACGCGUAACGACAUGAUCUUUCAUGGACAGGUAUGGGUGGAUAUAAAGACAGUGCUACGAAGGAUGUGGAAAUGUAUGAUGUUUUGGAAACCGAUGUUCAAGGGGACCCUACUGGAAGAUAUAAACAAAUGGUGCAACUCUUUGGAGGAAGUCCUCAGGACUGGCAAUCGAGGCUCCCUGAAGAAGUUCAAGCUGGGCGCGGCAUGGCGGAACAUGUGACCCCCCGGCCGGAGACUACGACGCUGAACUCCAAAGAGGAACAACAUGAAUACGGAGACUACGACGCUGAACUCCUAAGAGGAACAACAUGAAUACGGGAUCAAGAGAGUAGUUAAUCUUUUCCCCAGUUUUCUGUAUUUUAGACUUCUCUGAGCUGCUGUGCGGGCUGUGCUAUGUCUGGUGCUGUAGGCUACUAGGUAGUACACUGCUCUGGCUUCUGUCGGCGAAUGUAAACGCCUAAACAAAAACAGCUGUUAUGCCUUGUUUUCUAUAAAAUGGGGCAGGGCGAGGUGCCUGUCAGUUCCAAAAAAAAAAAAAUCCAUGGUUUAGGCAGCUGCUGAUUUGUGUGGUCCAGGAGAAAGGCCUGGACAACAACCUAGCUUGUGGAUGCAGCAGCUGCAUCGUCCUAAUCAAAUUCAUGGCUACUUUUUGUAGCCUGUCUACGCGCAGUAGUUUGCACUUCUUUUCCUAAAUGCGAUUUUGGUACUUUUGUAUAACAGUGGUCACAGCCAAGAGUUUUGUCGUUUGCGUAUACGCUAUGCUAUGCAUUGUUUUCUGACGUGGACAAAAAAAAACACAAACUGAAAUGUGGUGUGAGCAUGGUGCAUGUGCUUUGUUGCAAGCAUUACUCUCUCUCUUUUCGCAUGGAUAGCCAUGGUCAUGCUAAGCAUUAAGCUCUUGUCAAAACUUUCACGCACUAUCCUCUAGCUUAGUUACUCAUCGAAGUACAAUGAGCAAGCUUAGUUGGUUGGGAUUCCUGUAGUUGAAUAUCCACUUGUGUUCGAGUCUUCGACUUAAAGCAUAUGCUUAAAUUUUCGGUUGACAAGGGCAUGUGCAUGUGUGCAGUUAUAAUAAGAAGGAUGAGCAUCUAUGUCUGCGCGUAUAUACUCUGAAAAUAAAAGAAAUGCACGGAACCGUUGGUAAUUAAUUUAUAAGGUCGUAUUACUCGAAUCUAGGAGUUUCAAAAAUUAAUCUACUGUGGUUUUUCAAAAAAUACAUGCAAGGCCUUACUUUCUUUUAAUUUCCUCGGUUAAUGAAUGCAUGCAUGGCCUUUGAUGGGCUCAGAGGGAGAGGGGAUCUGCCGACCAAAUCCCCAAUGGGGCACAGGGGGAGCUCAAGAUGUUCUUUCAUGGCCGCUUUUGUUCCACAUGCUGCGUGUCUAGCUUUAUGGGUUGGCAAUGGCGCAAUAAUGCGUUGCAUUUGCAUGCAUGCAUGCACAUGUUCUCCCGCGCAAGCGAGCGAGAGAGCCUGGGAGGCUGGGAGAAGUUUCAUGCAUGCCUGCUUGGGUGCAUGCUGAGCGAGAGCUUUAUUGGUAGGCCUAGGUUGUCCGUCCUGUAAAAAAGAUAGAAACCACACAAAGGUAAGGGGUUUGAAAAGUGAUGUGAGAGAGGGUGAUGAGAGAGGGAGAAAGAGAUGAAAUACUAUUCGGCUACAGGCAAUGGAGCUUCUUCUUUGGAGCUUGCCUCGUUGCCUUUGCUCUUUUGCAGCUUCGAUCUACUGCUUUUGUGCGUGUAUUGGGAUCGUUGUUCACUAAUUCGUGUGCGCGUGGUGUUCUUGUUUGUCUCUGCUUGUUACCGAUGGAUCUGGCUCGCUCUAAUUAUCUGCUAACUUCAUGCUUAGGACAGAACAGAAGCAACAGCACACGAGCUCUAUCUGUGUGGAUACCCAUUACAUAUCCAUCGACAAAUGUGAUGCUUACAAUUCAUUGCCCUCCUAGCUUGAAGCUUAACUUUGACAUGUUUCUUUUUUUUUGUGUUUUUCGAAUAUAUAUAUGGGUUAAGAUAAACUAUUUAGGACGUAUAAAAAACUGGUUGUCCUGCCCAAAGUGGUACAGUCUGCAUUGCCACCAGCUGUUAACUCACUCUUGCACACACCAUCAAUCACGAGUGGUCGAUGCAAGUAACCAAGGCCUGCAGGGGCCAUAAAAAGAUGCAUGAUUCUAUUUUCCCUGGGGAUCUCUGCUGCUACACCGUGCUCUCGCAGUCUUGCCACACCUGCAGGGGUUGCGCUCUCCAAGAUAACACAGCUUAGUGGCGAGAAAAAGAUGGGGGGGGGGGGGGGGGGGGGGGGGGGGAGGAUGAGGUGACUCCAAAUCAGUCACUGGCUAACGGCCGGACUGGCGCCACCAGAAGAGAGCCAGACACCUGCAUGAAAUCAUCGCAUGGCGUCUGCAUGGGGUAAAGCAGCCUGCCUCUUUUGUCCGGGAGAUGACAUCACCAUGUGUAGGCCUUGUCUGCCAAGAUCCUAGUGUUUAGCAACCUGCAUGCAAACCCCAGAUGAUUUGGGUGAGAUCCUCAUGUUAGGAACCAUGCAUGAAAGCUUUCGCAAAAGUGUUUGUCAAUUCAAUGUGGUCCGAGAGAAUGUGUGGAUGGCGAGUAGUGAGACCAUAAUUUAGUUAUUUCUUGACAGUCGGGUUAAAACAGUUAAUCGGUCUGCUGAAACAUACACUUCUUGUUAUUCAUUGCAAAUGUGUCGAUGAAAUGUGUGCUUAGCCUUAGCAGGUCCAAAUAAUCAAGACUGAGUAAAGUGAUGUUGGUUAUCAGAUUACAGAGAGAAUAUAGCAUGCCAAAUCCCACUUUUUGGGUGCACGCAGUAGCUUUUGCUGGAGCAUGGUAAAAAAGAAGGCAGGACAUGCAGGGUAAAAUUAAAAGGGAGAAAGACUGCACAAGAUCCAACAAGUGCAUCCGAGUGCGUGGGUUUUGCUUUAUGUGGGGGAAAAGCUGGGAUCAAAGGGGACAUGGAGCAUGUCAGGCCACCAUGAAUUUAUGUAUCCAUGCAUGCAUGUAAGCUCUACCUAGGUCAGCUUUUUUUGGUUUUGGGGGCCCUUGUGCUCUCCACUAACUUAAUUCUAGCCUGCUACCGCUACUACUGCAAUACUGCACCAAUGUGUGCUACUACCACUCUUAUCACAUGAUCUCACCAAUGUUACUAGUGGUAGUGAGUUAGUGACGUGUUGGUAUGAGAUCUUGCAUUGAGAGACAAAGAGACUGUCCUUUUGGACAAUGAUGUAUGCAUCAUGGUCCUUCAACGGUGCCCAGCAGACACACCCCAGUAUAUGCAAGAGAAAGAGAGCCUUUGGCCAGCAUGAGCAUGAAUCAGCCUCCACAAGACAAGGGUUUUUGCCCAUUUUCAAUCUUGGACUGUUCUUUUCACUUUCCUAUACAUAGCUCUCUAUCCUUUGCUUUUGCACUUUCAAGCAGGUAACCACUGCUCCAGCCACUACUUUGGGCACAUCACAGCACUACACAGUACAAGUCCCUGUGUGAGUUCAUGUAGGGUGGUGUGUUGUCAACAUUUACAGGCUUCACAGUUGCUCAGGUCAUUGGAAAAGGGGGAGAGACGCUGACCUUACACUGUCUCGAGCGAGCUUUACAUAUAUCUUAACCUGAGUGAGGGCCAGAACGCUGGUCAUAGGGAAUGUACAAUCUGUCAGUUGUAGCGCAACAUCUCUGGCAUUGGGCAAUCAGCUCUUAUCCUAAGGUCUCAUUUGAAAAAAGAGUAUAAUACAUUAUCAUGGUCUUACAUCACGAACUAAAUUACAACCAUGCAUGGCUGAUAGGGCAAACCAAAAAAGAUUCGAGGACAACAAUGCAGCUUCAGCAUGGAUGAAGCUCAAUUUUUUUCUAUUUCGGCCAUUGUGUAUUUGAAAUCUUGCUUUGAAUCAUCGUCUAAAUUCAAAGUUUGACUACUCAGUACGACUCUGUAAGAAGUUUGAUUGGUGCUAGCUUAAGGGAUUUGAUCGGCCAUAUGGUUUAAUUAUGAGCAGAUCCAAUUUCUUCGAUGAAAUUAAUUAAGUGAAACACGUAGUUUAAUUUCAAAGAAUUAGAAUAAAGUCGGAUUUAAAAAACAAUUGAAGUUAUUGGUUUUGGAGUAAGCUAUUCAUUACCUGCAGUUUCCAAAGAAUUGAAGUUAAUAAGCACAAGGUCGCAACUCAUCCAUGGCUCCAUGCCUCCAUGUCGGAGUAUCCAAAACAGACGCACCACACAUGGGGUAGUCAGACCCUCUUCCUAACCCCUUAUUAACGUUGUGUUUGGCAGCGCUCCUGAGCAUUGGUUCUAGCCCUCAAUACCAGUUGGUUUUUGAUCCGGUACUAAUGUGAGCUUUAGUAUCUUGUCUAACAGCCAAUGUACAAAAUAGCGGGCUAUGAGAUUUAGCGUAGAGCUGUGCUCAACUGCUAUAGCUCCGCUAUAGCCCGCUAUAGCCCGCUAUAGCGCCGCUAAUUAGUACAACAGUGUUGUAGCGGCAGUUAGCAUCAAACGCUAUAGCGCCGCUAUAGCCUCGCUAUAGCCCGCUAUUUUGUACAUUGCUAACAGCCAUUUGACCUAGUACUAAUGUGAGCAUUAGUACCUUGUCUAACGGCUAGUUCCCCAGGAGCCUCCCGUGAUCCCCAACCGGUACUAAAGGUCACCCAUUAGUACUGGGUGGAGCCUCCACCCGGUACUAAUGUGCCUGAGGGCCUUUAGUACCGGGUGGAGCCUCCACCCGGUACUAAUGUGCCUGAGGGCCUUUAGUACCGGGUGGAGGCUCCACCCGGUACUAAAACUAAUAGGUGACCUUUAGUAUCGGUUGAAGGCCCUAACCGGUACUAACUUCCCUCCUAUAAAUCAGAUGUCUUCUUCCUCCUGCCCAAGCCAUUGUUUCCAGCUCGGGCUUCAUCCAUUCAUGGCAAAAUAGGGGAGGUGCUGCUGGAUUUUUGACCAUUUCGUGGGGAUUUCACUCAUUCAAGUGUUCUAAAGGUUAGAAACUUCAUCCUCCCUUGAUACAGGGUUAGUAUACUAAGUUUUAUGCUUUAGAGCUAGAGUAAUUUGUGAUUUUAGAAUAAGGUACAAUGGAGAAAAUUUUCAUUUAUAUGCAUGUGUUAUUUAGAGCUCAUAUUUGUGAUUUUUAGAAUAAGCUACAAUUUUUUGGAUGCUAUGUUUUGUAUUGGUCAAAAAAAAUGAUAUGAGGUUACUUUACAAAUAUGAGCUAAAUAAAUUAUGGGGAAGAAUAUAAUUUGUUCAUAUUUUAGUCAUUUGCAAAUAUGAGCGAGAUAAAUUGUGGUACAUAGAGAUAAUAAGAUGAAAUAGAGGUACAUAAUUAGUCAUUUUUAGAAUAAGCUACAAUGGAGAAAUUUUUCAUUUAUAUUUUAUGUUUGAGCUAAAUAAAUUAUGGGGAAAAAUAUAAUUUGUUCAUAGUUUAGUCAUUUGCAAAUAUGAUCUAAAUAAAUUGUGGUACAUAGAGGUAGCUACUGCUGCUGGAGGUAGUGGCGAUGGUGGGGGCGAUCGUCAUUCCUCUCGCGGCAAGGGCAAAAUCAUAGCUAGCCCUCAUGAUAAGCCAAAGAAAAUGAGCACGUGCGAGAGAGUAAUGCUUCAUUAUUUGCAAAGAUAUCAUGGAGAUGCUGUUGCGGCGGGUCAGGAACCUCCUUUUAGUGGUCGUUAUACUCCACCGCCAGUUCCGGUUGUUUUAGGUCCACUUAGUACUACCAUUGCAGGAGACACAAAUAAACCAUACCAUAGGAUGAGGUUGGGUCAGCGAAACCUUCGUCUUCGCCGCCCAAGGAUGCUUAAAGUCCUCCUAUAUAGUACUCGGUGGAUGGUUUAUCGUAGUGUAUCAUGUUAUUUGGGUUUGAAAUUUAAAUUUGUAUAUUUCUAUCUAAACUUUCAGCAACAUUUGAGUUUGUCGUAGUAUAUCAUGUUGUUUGGGUCUAAAAUUUAAAUUUGUGUAUUUCUAUAUAAACUUUCAGCAACAUUUGAUUUUAAUGGUAUUUGUAUCAUGUUUGUUAUGUUUCAUGUAUAAUUCUAUGGACGAUCAGAAUAUCUUUGGUUCGGUAAUACUUUGUAGAUGGAUCGGCAAUGGAUGUACAGCGCGGACAAAUGCUCCAUGGAGUAUAUUAAUGGCUUGCGUGGUUUUCUCAAUCUAGCAGAGUCCAACAAGCCGCCGUCUGGUUUUAUUUAUUGUCCAUGCCAAAUUUACAAAAAUGAGAAGGAUUACUCAUACAGAAAGACUAUUCACGCCCACAUAUAGUUUGGGAUUCAUGCCUAACUAUUUUGUUUGGACAAAGUACGGGAAAGAAGAGUUAUGAUGGAAGAUGAUGAUGAUGAUGAAGAAGAUGGUAACUACAUUCUUGACUGGACUCAAGGAGGUGCCUUUGCAGAUGCUGCAAUGGGCGAGGCUGAAGAAGAGAUGGUUGCAGAAGAAGGUUCUAUCGAUGAUCUAGGUCAGGUGUUGCGAGAUGUAAAGGAAAACAUCGAGAAUGUGAAGAAGUCAAAAAAGUUCGAACGUAUGUUAGAUGAUGAUAAGAGAUUGUUGUUACCCAGAUUACAAACAGGGGCACAAAAAGUUGGGUACCAUACGGCUGCAAUGGAAGGCAAAAAAUGUAGUUUCUGACAAGGGUUUUAAUGAGUUAAUGAAAAUCAUCAAGAACAUGUUUUCCGAGGGGAACGAAUUACCGUCCUCAAUGUACGAAGCGAAAAAGGUUGUGUGCCCUUUGGGUUUGGAGGUACAAAAGGUACAUGCAUGUCCUAAUGACUGUAUCCUCUAUCGCGGUGAGGAUUAUGAGAAAUUGGAGGCUUGUCCUGUGUGCGAAGCGCUGCGUUAUAAGAUCAGGCGAGAUGAUCCCGGAGAUAUUGAGGGGCAGGCUAGCAAGAAGAAAGUUUCUACGAAGGUAAUGUGGUAUUUUCCUAUAGUACCAUGCUUGAAGCGUUUGUUCAGAAAUAAGGCACAUGCAAAGUUGAUGCGUUAUCAUAAAGAAGAAUAAAUGUGGAUGAUACUAAAAUGGAUGAUUUUGCUGAAUGCUUGGUUGUCAGAUUGGGUCCAUGCCCUUCACAUAUCUUGGUCUACCCCUGUGACUACUAGACCUCCUAUGUGUGAGUUUGUGCCAAUUCUGACUAAAAUGGAAAAAAUACUUUAUGGGAAUCUCCAAAUUUUUAUCCUACUCAGAAAGAUUAAUUCUUGUUAACUCCAUUUACUCAGCCAUGCCUAUUUUGUACAUGUGUGCUAUGAAAAUUCCAGGUGAAAUACUUGCUUAAAUUGAUAAAUAUAGAUAACAUUAUCUUUGGAAUGGUGGUGACAUCAACCGAAGAGGAGGGUGCCUGGUAGCAUGGAAAAAUACCUACAGAUCUAAAGAAGAUGGUGGUUUGGAUAUUCUAAACUUAAAGACUCAUAAAUCACCCUUGUGUUAAAGUUCCUACACAAGUUCUACAACAAGGCAGACCUACCCUGGGUGCAGCUCACUUGGAAAUGUGUGUGUAAAAAUGGAACUCCUUCCCAUGCUAGAGGAAAGGUUGGGUCAUUUUGGUGGAGAGAUAUCAUGUCUCUCUCUGAUAACUUCCUCACUAUUGCUAGCUGUAAUGUGCAAUAAGAGACACAAUUGUCCUUUGGAAAGAUCUCUGGAAUUUGGGAAUUCUUCAGUGGCAGUUCCCUCAGCUCUUCUCUUUUGCCAAAAAUAAGAGUAUUUCAGUGAAGAAGUUUCUUGCAAAUUCACAGGAGAGAAACUUCUGGCUACCUCUGUGUCGACAGUUGCAACGGAUUAAUUGAUCAUCCUAAAUCAACUUUCACAUGAGUUCAGCUUGUUGACACAACACAAUGACCAAUGGUCAUAUAUUUGGGGGUCUACAUAUUUCACCUCCAAGCAAGCCUAUAUCAGCCUAAGUGGUACCAUGCCUACCUCACCAUUAUUCAAGUGGACGUGGAAAUCUCGAGUUUAAAACAAGCACAAGUUCUUCUUUUGGCUAUUUCUUAGAAACAGACUCAAUACAAGGAACCUUUUAAGGAGGAAAACCAUGUCCUGGAAUCCUACAAAUGUGUGUUGUGUUUGCAAAACCAAAAGGAGGACAGACACCAUCUAUUCUUCGACUGCCCCUUCAGUCAGGCAUGCUGGAUACUUUUGGUCAUUAACUAGGAUACUUCGUUGGAUUAUGAUUUAAUGAUCUUACAAGCUCGACAUGACUUUGGAGAGGUUUUCUUCAGAGAAAUUGUCAUCAUAGUGUCGUGGUCCAUCUAGUGUCACCAGAAUGGCAUUAUCUUUGAUAAUGUCGCUCUGUCUUUUGCGAAGUGGAGAAGCACCUUUGUGAAAGAAAUGAAACUAGUUACUCUACGGGUAAAACUAGUCCUCCGCGACAAGAUUAAUAUUUGGCUGAGUAGUCUUUUAUGAUAACCUCUUUCUUUGUUUUUUGGGCUUAAUGCCUUUCUAAUCCACCUGUACAUAAACCCCUUUUUUGUUUAUAUGUAAAAAAAGUAGGGGAGUCCCCUGCUGAUUCGUCAAAAAAAGAUAAUAAUAAAGUUUAAUUAAUUUCAAUAAAUUAUAUUAUUCAUUUAAUGAAUAAAUUAUAUCUAUGUAUUAAUGUAUUUAUUUUUAUUUGUUAAAGGAUAUAUAUUUAUGGAAAUAUUAUUUUUUAUAUCUAUUUGAUAUAUUGAAUUAUUUAAACAUUUAUUAAUAAAUAUAUUAUUUCCAAUAUUCAUAAUUUACCACCGGUAACAUGAUUUUUUAUCAAGUAUAAAACCGUCGAUAAAACAAAUUGAUACUCGUUAUGACGUUAUGUUCCGAGUCGAGUAAGUAUCCCUAUUCGUUUUGUAUUCAUAUCUGAUAAUGUUUGUAUUUGUCUCCGAAUUCAAAUAUAAAUGUGAUAAAUAGUGCUAUCGAAUUCAAUUCCAUGCACAUUCGAUUCGAAUCCAUCCGUGGUACUGCCGUGUCUGAUAAGACGUACAGGCUGUUCUCAAGCAACAAAAAGAAAAAAGGAAAAGAUUUCCUAUUCAUAUACCAGAACAAUAGAACCCACAGGCCAGAAGCCAUCUGGGCUGACUGGCCUUCUCCUGAGGCCCACUAGGCCACUAGCCCACUAAACACACGAAGAAGAAGAAAAACGACGCCAAAAAACACCGCGAAGAAAGGAAGGAAAAUAUUUUAACGGCUCGUCGGCCCUCCACGAAAACGAAGUCCAGCGGACAGACGCGAACCGAGAAAAAUAUCACAAAAUCUCUCGCGGCCGCGGCGACCGGAAGAAGACGACGACGGCGGCGGCGGCGGCCAUGGCGUGCCGCGCACUCGCGCUCCGCUCCCUCCUCCUCCCCGACCCGCUCAACCGCCUCCCGGCCGCCGCCUCCUCCUCGGCCGCGGCUCCACCGGUGGGGAGGGCGCCCCGCGGCAGCCGCCGCCCGCACCUCCGCUGCUGCUCCGGCAGCGGGGGAGGCGGCGGCGGGGACCCCGGGCAGCCGCCGCAGGAGGCCGUGCUCGAGGCCAUCUCUAGUGAGUCGUCCUCCCCCGCUGCUGUUUAUGAGUUGUUCCUCCGCUCGCCGCUCCUGCUAGUCGCUUCGGUCGGUGCUUGCUCGGUUGAUUGGGAAUUAAUAGUUUAAUAGAUAUAGCGAUACUGAAUCAUAGGUUUCCCUUGCUUUUUCUAUAAUGGAAUUGGUGUGAAAUGGGAUUUAAGUGGCUUGGUGAAUUUUGAUUGCCCCAAGGCAGUGUCGGGCUGUCGGCUAAUUUUUCCCAAGUCUUGUAUGCAUUGUUUGCUUGCUAGCGUGCAUGUAUGGCCUUCUGAAGAUUUUCUACCUUUGAUUGUAGUUUUACAUAUUAAUUCAGGGCUUUUGCCGGUUCAAAAGUCUGGCAAUGUGUUGGUAGGACAGAAGAAAUCUGUUAUAAGAACCUUGUGUUGCACUCCAUUGUUCUUGAACGUAUGCUAUGAUUCAUUUCUUUUUAGUACGUUUUAUAAUCUGUUAUAACAUUGCGUGGUUGUUUAAUUGGUACCUCCAGUCGUCAAUAUUACAAUUUCAUGAUUCCAAAGUAUUUACUAAGAGAAUCACAAGAUAGCUUGUUAUAGAAACAUUUUUUGGUACACAUAGAUGAAUUGGAGUAUUGAUCAAUGCAUGAUGUGAAGUUACACAUUCUGUUAUAAGACUAUGUUUAGUUAUUGCUUAUAUUCACAUACUUCUGAAGUUUGCUUCAUAUAAGGAAUGAUGCUCGUUUCCACCAAGUCAGAAGUUUUGCUAGAGUCUUUACCGAUGCUUUACUUAACAGUAGCUUUUAAUUUUCUGAAACCAGAGAUAGCAAGGUCGAAAGGAAGGGUUGCACUCACAACAAAUAUGGUCAUGGGUGGUACUGUGACGGAUGACAAAAGUGAUGAGUGGCUUGUUCUGGAUCAGAAGGUAUGUCUCAAUGGACCUACUUUGUCCUAUUUGCUGUUCAAACUUAUACUACAUAAGUAUGGACUUACAAAUGGACACUCUAAGGGGAGGUUGUUUUGAGGAAUUCAAUGGAAACCCUUUAUAUAUAUUUGAAUGUUUUUUUGGUACCAAUAUUCCUUGUGGAAGAAAUAGCUUGGUAAUGUUACAUAGCUUCUGUGUUCAUUCAUAAUGUCGAAUUUAUCCUGUGUUCUGAUUUCGUGCAAUGGUGGAUCAUUGGAAGCUAGAUCACAUGACUUGUAACUUUAUGACAUGGUCAGUUGUGGUAUUCUUUCUAUAUACUGAAUACAAUUUUACACCCUGUUUUCGGGAAACACUAGGAAGUGAGCCUAGCUCAACUGGUUAGGGUGGGAGGUGUGGUCGUGCACUCUAACCACUCAGGUUCGAGUCCCCUCUAGCUUGAAUUUGGGUGCCUAUUUCUUCUUCUUAACAAAAAAUCACCUAGCUCCUCCUAGGUUGAUCUAUUUUUUUUUUGUUUUCGGGAAACACAAUAGUGAUUGAGAACAUCUCAACCCCUGCGGAGAUUCAUGAUAGACUUUCAUUUUCAAUAUGCUUUUAGCAUGAUCAUUUUUGCUGCAUGCUAAUGUUCAUCAAUCUGUGUGCAACAAAGUUCAUCUCUCUAUUUUUGAUUUAGAAGUUUCAAUAACCUUGGAAACUGUAAACUCUAUAUUUCAUUUUAGGCAUUCCUUAAUAUGCUAUGCUAUUUUGCUUCGCAGGUAAAUUCAUACCCCACAGAUAGAGGAUUUACAGCAAUUGGUACUGGAGGUGAUGACUUUGUCCAGUCAAUGGUAGUUGCUGUUGAAUCUGUUCUUCAAGAAUCCAUUCCCAAGGUUAGUUGUACAAUUCUCAUAAUUUCCUUGUAAAUAAUGUUGUUAUUGAGGAAGAUGCAGCUACCUGGGUUUUAAACUGGUGGUGUUCUGCAUAGAAUCAACAUUCCUACAUUGUGAUCAUUGAUGACAUCAUUCAUAAGUGAAUAUUGUUACUCUGAUGGUGCUUUAGUUUUUUUUCCUUUACAUUUGGUUAUUUGUUGUUUACUUGAUGGUUUUAGGCUAUUAGUUCCAUGCAAACUUCGCUCUCCCAUACUCCAAUGUUAGAUUGUAGUUGUUUCGUUUUACAAUCUUUUCCUUGAUUUGUUUCCCGGAUCAUCUUCAUAUAUAUCUCAAAACGGUAUGCGCAGGGUCGGGUAUCUCAGAAGUUAUCUUCCAGAGGAAAAUAUGUUUCUGUAAACAUUGGACCAAUUCGUGUAGUUUCUAGCGAGCAGGUAACCCAAUGUUUCAGAUACAUCUUUACUAAGAAAUUGAUGCCUGUUUCUACAGUUUGUUUUUUUAUCUAUUCAUUCCAUUUUGUGAAGACAUUCACACGUUGAAGCUUUGGUGUUGCUUUUCAGGUCCAAGCCGUGUAUCGUGCCAUGAGAAGAGAUAACAGGAUGAAGUACUUCUUAUGAAGUGCAACUACACAUCAGCUAUGUUUCAUUCUUCGUUCCAUUUUGUAACAUUAGAGUCUGUCAUGCAUUCUGCCAUACUUGUAAGUACCGAACCAAAUGGGAAGUUUGCGUUAAUUGCCUGAUUUCUAGUUGGUCUCAUGUUAUGUAGUGCGUUGCUUAUUUGCAGGCUGGAGCUCCAGUGAACUGAACAAAAAUGUGAGACGUAUUCUGUUGCACUCGAGCCCAAACAGAAGCGGCUGAAAUGAUUCGAUACAAUGUAUCUUUGUUGGUUUGGGUUACAUUCUGUAGUGUAGUGGUCAUGUUUAGAUACUACGCAUGGCUUCAGUUACAUUAUGUUCAAUAAUGUAUUUUUAUUGUUUUUAUGUUAUAGAUAUUUCAUAUUAUAAUGCUGUAUAUUACUGUUUUACGUUAUAGAUGUUUCAUAGUACGUCAUCCAAUCUCUAUGCAUAUAGAGCAAUUAUUGGGAGUAUUCCUUAAUUGCCAAUGGAUGUCUCCAAGCUUGCUCCUAAAGAAAAUAUGAAGCCAGCUGUCAAUCUGUCAUCACCUGUCCUUUGAAUGCAAUUGUCCCGUAGAAACCAUUUUCUGAAACUAAACUUAGCGUGCUGCUUGGUGUGUGAUGAUGUCGCACGCACUCCGGAGGAUAAGGAUGCACACCUGGUCGAGAUUUUACGGGCUGUCCUUGGAAGGCUGCCUCAACAUUCAGUAACAGCAAGAACGAGAUGGCCGCUGCGAGGAAGAACAUCGAAACGAAAAAUUAUGUGCACGCGGUGGAUAUUAAUCAGGAGGGAAAAUUGGUUCUGUAGCAUUGAAAGAUCGUGGCUUCAGUAAAAUACCACUGAAAGAUCUUGGCUCCGUAAAAUACCAUGUGACGGAAUGCGAGUUUCAGAUAACGUAUGCAUGUUCAGUAGUAUUUUACAGGCUCGAGGUCUUUCAGUGGUAUUUUACGGAAGUCGUGAUCUUCGAUGCUACAGAACUAAUUUUCCCAUCAGGAGACAUUCGCAUGUAUCUGGCUGGUCAAACAUGUGGGGGCAAUGUGUGAGAUGUGAGCCUUCUUGGAGUCACUUGCUUGCCCACCAUGAUAGCCUAGGUGGUGCAAUUAGUAAAAAAAGACGUCGCCAUAAGCAAAAUUGAAAUGGAUUAGGAGCUAAAGAUGAAUAGUGUACUGGUUUAGAAAACAAAAAAAAUUAAGAGAUCAUCCGGACUUUGUCCAUAGUUGAAGGGAGUAAUUUCCUUUUUAUUACAAAUUUAACAAAAAAAAUCAGCUUUUUUAUUGCUCAUAAUUACAGCCUUAUCUCAUUCGCAAGAAUGAGUUAGAAACAGUUAAUCUUCGCAUCCGAUCUUUCUGACUAAAACAUCAGAAUGGUGUAUUGGUGUGUGCAAGUUGUUUCAACGAAGCGUGGCUUUAGUUUUGGAGACCAUGCAGUUCAGCUGUGUUGUGUUAGCAGGUGCGAAGUAUGUCAUGUCCCGUACGGUUAAUGGAGUUCACCAUGUCCAAUGCCAACAUACGCAUGGAGUAAUGCACAAGUCUCUAAACCGUGAACGAAAAUAUUCAGAUUUAUUCAAAUUGGCACCAUAAUAUUCAUAUUUAUUGAUACAUUCUAAUCGGAAACAUAAUAUUCAGAACUAAGCAGCAAACGGAAAACAGGCAAAACAAAAGAAUACAAUCCAACCCAAUAUCUUGAUAUUAAAUCUCCCACACUUAUGGUACUUAAGCCAUGGGCACCUUGGCAGCACAUAUCCAUCAGAAUCCACAAUGGCCAAACUAUGGUAGAUUCAUGUCGAUUUGUGGCUCAGGAGUUGUGUCGUCCUUCAUUCCUAUGAAAAAUAAAAUGUGAUUAGGAAACUGCAUGUUAACAUGACGUUCAUUAUUAACAGAGUAAGAAAAAUGAACAUUAUAGCUAACCAGUUGGUAUUGUUUGUCUUCUUUGUAGUAGCGGUCGAACCCUAGAGUAUCCUUGAUCUUCUUAAAAGAUGGCAUGAUGGUAGGCGGAGGUACACCGCCAUCUUUGAUUGCAUCUAAAGCAUCCUGCAUGUCAGAGAUUGGGAACUAUAUAUAAGUAGUGCUUUUGGUGCAAAAAUGAAAUGGAUGAUGUAUUGGAAUUAACAGGUGUUACUCAACAGAAAUAGUUGUGAUUUUUUUUUUCAUUGCCAGAUUACUCAACAGCAGUAGUUGUGAUUUCUUUUUCUUUUUACAAGAAGAAGGUGCAAAUACUAUUUGCAUAUAUUGCAUGCAUGUGCUAGCGUGAGAGUCUAUGCAUAAGGAAAGUGGAGUUUCCUUGCUGUGCAGAUAUAAGUGUUGGAGUAAAGCUUGAGUUAAUCAUUUAGGAAACGUAAUUGCUUUUUUUUGGCCAGUUGCCUGAACCCGUGUAGAAGGAAGUAUGCGAGCUCACGGAAUCCGGGAGCGAAUGAAGGUUGUGGUGUUUAAUAUUGAGUUGCAUGUUGCAAGGAGACUAGCAUGGAGUCCUAAACGUGUACAAGAUAGUAGAGCUUGUGGAAAUAAAGAAAAUAGAAAGCCUCAGAAACAUUUGUGUUUCUCGUGUUCGUGUGUUGGAUCCUGGUCAAAAGCCAACGAAUAAGUAUGCAGAAAAAUGGAUCCACAAGAACUACGACUACCUUGUGCUUGUGUUCAAACGAAUUAAAUUUUCACUCGAUUCAUCCUUGAUAACACAGAUGAAUUAAAAAAAAGAAUAAGGUCACAGGCUUCAUAUGUAUAAGAAUACAAACCUCCAUUGCACGGAUUGAGGCGCCCAAUAAGGAUACAGAAUAGAUUACGAGGCUGUAACCAAUUUUCGCAAGUUCAGGAGGGCUCAAUAUGGGAGUUUUACCACCUUCUAUUAUGUUUACCUGCGGAACAGAGUGUAAGUCUUCAUGGAUCAUGUCACUGCUAGAGGAAGGAACAAGUUCAAGCAAAUAAUAAAAAGGACAUUCAUUGUUGACGAGGAAAUAUGAGCGGUAAAAGUAACUUUUACAGUUGUACAGAUAUUCUUUUCAAUUCAGACUUGUAAUACGAGAAAAUGCAUAUAAACUACAUGACAGAAUUUCAACAUCAAAGUGUGGCCUCAAUUAUUCUAUUUUAUAGCACAUAUGUUUUUUUGGUUGUAUCCUUUCAACACCCUUGUCCAAUUCACUGCAAGUCAAUUAAGGGAUCUGGACAAACGCAGAAACAGCCAUAAACCCACAAUUCACAUGUAACUAGAAAACAAGCAUCAAAACACAUCGAAUGCAUGCACAUGUUAUUACCAUCUUUGGAACCCCCGGGGCAACUGCGCAGAAUUGCUUCAUCUCUUCCACCGAAGCAAGGGCGUCAAUUAAGAGAACGUCGGCACCGGCAUCAGCAAAAGCUUUUGCUCUAGCUAAUGCUUCAUCAAGAGAAAUGGCCUGACGGGAAUCUGUCCUUCCAAUGAUAACCAAGUCAGAGCCACUCUCGUUCCUAGCAUCAACAGCUGCUUUUAUGUGCAUGAUGGCUUCCUCCCUUGGGUAUACUUUCCUUCCUUCAGUGUGUCCACAGGCUUUAGGCGACACCUUCAAAUUACUAUACAUGUCAACUUUCUUCCAGGAUAAAUAAAACACAAGUCCACUGCCUGCAGUUUUUCUUUCGGGCAGUGGCAGGGCUUAUUAUCUAAAGCUAACAGAAACAACAAUAGUACUCAUUAUUAGCCAAUAGUGGAAUAAAAAUCACACAGAAAAUUUGGUCAAAAUUUUUAUGUGGUAUUUGAAAAUUUUGAUAACUUAGCUAAGUGAUUUUUAACAAUUUUGUUGCUGCCCUAAAUUUUAUUUUGUGGAGCGUGUCGCGUUUAGCUAUUAUGUAUAAUAAUUGUGUGGACCGAUUCUCCCUCGACCAUGGGGUUGAAGCCGGAUAUUACUUCCAUUAUUAUCUAAAAAAACAGAGUUAAACCUGACAAGGACCGUAUUUGAUACUGUGUUAGCUAAUAAGGUGCCAACGUAUGAAAGGAUUGGUUAGUAUUCCAAAGAGAGCACACCUGAUCUUCGAGCAUGAUCGCAGCGAAACCAGCAUUGAUAUACCCUUUGAUGGUUCUCUUGAUGUUCAUAGAGUUUCCGUAACCAUUGUCUCCAUCACCAAUCACCGGGAUCGACACAGCUUCGUUGAUGAGACGCCCUUGGUCUACCAUUUCCCCGUAGGAGAUGAGGCCAACGUCCGGCAGGCCAAGUCGCGCGGCAGAGACACAGAAACCUGGAAAAGACACGUACGUGAAAAGAAUCCAAUGCUUUGAGACACCUGCUUGAACAUUUGCGCUAGCUGUAGCUGAAGAAAUGAUAUGCACCCUAGCUACAUUCCAAAGUUGUAAUAAAACCAUAGCAAUAGUAGCAUGGUACGUUAGUCAGAAAUAGCCACGGAGCACCAGCAGACAGGAUGGUACGUUAGUUGUCAAUGCCAUUUAUACUGCCAUUCAUCUUGAGGUUGGAUUAGCUAGCAUUACUCAGUUGUAAUGACGCAUGCGAUUUCGUCGUGACGAGGAGGAGGAUGUGUGUUGUCAUGAGUUUAUACCGCUCAUGAAGGCGAUGGGGAAGCCGGCCUGCUCGACGAGGCGCGCGGCGAGGGCGUCGAAGCAGCACGGCGCCUGGUGCGCGCCGGGCGAGGCGAGGAUGCGGCGGAGCGCCGCCGCCGGGGACUCCCCCUGGCGGAUGCCGCGGAAGGACUCCUCGGUGGCGAAGUAGGGGCUGCGCGCGGCCAUCCUGAGCUGGCGGCGCGGGAGACUGGAAAUUGGAUGGAGGAGAGGGGAGCUAGUGUCAGAAUAUGUGACUGACUUUGGGCACUUUUGGCCGUGGCUGAU